rnacentral:lncRNA from 1 species
UAGGAUCUUCACAUUUCGGACGGUCUCGGUCCUCGCCUUUUUGUGAACUCCUCGAGUGUAUAAUCGAACAGUCUUGCUGCCCUCUGCUGCUACCCCUAGUUUUUAAGUCGCUAGAAUCUACGAGCCGGUGAAGCUUUGUGUUGUUUGUGUGCUGUACGGAAUCAGCUAGAAGUGAUCUUCUUUUCCUUUUGUAUCAAACGAAACUUGAAAGGAUCUUUUGAUAUUUAGAUGCUGUUCAUUUACUGGUUAAAUCAGGUUUGAGCCUGGGGCGGCUCGGUUCUUGCUUUACUGGAUGCGCGCAUGGGUCUCUUUUUGUGGGGACCAUGGAGGGUGUCUUUGAUUCAUAGCAUUUUCGAAACACAAAAAUACAAAAACGGGUCACGAACUCUUGAAUUCUGCAGGUUAGAUAUGCGUAUAGAUUUCAGUGAUGAAAAUUAAUUAUGGAUUGAUUUGAGGAUGGAAUUUUUCAUCAACAUAGUACGAAUCCUCCCCCGGUAGUGAAAACUGGGACCUCCUAUAUGACACAUUUUGCGUCAUGCAGCAGCUCGACGCACAGGGGCGACGCGCUACUGGGCCGGCCCAAUCUGUUUUCUGUCGCAUGACACCAAAAAGGCUAUAAAUAAAAACAAUAGAGUUGCGACGGAAUUUGAUACCACGACCUCCUGCAGCGAGCCCCUCGCCACUACAUCAGACAACAACAGCUGACCACCAAGGUGCAAAACAUUAUAAGACCACACAGAAAGCGCUGAGAUUUCGAAAACAUUUCUUAAAAAUAGUGAGAAGUUUUGAAAUGCCACAAUUUCGUUAUAUUCCUUUUUUUACAAGUGAAGAUUUUUUUAAAUCCAACUUCAAAAUUAAACACGAACAAAUCCUGCAAAUCCCGAACAGUUUUCCAAAGCGCAAACAAUUUUUCAAAAAUUUAACCAUUUCUGAGAAAACGAACAAAUUAUGAAAAAUGUGUACUUUUUUUUUCAAAUUUCUGAAUAUUUCCUGAGACCACGAACAGAUUGUAGGUUCUGAAUUUUUUUGGAAAACAUGAACAUUUUUUAUGUUCAGAACAAAAAAGUUAAAACAGAACAUUUAAUUGCAAACAAAAUUUUUAUUGUAUUCUUUUUUUGGAAAUGCGAACAAAAUUUGAAACCUGGGAAUGUUUAUUGUAAAUUGCGAACAAAAUGAUGAAACCGUGAACAUUUUUUUAAACAUGAACAUUUUUCUGAAAUGGUUCACAAAUUUUGAAAAAGAAAAUAUUUUUUGAAAUUACUAAACAUAUUUUGGACAUAUUUUCAAGUUCAGAACAUAUUUUAUGAAAAUGUGACCAAUUUUCGUAAAUGCGAACAAAAUUUUGAAACUCCUGAACAGCUUUGAAUUUGUGAACAACAUUUGGAACAUUUUUUUUGAAAUUUCCAUACAUUUUUGCAUUUGCAAACAAAAUUUAAACAUGUGAACAGUUUUUGUAUUUGUGAACAAAUUUUGGAAAUGGGAACUUUUUUUGAAACAAAAUGAUUUUUGUUUUGUGAAUAAACCAUUAAUAGGUGAACAGUUUCUGAAACGAUGCAAACAAUUUUUUAAAGCACGAACAAUUUUUGAAUGUUGAGAACAAAUUUUGAAAUGGAGAACAAAUUUGGAAGCUCGACCAAUUUUUUAAAGCACGAACGAUUUUUGAAUGUUGAGAACAAAUUUUGAAAUGGAGAACAAAUUUGGAAGCUCGACCAAUUUUUGAAAGCACGAACAAUUUUUGAAUGUUGAGAACAAAUUUUGAAAUGGAGAACAAAUUUGGAAGCUCGACCAAUUUUUGAAAGCACGAACAAUUUUUGAAUGUGGAGAACAAAUUUUGAAAUGGAGNNNNNNNNNNNNNNNNNNNNNNNNNNNNNNNNNNNNNNNNNNNNNNNNNNNNNNNNNNNNNNNNNNNNNNNNNNNNNNNNNNNNNNNNNNNNNNNNNNNNNNNNNNNNNNNNNNNNNNNNNNNNNNNNNNNNNNNNNNNNNNNNNNNNNNNNNNNNNNNNNNNNNNNNNNNNNNNNNNNNNNNNNNNNNNNNNNNNNNNNNNNNNNNNNNNNNNNNNNNNNNNNNNNNNNNNNNNNNNNNNNNNNNNNNNNNNNNNNNNNNNNNNNNNNNNNNNNNNNNNNNNNNNNNNNNNNNNNNNNNNNNNNNNNNNNNNNNNNNNNNNNNNNNNNNNNNNNNNNNNNNNNNNNNNNNNNNNNNNNNNNNNNNNNNNNNNNNNNNNNNNNNNNNNNNNNNNNNNNNNNNNNNNNNNNNNNNNNNNNNNNNNNNNNNNNNNNNNNNNNNNNNNNNNNNNNNNNNNNNNNNNNNNNNNNNNNNNNNNNNNNNNNNNNNNNNNNNNNNNNNNNNNNNNNNNNNNNNNNNNNNNNNNNNNNNNNNNNUUUUUAAAGCACGAACAAUUUUUGAAUGUUGAGAACAAAUUUUGAAAUGGAGAACAAAUUUGGAAGCGCGAAUUUGAAAUGGGAAGAUUUUUUGAAACUCCCAAACAUAAUUUGAAAUGUGAACAAAAAGAAAAAAAAAGAGAAGAAAAAGGAAUUGAAAGAUGAAAUAAAGAAACAGAAAAACAAAGAAAGAAAAAGAAAAAAACAGGAAAAUAACGAAGAAAAAGCAAACAGAAAAAACCAGUGAAAACCCGGUUCAAGAACCUUCUAGAAGGUUCCCAAAACCGUUCAGGAACCCUCCAGAAGGUUCCCAAAACCGGACACUGCAGCGCUAGCGCUACCUCCUAACUGGGCCGGCCCAUCCAGAUCGCUAUCGCUAGCUCUCUCUGUGCGAAGCCUCGACAAGUCAACGCAGCGAGCGUCCAAUAGGAUUUUCCGUGAAAACUUGCCUCCUUCGAGACCAAAUGCGGGCCGUAUGCCGGCCCUCCCAAUUGUGCAGACGCGCCGUGGACAUGCUCUUCCACCACCCACGGGCUGCUUGGUUGGACAGAGGGAGAUGGGCUCGGAGAAGAUAGCCUGGUUUAUUUGUCUAGAUAUCCAUGAAUGAAUUAUUUGGCGACUUGUCUGGUUUGAAGACAUCGUCAUAGCAUUUUCUCUUCUUUUUUGGUUAAUUAACUAACGGUCUGUUUACGUUUCAGUUGUUCAGAUUUAUGAGCGCUAAAAUUAUUUUAUUUUUGGAUGGAUUAUUUUUUCCAAGUUUCUAUAGGUCUCAUGUUUCCCCCUUGGUAUUUGUAAGUUCCCUUUUGUUUUAUUUUUAUAUGGUUAUUUUUCUUAUGGUUUUGGCGAAUUAACUGAUUUUAAAAUAUUGUCAUACCAUUUUUUUGAUUCUACCAAUUAAUGGAAAUUUUAGUUUUAGGUAUUGGAAUUUACGAAUAACUUCUUUUAUUAGGGGAAGAAAUAUUUUAUAAGUUUCUAAAGUACUCCUGUGCGUAAUUCUAUUUAUACCUUCUUUUUUCUUGAAGUUUGAACGACAUCCCUCCAUUCCAAUGAAUAAUCCGUGCACGCCUCCUAGAAUCCAACUUUGCCCAUAAAUUAGAUUAAUAAUAUAUAUUUUUGUGACUUCGAAAUUGUACCUCUAAAAUUCUUUUCAAUACGAAUUCAACAGUAUAAUUUUUAUCACAUAUAAUCCAAAAUUUGCUAGGUCUAAUUUAUGGUCAAAGCUUAAUUUUAGGGUGUGUACGUUAUACAUUGAAAUGGUGGGAAAGGGGAAAAGAGGGAGAGGGAGAAGGAAAGAGGGGAGUCGUGCCACUUCCUCUUGUCCAAUUCGGAUUGGGGCAAGGGGGGCGCGCCCCACCUCCUGCGGCCUGCCUCCUCUCCUCCACUAUGGCCCAUUAGGCCCAAUAACUUUCCCGGGGGUUCCGAUAGCCUCCCGACACUCCGAUAAAUCCCCGAACCUUAUCGGAACCAUUCCGAUGUCCGUAUAUAACCUUCCAAUCUUUACCUCUCGACCAUUUCAAGACUCCUCGUCAUGUACGUGAUCUCAUCCGAGACUCCGAACAAACUUCGGUCAUCAAAUCACAUAACUCAUAAUACAAAUCGUCAUCGAACCUUAAGCGUGCGGACCCUACGGGUUUGAGAACUAUGUAGACAUGACCGAGACACGUCGCCGGUCAAUAACCAAUAGCGAAACCUGGAAGCUCAUAUUGGCUUCUACAUAUUCUACGAAGAUCUUUAUCGGUCAAAUCGCAUAACAACAUACGUCAUUCCCUUUGUCAUCGGUAUGUUACUUGCCUGAGAUUCGAUCGUCGGUAUCAUUAUACCUAGUUCAAUCUCGUUACCGACAAGUCUCUUUACUCGUUACGUAAUACAUCAUCUCGCAACUAACUCAUUAGUCACAUUGCUUGCAAGGCUUAUAGUGAUGUGCAUUACCGAGAGGGUCCAGAGAUACCUCUCCGAUACACGGAGUGACAAAUCCUAAUAUCGAUCUAUGUCAACUCAACAAACACCAUCGGAGACACCCGUAGAGCAUCUUUAUAAUCACCCAGCUACGUUGUGACGUUUGAUAGCACACAAAGUGUUCCUCCGGUAUACGGGAGUUGCAUAAUCUCAUAGUAAGAGGAAUAUGUAUAAGUCAUGAAUAAAGCAAUAGCAAUAAAAUUAACGAUCAUUAUGCUAAGCUAACAGAUGGGUCUUGUCCAUCACAUCAUUCUCUAAUGAUGUGAUCCCGUUCAUCAAAUGACAACACAUGUCUAUGGUUAGGAAACUUAACCAUCUUUGAUUAACGAGCUAGUCAAGUAGAGGCAUACUAGGGACAGUUUGUUUUGUCUAUGUAUUCGCACAUGCACUAAGUUUCAGGUUAAUACAAUUCUAGCAUGAAUAAUAAACAUUUAUCACGAUGUAAGGAAAUAUAAAUAACAAUUUUAUUAUUGCCUCUAGGGCAUAUUUCCUUCGGUCUCCCACUUGCACUAGAGUCAAUAAUCUAGUUCACAUUGCCAUGUGGUUUAACACCAAUAGUUCACAUCUUUAUGUGAUUAGUUCACAUCGCCAUGUGAUUAACACCCAAAGGGUUUACUAGAGUCAAUAAUCUAGUUCACAUCGCUAUGUGAUUAACACCCAAAGAGUACUAAAGUGUGAUCAUGUUUUGCUUGUGAGAGAAUUUUAGUCAACGGGUCUGUCACAUUCAGAGCCGUAUGUAUUUUGCAAAUUUUCUAUGUCUACAAUGCUCUGCAUGGAGCUACUCUAGCUAAUCGCUCCCACUUUCAAUAUGUAUCCAGAUUGAGACUCAGAGUCAUCCGGAUCGGUGUAAAAGCUUGCAUCGACGUAACUCUUUACGACAAACUCUUUAUUACCUCCAUAACCGAGAACUAUUUCCUUAGUCCUCUUAGGUAACUAAGGAUAACUUUGACCGCUGUCCAGUGAUCCACUCCUGAAUCACUAUCGUACCCCUUUGCCAAAUUCAUGGCAAGGUACACAAUAGGUCUGGUACAUAGCAUAGCAUACUUUAUAGAACCUAUGGCUGAGGCAUAGGAAUGACUUUCAUUCUCUUUCUAUUUUCCGCCGUGGUCGGGUUUUGAGUCUUACUCAACUUCAUACCUUACAACGCAGGCAAGAACUCCUUCUUUGACUGAUCCAUUUUGAACUCCUUCAAAAUCUUAUCAAAGUAUGUACUCAUCGAAAGUCUUAUCAAGCGUCUUGAUCUAUCUUUAUAGAUCUUGAUGCCCAAUAUGUAAGUAGCUUCACUGAGGUCUUUCUUUGAAAAAUCCUUUCAGACACUCCUUUAUACUUUCCAAAAAAUUCUUCAUCAUUUUCGAUCAACAAUAUGUCAUUCACAUAUACUUAUAAGAAAUAUUGUAGUGCUCCCACUCACUUUCUUGUAAAUACAAGCUGCACCGCAAGUUUGUAUAAAACUAUAUGCUUUGAUCAACUCAUCAAAGUGUAUAUUCCAACUCUGAGAUGCUUGCACCAGUCCAUAGAUGGAUCGUUGGAGCUUGCACACUUUGUGAGCACUUUUAGGAUUGAGAAAACCUUCUGGUUGCAUCAUAUACAACUCUUCUUUAGUAAAUCCAUUAAGGAAUGCGGUUUUUGACAUCCAUUUGCUAGAUUUCAUAAAAUGCGGCAAUUGCUACCAUGAUUCGGAUAUACUUUAAGCAUAGAUACGAGUGAGAAACUCUCAUCGUAGUCAACACCUUAAACUUGUCGAAAACCUUUUCCGACAAUUCGAGCUUUGUAGAUAGUAACACUACUAUCAGCGUUCGUCUUCCUCUUAAAGAUCCAUUUAUUCUCAAUGGCUUGCCGAUCAUUGGGCAAGUCAAUCAAAGUCCAUACUUUGUUCUCAUACAUGGAUCCCAUCUCAGAUUUCAUGGCCUCGAGCCAUUUUGCGGAAUCUGGGCUCAUCAUCGCUUCCUCAUAGUUCAUAGGUUCAUCAUGGUCUAGUAACAUGAAUUCCAGAACAGGAUUACCAUACCACUCUGGUGCGGACCGUACUCUAGUUGACCUACGAGCUUCGGUAGUAACUUGAUCUAAAGUUUCAUGAGCAUCAUCAUUAGCUUCCUCACUAAUUGGUGUAAGAAUCACCAGAACUGAUUUCUGUGAUGAACUACUUUCCAAUUCGGGAGAAGGUACAAUCAAGUUCUACUUUCCUCCCACUCACUUAUUUUGAGAGAAACUCUUUCUCUAGAAAGGAUCCAUUCUUAGCAACGAAUAUCCUGCCUUCGGAUCUGUGAUAGAAGGUGUACCCAACAGUUUCCUUUGGGUAUUCUAUGAAGACACAUUUCUUCGAUUUGGGUUCGAGCUUAUCAGGUUGAAGCUUAUUCACAUAAGCAUCGCAGCCCCAAACUUUAAGAAACGACAACUUAGGUUUCUUGCCAAACCACAGUUCAUAUGGUGUCGUCUCAACGGAUUAGAUGGUGCCCUAUUUAACGUGAAUGUAGAUGUCUCUAAUGCAUAACCCCAAAACGAUAGUGGUAAAUCGGUAAGAGACAUCAUAUAUCGUACCAUAUCCAAUAAAAUACGGUUAUGACGUUGGGACACACCAUUACGUUGUGGUGUUCCAGGUGGCGUGAGGCCAAACUCGUAACUCAAAUAUUCGCCUCCGCGAUCAGAUGGUAGAAACUUUAUUUUCUUGUUACGAUGAUUCUCCACUUCACUCUGAAAUUCUUUGAACUUUUCAAAUGUUUCAGACUUGUGUUUCAUUAAGUAGACAUACCCAUAUCUGCUCAAAUCAUCUCUGAAGGUCAGAAAAUAACGAUACCCGCCGCAAGCCUCAACACUCAUUAGACCGUAUACAAUUCGGUAUGUAUUAUUUCCAAUAAGUCAUUGGCUCGCUCCAUUUUUCGAAGAACAGAGUUUUAGUCAUCUUGCCCAUGAGGCAUGGUUCGCAUGUAUCAAAUGAUUCAUAAUAAAGUGAUUUCAAAAGUCCGUCUGCAUGUAGUUUCUUCAUGCGCUUUACACCAAUAAGACCUAAACGAUAGUGCAAUAAAUAUGUUGCACUAUCAUUAUCAACUUUGCAUAUUUUGGCAUCAAUAUUAUGUGUAUCACUGCGAUCGAGAUUCAGUAGACCAUUUACAUUGGAUGUAAGACCAUAGAAGGUUUUAUUCAUGUAAACAGAACAAUAAUUAUUCUCUGACUUAAAUGAAUAACCAUAUCACAAUAAACAUGAUCCAAUCAUAUUCAUGCUCAACACAAACACCAAAUAACAUUUAUUUAGUUCCAAUACUAAUCCUGAAGGUAGAGGGAGUAUGCGAUGGUGAUCUUAUCAACCUUAGAAUCAUUUCCAACACACAUUGUCACCUUGCCCUCAACUAGCCUCUGUUCAUUUUGUAAGUCAUGUUUCGAGUUACUAAUCAUAGUAACUAAACCGGUAUCAAAUACCCAGGGGCUACUUUGAACACUAGUAAAGUACACAUCAAUAACAUGUAUAUCAUACAUAGUUUUGUUCACUUAUCCAUCCUUCUUACCCGCCAAGUAUUUGGGGCAGUUCCGCUUCCAGUGACCAUUUCCUUUGCAGUAGAAGCACUUAGUUUCAGACUUGGGUCUAGCUUUGGGCUUCUUUAUGGGAGUGGCAACUUGCUUGCCAUUCUUCUUGAAGUUCCCUUUCUUUUCCUUGCCCUUUUACUUGAAACUAGUGGUCUUAUCAACCAUCAACACUUGAUGCUUUUCUUGAUUUCUAUCUUUGCUGAUUUCAGCAUCGAGAAGAGCUUGGGAAUAGUUUUCGUCAUCCCUUGCAUAUUAUACUUUAUCACAAAAUUCUAGUAACUUGGUGAUAGUGACUAGAGAACUCUGUCAAACACUAUCUUAUCUGUAAGAUUAACUCCCACUUGAUUCAAGCGAUUGUAGUACUGAGACCUUCUGAGCACAUGCUCACUGGUUGAGCAAUUCUCCUCCAUCUUGUAGGCAAAAUACUUGUCAGAGGUCUCAUACCUCUCGACUUUGGCAUGAGCCUGAAAUACCAAUUUCAGCUCUUGGAACAUCUUAUAUGCUCCGUGGCGUUCAAAACGUUUUUGAAGUCCCGGUUCUAAGACGUAAAGCAUGGCGCACUAAACUAUCAAGUAGUCAUACUACCGAGCUUGCCAAAUGUUCAUAACGUCUGCAUCUGCUCCUGCAAUAGGUCCGUCACCUAGCGGUGCAUCAAGGACAUAAUUCUUCUGUGCAGCAAUGAGGAUAAUCCUCAGAUCACGGACCCAGUCCGCAUCAUUGCUACUAUCAUCUUUCAACUUAUUUUUCUCUAGGAACAUAUAAAAAAUAAAUGGGGAGCUACAUCGCAAGCUAUUGAUCUACAACAUAGAUAUGCAAAUACUAUCAGGACUAAAUUCAUGAUAAAUUAAAGUUCAAUUAGUCAUAUUACUUAAGAGCUCCUGCUUAGAUAGACAUCCCUCUAAUCAUCUAAAUGAUCACGUGAUCCAUAUCAACUAAACCAUGUCCGAUCAUCACGUGAGAUGGAGUAGUUUUCAAUGGUGAACAUCUCUAUGUUGAUCAUAUCUACUAUAUGAUUCACGUUUGACCUUUCGGUCUCAGUGUUCCGAUGCCAUAUCUGCAUAUGCUAGGCUCGUCCAGUUUAACCCGAUUAUUCUGCACAUGCAAAACUGGCUUGCACCCAUUGUAUGUGAACAUAGAUCUUAUCACACCCGAUCAUCACGUGGUGUCUCGGUACAACGAACUGUAGCAAUGAUGCAUACUCAGGGAGAACACUUAUACCUUGAAAUUUAGUGAGGGAUCAUCCUAUAAUGCUACCGCCGUACUAAGCAAAAUAAGAUGCAUAAAGUAUAAACAUCACAUGCAAUCAAAAUAUGUGACAUGAUAUGGCCAUCAUCAUCUUGUGCCUUUGAUCUCCAUCUCCAAAGCACCGUCCUGAUCUCCAUCGUCACCGGCUUGGCACCUUGAUCUCCAUCGUAGCAUCGUUGUCGUCUCGCCAACUGUUGCUUCCACGACUAUCGCUACCGCUUAGUGAUAAAGUAAAACAAUUACGUGGAAAUUGCAUUUCAUAUAAUAAAGCGACAACCAUAAGGCUCCUGCCAGUUGCCGAUAACUUUUACAAAACAUGAUCAUCUCAUACAACAAUUUAUAUCUCAUCAUGUCUUGACCAUAUCACAUCACAACAUGCCCUGCAAAAACAAGUUAGAUGUCCUCUACUUUGUUGUUGCAAGUUUUACGUGGCUGCUAUGGGCUUCUAGUAAGAACCGUUCUUACCUAUGCAUCAAAACCACAAGGAUUUUUUGUCAAGUGUGCUGUUUUAACCUUCGACAAGGACCGGCCGUAGUCAACCUCGAUUCAACUAAAGUUGGAGAAACAGACACCUGCUAGCCACCUGUGUGUGAAGCACGUCGGUAGAACCAGUCUCAUGAACGCGGUCAAGUAAUGUCGGUCCGGGCCGCUUCGUCUAACAAUACCGCCGAAUCAAAGUAAGACAUUGGUGGUAAUGAAGGAAAUAUGCCCUAGAGGCAAUAAUAAAGUUAUUAUUUAUUUCCUCAUAUCAUGAUAAAUGUUUAUUAUUCAUGCUAGAAUUGUAUUAACCGAAAACAUGAUACACGUGUGAAUACAUAGACAAACAUAAAGUCACUAGUAUGCCUCUACUUGGCUAGCUCAUUAAUCAAAGAUGGUUAUGUUUCCUAACCAUAGACAUGUGUUGUCAUUUGAUUAAUGGGAUCACAUCAUUAGGAGAAUGAUGUGAUUGACAUGACCCAUUCUGUUAGCCUAGCACUUGAUCGUUUAGUAUGUUGCUAUUGCUUUCUUCAUAACUUAUACAAAGUUCCUGCAACUAUGAGAUUGUGCAACUCCCGUUUACCGGAAGAACACUUUGUGUGCUACCAAACGUCACAACGUAACUGGGUGAUUAUAAAGGUGCUCUACAGGUGUUUCCGAAGGUACAUGUUGGGUUGGCAUAAUUCGAGAUUAGGUUUUGUCACUCCGAUUGUCGGAGAGGUAUCUCUGGGCCCUCUCGGUAAUACUCAUCACCUAAGCCUUGCAAGCAUUGUAACUAAUGAGUUAGUUAUAAGAUGAUGUGUUACAGAACGAGUAAAGAGACUUGCCGGUAACGAGAUUGAACUAGGUAUUGGAUACCGACGAUCAAAUCUCGGGCAAGUAACAUACCGAUGACAAAGGGAACAACGUAUGUUGUUAUGCGGUUUGACCGAUAAAGAUCUUCGCAGAAUAUGUAGGAACCAAUAUGGGCAUCCAGGUUCCGCUAUUGGUUAUUGACCGAGAAUGGUUCUAGGUCAUGUCUACAUAGUUCUCGAACCCGUAGGGUCCGCACGCUUAACGUUACGAUGACAGUUUUAUUAUGAGUUUACAAGUUUUGAUGUACCGAAGUUUGUUCGGAGUCCCAUAUGUGAUCACGGACAUGACGAGGAGUCUCGAAAUGGUCGAGACAUAAAGAUUGAUAUAUUGGACGACUAUAUUCGGACACCGGAAGUGUUCCGGGUGAUUUCGGAGAAAACCGGAGUGCCGGAGGGUUACCGGAACCCCCCCCCGGAGAGUUAAUGGGCCACAUGGGCCUUGGUGGGAAGAGAGAGGUGCGGCCAGGAAGGGCCGCGCGCCCCCUCUCCCUCUGGUCCGAAUUGGACUAGGAGGGGGGGGGGGCGGCGCCCCCCUCUUUCCUUCCCCCCCUCUCCCCCUUCCUUCCCCUCCUAGUAGGAGUAGGAAAGGAGGAGUCCUACUCCUACUAGGAGGAGGACUCCUCCUCCUGGCGCGCCCAACAAGGGCCGGCCGGCCUCCCCCUCCCUCCUUUAUAUACGGGGGCAGGGGGCACCCCAUAGACACACAAGUUGAUCUACGGAUCGUUCCUUAGCCGUGUGCGGUGCCCCCCUCCACCAUAUUCCACCUCGGUCAUAUCGUCGCGGAGUUUAGGCGAAGCCCUGCGCCGGUAGAACAUCAUCAUCGUCACCACGCCGUCGUGCUGACGGAACUCAUCCCCGAAGCUUUGCUGGAUCGGAGCCCGGGGAUCGUCAUCGAGCUGAACGUGUGCUGAACUCGGAGGUGCCGUACGUUCGGUGCUUGGAUCGGUCGGAUCGUGAAGACGUACGACUACAUCAACCGCGUUGUCAUAAUGCUUCCGCUUACGGUCUACGAGGGUACAUGGACGAACACUCUCCCCUCUCGUUGCUAUGCAUCACCAUGAUCUUGCGUGUGCGUAGGAAAUUUUUUGAAAUUACUAUGUUCCCCAACAAUGGCAUCCGAGCCUGGUUUUAUGCGUUGAUGUUAUAUGCACGAGUAGAACACAAGUGAGUUGUGGGCGAUACAAGUCAUACUGCUUACCAGCAUGUCAUACUUUGGUUCGGCGGUAUUGUGAGAUGAAGCGGCCCGGAUCGACAUUACGCGUACGCUUACGCGAGACUGGUUUCACCGUUGCGAGCACUCGUGCUUAAAGGUGGCUGGCGGGUGUCUGUCUCUCUUACUUUAGCUGAAUCGAGUGUGGCUACGCCCGGUCCUUGUGAAGGUUAAAACAGCACCAACUUGACAAACUAUCGUUGUGGUUUUUAUGCGUAGGUAAGAACGGUUCUUGCUAAAAGCCUGUAGCAGCCACGUAAAAUUUGCAACAACAAAGUAGAGGACGUCUAACUUGUUUUUGCAGGGCAUGUUGUGAUGUGAUAUGGUCAAGACGUGAUGCUAUAUUUUAUUGUAUGAGAUGAUCAUGUUUUGUAACCGAAGUUAUCGGCAACUGGCAGGAGCCAUAUGGUUGUCGCUUUAUUGUAUGAAAUGCAAACGCCCUGUAAUUGCUUUACUCUAUCACUAAGCGGUAGCGAUAGUCGUAGAAGCAAUAGUUGGCGAGACGACAACGAUGCUACGAUGGAGAUCAAGGUGUCGCGCCGGUGAUGAUGGUGAUCAUGACGGUGUUUCGGAGAUGGAGAUCACAAGCACAAGAUGAUGAUGGCCAUAUCAUAUCACUUAUAUUGAUUGCAUGUGAUGUUUAUCCUUUAUGCAUCUUAUCUUGCUUUGAUUGACGGUAGCAUUUUAAGAUGAUCUCUCACUAAAAUUAUCAAGAAGUGUUCUCCUUGAGUACGCACCAUUGCCAAAGUUCGUCGUGCCCAGACACCAUGUGAUGAUCGGGUGUGAUAAGCUCUACAGCCAUCUACAACGGGUGCAAGCCCGUUUUGCACACGCAGAAUACUCAGGUUAAACUUGACGAGCCUAGCAUAUGCAGAUAUGGCCUCGGAACACGGAGACCGAAAGGUCGAGCGUGAAUCAUAUAGUAGAUAUGAUCAACAUAGUGAUGUUCACCAUUGAAAACUACUCCAUCUCAUGUGAUGAUCGGUUAUGGUUUAGUUGAUUUGGAUUACGUGAUCACUUAGAUGACUAGAGAGAUGUCUGUCUAAGUGGGAGUUCUUAAGUAAUAUGAUUAAUUGAACUUAAAUUUAUCAUGAACUUAGUACCUGAUAGUAUUUUGCUUGUCUAUGUUUGUUUGUAGAUAGAUGGCUCGUGCUGUUGUUCCGUUGAAUUUUAAUGCGUUCCUUGAGAAAGCAAAGUUGAAAGAUGAUGGUAGCAAUUACACGAACUGGGUCCGUAACCUGAGGAUUAUCCUCAUUGCUGCACAGAAAAGUUACGUCCUGGAAGCACCACUGGGUGCCAAGCCUGCUGCUGAUGCAACUGACGACGUUAAGAACGUCUGGCAGAGCAAAGCUGAUGACUACUCUAUAGUUCAAUGUGCCAUGCUUUACGGCUUAGAACCGGGUCUUCAACGACGUUUUGAACGUCAUGGAGCAUAUGAGAUGUUCCAGGAGUUGAAGUUAAUAUUUCAAGCAAAUGCCCGGAUUGAGAGAUAUGAAGCCUCCAAUAAGUUCUACAGCUGCAAGAUGGAGGAGAAUAGUUCUGUCAGUGAACAUAUACUCAAAAUGUCUGGGUAUAAUAAUCACUUGAUUCAACUGGGAGUUAAUCUUCUGGAUGAUAGCGUCAUUGACAGAAUUCUCCAAUCACUGCCACCAAGCUACAAGAGCUUUGUGUUGAACUAUAAUAUGCAAGGGAUGAACAAGACUAUUCCCGAGCUCUUCGCAAUGCUAAAAGCUGCGGAGGUAGAAAUCAAGAAGGAGCAUCAAGUGUUGAUGGUCAACAAGACCACUAGUUUCAAGAAAAAGGGCAAAGGGAAGAAGAAGGGGAACUUCAAGAAGAACAACAAGCAAGUUGCUGCUCAAGAGAAGAAAGCCAAGUCUAGACCUAAGCCUGAAACUGAGUGCUUCUACUGCAAGCAGACUGGUCACUGGAAGCGGAACUGCCCCAAGUAUUUGGCGGAUAAGAAGGAUGGCAAAGUGAACAAAGGUAUAUGUGAUAUACAUGUUAUUGAUGUGUACCUAACUAGAGCUCGUAGUAGCACCUGGGUAUUUGAUACUGGUUCUGUUGCUAAUAUUUGCAACUCGAAACAGGGACUACGGAAUAAGCGAGCACUGGCCAAGGACGAGGUGACGAUGCGCGUGGGAAACGGUUCCAAAGUCGAUGUGAUCGCGGUCGGCACGCUACCUCUACAUCUACCUUCGGGAUUAGUUUUAGACCUAAAUAAUUGUUAUUUGGUGCCAGCGUUGAGCAUGAACAUUAUAUCUGGAUCUUGUUUGAUGCGAGACGGUUAUUCAUUUAAAUCAGAGAAUAAUGGUUGUUCUAUUUAUAUGAGUAAUAUCUUUUAUGGUCAUGCACCCUUGAAGAGUGGUCUAUUUUUAUUAAAUCUCGAUAGUAGUGAUACACAUAUUCAUAGUGUUGAAACCAAAAGAUGCAGAGUUAAUAAUGAUAGUGCAACUUAUUUGUGGCACUGCCGUUUGGGUCAUAUCGGUGUAAAGCGCAUGAAGAAACUCCAUACUGAUGGACUUUUGGAAUCACUUGAUUAUGAAUCACUUGGUACUUGCGAACCGUGCCUUAUGGGCAAGAUGACUAAAACGCCAUUCUCCGGAACUAUGGAGCGAGCAACUGAUUUGUUGGAAAUCAUACAUACUGAUGUUUGUGGCCCAAUGAAUGUUGAGGCUCGCGGUGGGUAUCGUUAUUUUCUCACCUUCACAGAUGAUUUGAGCAGAUAUGGGUAUAUCUACUUGAUGAAACACAAGUCUGAAACAUUUGAAAAGUUCAAAGAAUUUCAGAGUGAAGUGGAAAAUCAUCGUAACAAGAAAAUAAAGUUUCUACAAUCUGAUCGUGGAGGAGAGUAUUUGAGUUAUGAGUUUGGCCUACACUUGAAACAAUGUGGAAUAGUUUCGCAACUCACGCAACCUGGAACACCACAACGAAAUGGUGUGUCCGAACGUUGUAAUUGUACUUUACUUGAUAUGGUGCGAUCUAUGAUGUCUCUUACUGAUUUACCGCUAUCAUUUUGGGGUUAUGCUUUAGAGACGGCCGCAUUCACGUUAAAUAGGGCACCAUCAAAAUCCGUUGAAACGACGCCUUAUGAACUGUGGUUUGGCAAGAAACCAAAGUUGUCGUUUCUUAAAGUUUGGGGCUGCGAUGCUUAUGUGAAGAAACUUCAACCAGAUAAGCUCGAACCUAAAUCGGAGAAAUGUGUCUUCAUAGGAUACCCAAAAGAGACUAUUGGGUACACCUUCUAUCACAGAUCCGAAGGCAAGACAUUCGUUGCUAAGAAUGGAUCCUUUCUAGAGAAGGAGUUUCUCUCGAAAGAAGUGAGUGGGAGGAAAGUAGAACUUGAUGAGAUAACUGUAUCUACUCCCUUAUUGGAAAGUAGUUCAUCACGAGAACCAGUUCCUAUGACAACUACACCAAUUAGUGAGGAAGCUAAUGAUAAUGAUCAUGAAACUUCAGAUCAAGUUUCUACUGAACCUCGUAGGUCUACCAGAGUAAGAUCCGCACCAGAGUGGUACGGUAAUCCUAUUCUGGAAGUCAUGUUACUUGACCAUGAUGAACCUACGAACUAUGAGGAAGCGAUGAUGAGCCCGGAUUCCGCAAAAUGGCUAGAAGCCAUGAAAUCUGAGAUGGGAUCCAUGUAUGAAAACAAAGUAUGGACUUUGGUUGACUUGCCUGAUGAUCGGCAAGCCAUUGAGAAUAAAUGGAUCUUUAAGAAGAAGACUGACGCUGAUGGUAAUAUAACUGUCUAUAAAGCUCGACUUGUUGCAAAAGGUUUUCGACAAGUUCAAGGGGUUGACUACGAUGAGACUUUCUCACCCGUAGCGAUGCUUAAGUCCGUCCGAAUCAUGUUAGCUAUUGCUGCAUUUCAUGAUUAUGAAAUUUGGCAAAUGGAUGUCAAGACUACAUUCUUGAACGGAUUUCUAGAAGAAGAGUUGUAUAUGAUGCAGCCGGAAGGUUUUGUUGAUCCAAAAGGUGCUGACAAAGUGUGCAAGCUCCAGCGUUCCAUUUAUGAACUGGUGCAAGCAUCUCGGAGUUGGAAUAAACGCUUUGAUAGUGUGAUCAAAGCAUAUGGUUUUAUACAGACUUUCGGAGAAGCCUGUAUUUACAAGAAAGUGAGUGGGAGCUCUGUAGCAUUUCUAAUUUUGUAUGUAGAUGGCAUAUUAUUAAUUGGAAAUGAUAUAGAAUUUCUGGAUAGCAUAAAAGGAUACUUGAAUAAAAGUUUUUCAAUGAAAGACCUCGGUGAAGCUGCUUACAUAUUGGGCAUCAAGAUCUAUAGAGAUAGAUCAAGACGCUUAAUAGGACUUCCACAAAGCACAUACCUUGACAAAAUUUUGAAAAAGUUCAAAAUGGAUCAGGCAAAGAAAGGAUUCUUGCCUGUGCUACAAGGUGUGAAGUUGAGUGAAACUCAAUGCCCGACCACAGCAGAAGAUAGAGAGAAAAUGAAAAAUGUUCCCUAUGCUUCAGCCAUAGGCUCUAUCAUGUAUGCAAUGCUGUGUACCAGACCUGACGUAUGCUUAGCAAUAAGCUUGGCAAGAAGGUACCAAAGUAAUCCAGGAGUGGAUCACUGGACAGCGGUCAAGAACAUCCUGAAAUACCUGAAAAGGACUAAGGAUAUGUUUCUCGUAUAUGGAGGUGACAAAGAGCUAGUCGUAAACGGUUACGUCGAUGCAAGCUUUGACACUGAUCCGGACGAUUCUAAAUCGCAAACCGGAUACGUGUUUUUAUUAAACGGUGGAGCUGUAAGUUGGUGCAGUUCUAAACAAAGCGUCGUAGCAGGAUCUACAUGUGAAGUGGAGUACAUAGCUGCUUCGGAAGCAGCAAAUGAAGGAAUCUGGAUGAAGGAGUUCAUUUCCGAUCUAGGUGUCAUACCUAGUGCAUCGGGACCAAUGAAGAUCUUCUGUGACAAUACUGGUGCAAUUGCCUUGGCAAAGGAAUCCAGAUUUCACAAGAGGACCAAGCACAUCAAGAGACGCUUCAAUUCCAUUCGGGACCAAGUCCAAGUGGGAGACAUAGAGAUUUGCAAGAUACAUACGGAUCUGAAUGUCGCAGACCCGUUGACUAAGCCUCUCUCACGAGCAAAACAUGAUCAGCACCAAGACUCCAUGGGUGUUAGAAUCAUUACUAUGUAAUCUAGAUUGUUGACUCUAGUGCAAGUGGGAGACUGAAGGAAAUAUGCCCUAGAGGCAAUAAUAAAGUUAUUAUUUAUUUCCUCAUAUCAUGAUAAAUGUUUAUUAUUCAUGCUAGAAUUGUAUUAACCGGAAACAUGAUACACGUGUGAAUACAUAGACAAACAUAAAGUCACUAGUAUGCCUCUACUUGACUAGCUCAUUAAUCAAAGAUGGUUAUGUUUCCUAACCAUAGACAUGUGUUGUCAUUUGAUUAAUGGGAUCACAUCAUUAGGAGAAUGAUGUGAUUGACAUGACCCAUUCUGUUAGCCUAGCACUUGAUCGUUUAGUAUGUUGCUAUUGCUUUCUUCAUAACUUAUACAAAGUUCCUGCAACUAUGAGAUUGUGCAACUCCCGUUUACCGGAAGAACACUUUGUGUGCUACCAAACCUCACAACGUAACUGGGUGAUUAUAAAGGUGCUCUACAGGUGUUUCCGGAGGUACAUGUUGGGUUGGCAUAAUUCGAGAUUAGGUUUUGUCACUCCGAUUGUCGGAGAGGUAUCUCUGGGCCCUCUCGGUAAUACCAUCACCUAAGCCUUGCAAGCAUUUUAACUAAUGAGUUAGUUAUAAGAUGAUGUGUUACAGAACGAGUAAAGAGACUUGCCGGUAACGAGAUUGAACUAGGUAUUGGAUACCGACGAUCAAAUCUCGGGCAAGUAACAUACCGAUGACAAAGGGAACAACGUAUGUUGUUAUGCGGUUUGACUGAUAAAGAUCUUCGCAGAAUAUGUAGGAACCAAUAUGGGCAUCCAGGUUCCGCUAUUGGUUAUUGACCGAGAAUAGUUCUAGGUCAUGUCUACAUAGUUCUCGAACCCGUAGGGUCCACACGCUUAACGUUACGAUGACAGUUUUAUUAUGAGUUUACAAGUUUUGAUGUACCGAAGUUUGUUCGGAGUCCCGGAUGUGAUCACGGACAUGACGAGGAGUCUCGAAAUGGUCGAGACAUAAAGCUUGAUAUAUUGGACGACUAUAUUCGGAAGUGUUCCGGGUGAUUUCGGAGAAAACCGGAGUGCCCGAGGGUUACCGGAACCCCCCCCGGAGAGUUAAUGGGCCACAUGGGCCUUGGUGGGAAGAGAGAGGGGCAGCCAGGAAGGGCUGCGCACCCCCUCUCCCUCUGGUCCGNNNNNNNNNNNNNNNNNNNNNNNNNNNNNNNNNNNNNNNNNNNNNNNNNNNNNNNNNNNNNNNNNNNNNNNNNNNNNNNNNNNNNNNNNNNNNNNNNNNNNNNNNNNNNNNNNNNNNNNNNNNNNNNNNNNNNNNNNNCUUCCUUCCCCUCCUAGUAGGAGUAGGAAAGGAGGAGUCCUACUCCUACUAGGAGGAGGACUCCUCCUCCUGGCGUGCCCAACAAGAGCCGGCCGGCCUCCCCCCUCCCUCCUUUAUAUACGAGGGCAGGGGGCACCCCAUAGACACACAAGUUGAUCUACGGAUCGUUCCUUAGCCGUGUGCGGUGCCCCCCUCCACCAUAUUCCACCUCGGUCAUAUUGUCGCGGAGUUUAGGCGAAGCCCUGCGCCGGUAAAACAUCAUCAUCGUCACCACGCCGUCGUGCUGACGAAACUCAUCCCCGAAGCUUUGCUGGAUCGGAGCCCGGGGAUCGUCAUCGAGCUGAACGUGUGCUGAACUCGGAGGUGCCGUACGUUCGGUGCUUGGAUUGGUCGGAUCAUGAAGACGUACGACUACAUCAACCGCGUUGUCAUAACGCUUCCGCUUACGGUCUACGAGGGUACAUGGAUGAACACUCUCCCCUCUUGUUGCUAUGCAUCACCAUGAUCUUGCGUGUGCGUAGGAAUUUUUUUGAAAUUACUACGUUCCCCAACAGGUAAGUAGUAUGACUAUUAUCGCCCACAACUCUUUGUGUUCUACUCGUGCAUAUAACAUCUACGCAUAGACCUGGCUCGGAUGCCACUUUUUGGGAACGCAAUAUUUCAAAAAAAAUUUCCUACGAUCAUGCAAGAUCUAUCUAGGAGAUGCAUAGCAACGAGACAGGAGAGUGUGUCCACGUACCCUCGUAGACCGAAAGUGGAACCGUUUAGUAACGUGGUUGAUGUAGUCGAACGUCUUCACGAUCCAACCGAUCCAAGCACCGAACGUACGGCACCUCCGUGUUCAACACACGUUUAGCACGAUGAGGUCCCUCAAGCUCUUGAUCCAGUUGAGGACGAGGGAGAGUUCCGUCAGCAAGACGACGUGGCGACGGUGAUGAUGAAGUUACCGGUGCAGGGCUUCACCUAAGCCCUACAAUGAUAUGACCGAGGUGUUAAACUGUGGAUGGAGGCACCGCACCCGGCUAAGAGAUUGUCUGUUGUGCUUUGGGGUGGCCCCUUGCCCAUGUAUAUAAAGGAGGGGGGAGGAAGAGGCAGACCAAGGAGGAGGCGCGCCAAGGGGGGGGGGAGUCCUACUAGGACUCCAAACCUAGUAGGAUUCGCCCCCCAUUUCCUUCCAACAGAGAGGGGGAAAGGGGAAAGGAGGGAGAGGGAGAAGGAAAGAGGGGAGUCGUGCCACUUCCCCUUGUCCAAUUCGGAUUGGGGCAAGGGGGCGCGCCCCACCUCCUGUGGCCUGCCUCCUCUCCUCCACUAUGGCCCAUUAGGCCCAAUAACUUUCUUGGGGGGUUCCGACAGCCUCCCGGUACUCUGAUAAAUCCCCGAACCUUACCGGAACCAUUCCGAUGUCCGUAUAUAACCUUUCAAUAUAUCAAUCUUUACCUCUCGACCAUUUAGAGACUCCUCGUCAUGUCCAUGAUCUCAUCCGGGACUCCGAACAAACUUCGGUCAUCAAAUCACAUAACUCAUAAUACAAAUCGUCAUCGAACGUUCAGCGCGCGGACCCUACGGGUUCGAGAACUAUGUAGACAUGACCGAGACACAUCUCCGGUCAAUAACCAAUAGCGGAACCUGGAUGCUCAUAUUGGCUCCUACAUAUUCUAUGAAGAUGUUUAUUGGUCAAACUGCAUAACAACAUACGUCAUUCCCUUUGUCAUCAGUAUGUUACUUGCCCGAGAUUCGAUCGUUGGUAUCAUCAUACCUAGUUCAAUCUCGUUACUGGCAAGUCUCUUUACUCGUUCCGUAAUGCAUCAUCCCGCAACUAACUCAUUAGUCACAUUGCUUGCAAGGCUUAUAGUGAUGUGCAUUAUGAUACGUCUUCGUCGUAUCUAUAAUUCUUGAUUGUUCCAUGCCAAUAUCAUUCAACUUUCAUAUACUUUUGGCAACAUUUUAUACUAUUUUUUGGGACUAACAUAUUGAUCCAGUGCCCAGUGCGAGUUCCCGUUUGUUGCAUGUUUUAUGUUUCGCAGAAACCCCAUAUCAAACGGAGUCCAAAUGGGAUAAAAACGGAUGGAGCUUAUUUUUGGAAUAUUUGGGAAAUAUGGGAGGAAGAAUCAACGUGAGAUGGUGCCCGAGGUGGCCACGAGGUAGGGGCGCGCCCCUGACCCUCAUGGGCCCCUCGUAAGGCGGUUGCUGAUAUUCUUUUGCGGCAAGAAAGCUAAUUUUCGGAAAAAAAAAUCUUGGCGAAGUUCUCAGUCCAAUCGGAGUUAUGGAUCUCUGGAUAUAAAAGAAACGGUGAAAGGGCAGAACCUAGGAACGCAGAAACAGAGAGAGACAGAGAGACAGAUCCAAUCUCGGAGGGGCUCUCGCCCCUCCCAUGCCAUGGGAGCCAAGGACCAGAGAGGAAACCCUUCUCCCAUCUAGGGAGAAGGUCAAAGAAGAAGGGGGGCUCUCUCCCCUUGCUUCUGGUGGCGCCGGAACGCCGCCGGGGGCCAUCAUCAUCACCGCGAUCUUCACCAACACCUCCGCCAUCUUCACCAACAUCUCCAUCACCUUCCCCCAUCUAUAUUCAGAGGUCCACUCUCCCGCAACCCGUUGUAUCCUCUACUUGAACAUGGUGCUUUAUGCUUCAUAUUAUUAUCCAAUGACGUGUUGCCAUCCUAUGAUGUCUGAGUAGAUUUUCGUUGUCCUAUCGGUGAUUGGUGAAUUGCUAUGAUUGGUUUAAUUUGCUUGUGGUUAUGUUGCUAUCCUAUUGUGCCCUCCGUGUCAUGCAAGCGUGAGGGAUUUCCGCUGUAGGGUGUUGCAAUACGUUCAUGAUUCACUUAUAGUGGGUUGCUAGAGUGACAAAAGCUUAAACCCGAGUAAGGGGAUUGUUGCGUAUGGGAUAAAGGGGACUUGAUGCUUCAAUGCUAUGGUUGGGUUUUACCUUAAUGAUCUUUAGUAGUUGCGGAUGCUUGCUAAAGUUCAAAUCAUAAGUGCAUAUGAUCCAAGAAGAGAAAGUAUGUUAGCUUAUGCCUCUCCCACAUAAAACUUGCUAUCGGUCUAGUAAGGUAGUCAAUUGCUUAGGGACAAUUUCACAACUCCUACCACCACUUUUCCACACUCGCUAUAUUUACUUUAUUGCUUCUUUAUCUAAACAGCCCCUACUUUAUAUUUACGUGUUCUUUAUUAUCUUGCAAACCUAUCCAACAACACCUACAAAGUACUUAUAGUUUCAUACUUAUUCUAGGUAAAGCGAACACUAAGCGUACGUAGAGUCGUAUGAGUGGCAGAUAGGACUUGAGAGAAUAUUUGUUCUACCUUUAGCUCCUCGUUGGGUUCAACACUCUUACUUAUCGAAAGAGGCUACAAUUAUCCUCUACACUUGUGGGUUAUCAAGACCUUUUUCUGGCGCCGUUGCCAGGGAGUCAUAGCAUGGGGUGAAUAUUCUCGUGUGUGCUUGUUUGCUUUAUCACUAAGUAAUUUUUAUUUGCUGUUCUAAGUUGUUCUCUUUCUUUAGUUAUAUAUAUGGAACAAGAAAUACCAAAAAAAUUAGGUGUAGUUGCUACUCAUGGAGAUGGGGAACCUCCUAAAACCCUCAAUGCUCGUUAUGUGAAAGAAAUUAUGUACUACUUUUAUAAUCCUAAGAAAACCCCAUUCAAUUAUGUUAUGGGAGACACGUUGGAUCAACAUGAAUACUUUAGGGAUUAUCGCUUGACACAAAAAGGGAAACUAUUAUGGGAUCAAAUUUAUAUGUUGUAUUGGUAUGCUAGGCAACUAUGCUUGAGAUAUGAUUAUACUUGUUGCUCUAGGAUGAAGGCUCCACACCUUCCCUUUUCAUGGAAAUUUAAUGAUAAUAAAACCUUAGCUUCUUAUGCCAACGGUAUCUAUGAUUACUAUGAUGUGGAACAAAUAGAAGAAUCCGUUGCUUUUAUGGGUGCUUAUGAGAUUGAAUCUAUGUCUAAAGAGUUUGAUGAUUUUGAUGAUUCAGUUUAUAGACCUAAUUUUUUUUGCUAUACUUAGAUAUUGCUAUGAAAAUUAUGAAUACAAUUCCGAUAUUGAUGCAUUUAUUGAGAAAGUCUCCGCUGUCCAAGAAGAGACUAAUAUUUUGCAGGAAGCUAUGGAAGAAGAAAUUGAUGAAACUGUGAGCUCAUUGGAUGAAAAAGAUGAUAAGGAGAGCGAAGAACAAAAGGAGGAAGAGCGGAUUAGCUACCCGUGCCCACCUUCCAAUGAGAGUAACUCUUCAACUCAUACAUUGUUUAAUUCCCCUUCGUGCUUACGGAAGGAUGAUUGCUAUGAUGAUUGUUAUGUUCCCAUUGAUUCUUUUGAAAUAUCCCUUUUUGAUGAUGCUUGCUAUGCUUGUAGCCAAGAUGCCAAUAUGAAUUAUGCUUAUGGAGAUGAACUUGCUAUAGUUCCUUAUGUUAAACAUGAAAUUGUUGCUAUUGCACCCACACAUGAUAGUCCUAUUAUCUUUUUGAAUUCUACCGACUACACUAUAUCGGAGAAGUUUGUGCUUAUUAAGGAUUAUAUUGAUGGGUUGCGUUUUACUACUACACAUGAUGAUUUUGAUAGAUAUAAUAUGCAUGUGCUUGCUGCUCCUACUUGCAAUUAUUAUGAGAGAGGAACUAUAUCUCCACCUCUCUAUGUUUCCAACACGAUAGAAUUGCAAGAAACUGUUUAUACUAUGCAUUGGCCUUUACUAUGUGUGCAUGAAUUGUUCUUUUAUGACAUGCCGAUGCAUAGGAAGAGAGUUAGACUUCGUCAUUACAUGAUAUAUGUUAGUUUGUGCUCACUACUAAAUUACAAAUCAUUGUUAAUUAAAAUUGGCUUUGAUAUACCUUGGGAUUCGGGUGGAUCCAUUAGUUGAGCACUAUAUGCCUAGCUUAAUGACUUUAAAGAAAGCGCUGCCAGGGAGACAACCCAGAAGUUUUAGAGAGUCAUUUAUUUCUGUUGAGUGCUUUUAUAUAGUCUAAAAACAAAAAAAAAUAAAGUGGAUAAUCCAAAACUUUUCAUAAAGGAAAGUGAAAGUGAGAAAGACAAGCAUUGUUGAAGUGGGAGCUAGCCUUGAACUUUGUUCAUGCUCACGGAAACUUUGUGAAUCUUGAUUACAGAAACUUAUCAUCAAAAAUAAUUAUCACCUUGUACAAUUCCAUUGUAUUAUAAAAAUAAUGUGCCAAGGUUUGCCUUUAGGAUGUUUACAAUGCUUGUUGGUUUGUACGGUGUAGGACAGAAACUUCGGCUGUAGUGCGCGAUUUUACAUUGUUUACUGGAACGCCAAAUGGUUCUGAUUCUUUUUGCACUGUCUUUAUGUACAUAUUUUUUUAGUUUUCUUAAUUCUGGUAGAAUUUUGGGGGUACCAGAAGUAUGGUGGAUGUUCAGAUUGCUACAGACUGUUCCGUUUUUGACAGAUUCUGUUUUUGAUGCAUAGUUUGCUUGUUUUGAUGAAACUAUCAAUUUAUAUUAGUGGAUUAAGCCAUGGAAAAGUUAUAUUACAGUAGACACAAUGAAAAAACAAAAUAUGAAUUGGUUUUCAAUAGUACCUAUAGUAGUAAUUUGCUUUAUUAUACUAACGGAUCUUACCGAGUUUUCUGUUGAAGUUUUGUGUGGAUGAAGUGUUUGAUCGAGGAGGUCUCGAUAUGAGGAAAAGGAAGAGAGGCAAGAGCUCAAGCUUGGGGAUGCCCAAGACACCCCAAGUAAAUAUUCAAGGAGACUCAAGCGUCUAAGCUUGGGGAUGCCCCGGAAGGCAUCCCCUCUUUCUUCAACAAGUAUCGGUAUGUUUUCGGAUUCGUUUCGUUCAUGCGAUAUGUGCAAGUCUUGGAGCGUCGUUUGCAUUUAGUUUUUACUUUUCUUUUAUGCACCAUGCUGGUAUGAGAUAGUCCUUGGUUGAUUUAUAGAAUGCUCAUUGCAUUUCACUUAAAUAUUUUGAGUAUGGCUUUAUAGAAUUCUUCAUGUGCUUCACUUAUAUCUUUUGAAGUUUGGAUUGCAAGUUUCUCUUUACAUAGAAAACCGCCAUUCGUAGAAUGCUCUGUUGCUUCACUUAUAUUUGUUAGAGCGUGGGCAUAUCUUUUGUAGAAAGAAUUAAACUCUUUUGUUUCACUUAUAUAAAUUUAGAGAGAUGACAGGAAUUGGUCAUUCACAUGGUUAGUCAUAAAACCCUACAUAAACUUGCAGAUCGCUGAAUAUGAUAUGUUUGAUUCCUUGCAAUAGUUUUGCGAUAUAGAGAUGAUAAUAUGUGGGAGGUACUAGUAUAUGGUUGUGUUUAGUGAGGAUAUUGGCGUUAAGGUUUGUGAUUCCCGAAGCAUGCACGUAUGGUCUACUAACUAUGUAACCAAAUUGGCGCGCAUUGUAUUUUGAUUGUUUAUCUUUGCGUGAAGGUCGGGGGCGCGCGAUGGUUAACUCCUACCAACCUCCCCCUAGGAGUAUGCGUGUAGUACUUUGUUUCAAGGGCUAAUAAAUUUUUGCAAUAAGUAUGUGAUUUCUUUAUAACUAAUGUUGAGUCCAUGGAUUAUACGCACUCUCACCCUUCCAUCAUUGCUAGCCUAUUCGGUACCGUGCAUUUCCCUUUCUCACCUCAAGAGUUGGUGCAAACUUCGCCGGUGCAUCUAAACCCCGUGAUACGAUACACUCUAUCACACAUAAGCCUCCUUAUAUCUUCCUCAAAAUAGCCACCAUACCUACCUAUCAUGGCAUUUCCAUAGCCAUUCCAAGAUAUAUUGCCAUGCAACUUCCAUCAUCAUCAUAUACAUGACUUGAGCAUUCAUUGUCAUAUUGCCUUGCAUGAUCGUAAGAUAGCUAGCAUGAUGUUUUCAUGGCUUGUCCGUUUUUUGAUGUCAUUGCUAUGCUAGAUCAUUGCACAUCCGGGUACACCGCCGGAGGCAUUCAUAUAGAGUCAUAUCUUUGUUCUAGAUAUCGAGUUGUAAUAUUGAGUUGUAAGUAAAUAAAAGUGUGAUGAUCAUCAUUAUAGAGCAUUGCCCCAUAAAAAAAGAGGCCAAAGAAGCCUAAAUAAAAAAAGGGGGCCAAAGAAGCCCGCAAAAAAAAGAAAAGGGGCAAUGUUACUAUCCUUUUACCACACUUGUGCUUCAAAGUAGCACCAUGUUCUUCAUAUAGAGAGUCUCCUAUGUUGUCACUUUCAUAUACUAGUUGGAAUUUUCAUUAUAGAACUUAGCUUGUAUAUUCCAACGAUGGGUUUUCUCAAAUGCCCUAGGUCUUCAUGAACAAGCAAGUUGGAUGCACACCCACUUAGUUUUCAGGUUGAGCUUUCAUACACUUAUAGCUCUAGUGCAUCCGUUGCAUGGCAAUCCCUACUCCUCGCAUUGACAUCAAUUGACGGGCAUCUCCAUAGCCCGUUGAUUAGCCGCGUCGAUGUGAGACUUUAUCCCUUUUUGUCUUGUCUACAUAACCUCCACCAUCAUAUUCUAUUCCACCCAUAGUGCUAUAUCCAUGGCUCACGCUCAUAUAUUGCGUGAAAGUUGAAAAAGUUUGAGAAUACUAAAGUAUGAAACAAUUGCUUGGCUGACACCGGGAUAGGCAUGAUUGGUACCUUGUGUUAAGAAAAGGGAGCAUACAAGACUAUAUGAUUUUUUAGGGAUAACGUUCUAAAGCAUUGAUAUUUUGAAAGACAUGAUUGUUUGUUGGGAUGCCCUAAGUAUUAUUAUUUUUAUGUCAAAUGAUAGACUAUUACUUUAAAUCACUCGUGUCUUAAUAUUCAUGCCAUGAUUAGAUAUAUGAUCAAGAUUAUGCUAGGUAGCAUUCCACAUCAAAAAUUAUCUUUUUUUAUCAUUUACCUACUCGAGGAGGAGCGGGAAUUAAGCUUGGGGAUGCUGAUACAUCUCUGUCGUAUCUAUAAUUCUUGAUUGUUCCAUGCCAAUAUUAUUCAACUUUCAUAUACUUUCGGCAACUUUUUAUACUAUUUUUGGGGACUAACAUAUUGAUCCAGUGCCGAGUGGCAGUUCUUGUUUGUUGCAUGUUUUAUGUUUCGCAGAAACCCCAUAUCAAAUGGAGUCCAAAUGGGAUAAAAACGGACGGAGCUUAUUUUUGGAAUAUUUGGGAAAUAUGGGAGAAAGAAUCAAUGUGAGACGGUGCCCGAGGUGGCCACGAGGCAGGGGGCGCGCCUACCCAUACUGGGCGCGCCCCUGACCCUCGUGGGCCCCUUGUAAGGCGGUUGCUGCUAUUCUUUUGCCGCAAGAAAGCUAAUUUUUGGAAAAAAAUCUUGGCGAAGGUUUCAGUCCAACCGGAGUUACGGAUCUCCGGAUAUAAAAGAAACAGUGAAAGGGCAGAAUUCAGGAACACAGAAACAGAGAGAGACAGAGAGACAGAUCCAAUCUCGGAGGGGCUCUCGCCCCUCCCAUGCCAUGGGAGCCAAGGACCAGAGGGGAAACCCUUCUCCCAUUCAGGGAGAAGGUCAACGAAGAAGAAGGGGGGCUCUCUCCCCCUUGCUUCCGGUGGCGCCAGAACGCCGCCGGGGCCAUCAUCAUCACCGUGAUCUUCACCAACACCUCCGCCAUCUUCACCAACAUCUCCAUCACCUUCCCCCAUCUAUAUUCAGUGGUCCACUCUUCUGCAACCCGCUGUACCCUCUACUUGAACAUGGUGCUUUAUGCUUCAUAUUAUUAUCCAAUGAUGUGUUGCCAUCUUAUGAUGUCUGAGUAGAUUUUCGUUGUCCUAUCGGUGAUUGGUGAAUUGCUAUGAUUGGUUUAAUUUGCUUGUGGUUAUGUUGCUGUCCUAUUGUGCCCUCCGUGUCGCGCAAGCGUGAGGGAUUCCUGCUGUAGGGUGUUGCAAUACGUUCAUGAUUUGCUUAUAGUGGGUUGCUAGAGUGACAGAAGAUUAAAUCCGAGUAAGGGGAUUGUUGCGUAUGGGAUAAAGGGGACUUGAUGCUUUAAUGCUAUGGUUGGAUUUUACCUUAAUGAUCUUUAGUAGUUGCGGACGCUUGCUAAAGUUCCAAUCAUAAGUGCAUAUGAUCCAAGAAGAGAAAGUAUGUUAGCUUAUGCCUCUCCCACAUAAAACUUGCUAUCGGUCUAGUAAAGUAGUCAAUUACUUAGGGAUAAUUUCACAACUCCUACCACCAUUUUUCCACACUCUCUGUAUUUACUUUAUUGCUUCUUUAUCUAAACAGCCCCUAGUUUAUAUUUACGUGUUCUUUAUUAUCUUGCAAACCUAUCCAACAACACUUACAAAGUACUUAUAGUUUCAUACUUUUUCUAGUUAAAGCAAACACUAAGGGUACGUAGAGUCGUAUGAGUGGCAGAUAGGAUUUGAGAGAAUAUUUGUUCUACCUUUAGCUCCUCGUUGGGUUCGACACUCUUACUUAUCGAAAGAGGCUACAAUUAUCCCCUAGACUUGUGGGUUAUCACAUUACCGAGAGGCCCAGAGAUACCUCUCCGAUACACUGAGUGACAAAUUCUAAUCUCAAUCUAUGCCAACUCAACAAACAUCAUCGGAGACACCUGUAGAGCAUAUUUAUAAUCACAUAGUUACGUUGUGACGUUUGAUAGCACACAAAGUGUUCCUCCGGUAUUCGGGAGUUGCAUAAUCUCAUAGUCAGAGGAAUAUGUAUAAGUCAUGAAUAAAGCUAUAGCAAUAAAACUUAACAAUCAUUAUGCUAAGCUAACAGAUGGGUCUUGUCCAUCACAUCAUUCUCUAAUAAUGUGAUCCCGUUCAUCAAAUGACAACACAUGUUAUGGUUAGGAAACUUAACCAUCUUUGAUUAACGAGCUAGUCAAGUAAAGGCAUACUAGGGUCACUCUGUUUUGUCUAUGUAUUCACACAUGUACUAAGUUUCUGGUUAAUAUAAUUAUAGCAUGAAUAAUAAACAUUUAUCAUGAUAUAAGGAAAUAUAAAUAACAACUUUAUUAUUGCCUCUAGGGCAUAUUUCCUUCAAAAACUAGACGAGCUUGAGGUAGAGGAGGCAUCAUAAACAUAAAACUAUACUCACCCCGUCUCGGUUUAUACGACAUGCACGUAGUUCUAAGUCAUCCAUUUGACAAAUUAAAUAUGAGUCAUAUGUCACAAGAAGUAUAUCAUUGGAUUCUUAAGCAGAUAUANNNNNNNNNNNNNNNNNNNNNNNNNNNNNNNNNNNNNNNNNNNNNNNNNNNNNNNNNNNNNNNNNNNNNNNNNNNNNNNNNNNNNNNNNNNNNNNNNNNNNNNNNNNNNNNNNNNNNNNNNNNNNNNNNNNNNNNNNNNNNNNNNNNNNNNNNNNNNNNNNNNNNNNNNNNNNNNNNNNNNNNNNNNNNNNNNNNNNNNNNNNNNNNNNNNNNNNNNNNNNNNNNNNNNNNCUCAACCUAGAACGAUGUACAUGCCCUGUAAACGGAGACGGAGGAAGUACGGGAGUCAAUGAGUGUCCUCACCAGUAGUAAUGACUAGUUGAACAUUAAACUCGUAGUGUGGGUCUGUGGCCAAGAGGUAACUUAAUUUUUCUUAUCGCAAAAAAGAAGCUAAAUACUUUAAACACACAAACCAGUACGAACCAAAACGAACAAACUUCAUGUUUUUGUUGCAAUUAGUUACCAUUUUCGGUGCUCAGGACAGCUAAACAAAAGGAAAGCUGCACCUCGGCGCGAGUCCCGCAAGCGAAACACACCGGUCGAGAGACCUCGGAAGAAGAAGAAAACCUCCGGCCACCCCGAAACUACUCUCGACGACCUCCUGAUAAACCAUGCCCAAUACAUGCUAUUAUGCUCAAUUCCCACCCGACUCACAUCCUUCGCGACUGCUGGGUUGUGAGGCGGGUGGCUAAAGGAGGACCCGCCCUUCUGGCAGACACCCUCAGCCACGCAGAACAGUCCUCGGACGAAGACGAGGUCAUGAUGAUUUACGAGACCUUCGCAUCCAACAACCAGCGCAAACGAGCCCUGCGGGAAAUCAAUUCUAUCCGACAGGUGCCAACUCGGGCCGCGUGGAUAGACACGCCAAUCACCUUUGAUCACAAAGAUUAGCCGAGGUCGACCCUGAACAAGUGCCCCACCGUGCUGGUCCUCAACCCAAUUAUGGAUAGCUGCUGACUUCGGAAGGUGCUCAUGGACGAAGGCAGCAGCUUAAAUUUGAUAUAUGCUGACACUCUGGACAAAAUGCAUAUCGAUAAAUCAUGUAUAGAACAGAGUGGCACCGUCCGCUGGUCGCCUGUGUUGUUGGUUGAUGUUUGACCUCUAUAGAAGAGACAAAAAAAAGCGAUCAUGCUUCCUUUAAUUCGACGUUUUUUGCAUCGUACUUGAGCUCUUUUCUUUGAUUUUUUUAAUAACGCACACGACCUGGUGACCUGCGAUCUUUUUUUUUAUUUUCGAGCCUGGCCACCGUGUAGUCCUUGUUGAUUUUUGUUUUUGCACGGAUAGUAAAUCACGUGAUGUGCAUCGCGACCAAGACGAAGGAAAAAACGAAAGAACUUAAUGUCUUUUGCUAAUUAGUAGUACUAGCAAAAGUGCCCGUGCGUUGCAACGGGUGAACAACAAAAAAAUCAGAAAAUUUAUAAAUCCAAAAUAAAAUAAUUCGAGUUCAGGGAAAUUGCACCAAUAUGUCAGUUUUACAGAUUGAUAAUUAAGAAUAAAUGAUGCAAUAGAGCAAAGAACACGAGACAUCAAAUUUAUGACAUAAAAGAAAUAGACCAAAGAUUUUUAAUGAUGUCGGUAGUCAAUCCCCCUAGGGGGGUGUGCGUUGCAACGGGAGACACAAAAAAUACAUGCUAGCCAAAUAAGUAUGACUUAAUAUCUAGACAUAUGAGUGUUCUUUAUUUUAACACGGUGGCUCACCAUGUUGCCACAUAUCUUUCUUCCCACUCUCGUUGAUGAUGGACACAAUGUCCACGUGAUCGUAAUGCAUUCGACGUGGUAUCCUAGGCAAUGAGCUUAUCGCUGCACGAAACACUUGCCAUCGUCUCGCGCAAGGGAAUAUUUAAAUCUUUAAAAACAAAUCUCAUCGACCACGAACUAUUCUCAAUGCCUAGACAUAUAAAUACUUUCCAAAAACUAAUCAAAUCCUAGACAUAAAAUACUUCUGAACCGGCGAACAGUUUUUUGAAUCGACAAACAUCUUUUUGAAAUUAGGACAUCUUUAUAAAAUCACGAACAUUUGUUUUGUUUACAGAAACAUUUAUUGAAAUGCAUGAAUAGUUUUUUAAUUCAUGAAUAUUUUUUGACUUAGUUAUUUUUUUUUGAAUUGAUGACUUUUUUAAAUUGGGGGUUGGAUUUUGAAUUUCGCAAAAGACAUAUAAUUUUUUGAAUAUUUUCUAAAAAAAUUCAUUGACAUUUUUUCCAGAUUAACGAAUAUGUUUUGAAUACACAAUAUUUUUUUUCAAAAUCAUGAACAUGAUUGUACUUCCUGACAUGUUUUUCCAGAUUGUGAUUUUUCAUAAUUUGCGAACAGUUUCGUAAGAUCACCAAUAUUUUUUGAAACAGCAAAAAUUUUAUUAUUUCCUGAAGUUCUUUUUUGAAUUCACUCAUAUUUUAUAAUUUCUCUGAAAAAUUAUAACUGAAAACUUUUUAUAAUUUAGAAUUGUCAAAUAAAUUUAAAGAAGAAAAAACUAAAACAGAAAUGAGAGAAGAAAAGAAAAGACAAAAUGAAAAAAGAACAGGAGCGUCACAGCGGGUAGGCCCGGCCCAUGAAGGCGUAAGGUGUGGAGGAGGUGCCUAGGAAAAAAGGAGGCAACAAAAACGGUACUACCAGGAUUCGAACCCUGGUGUGCUGUGUAGAAGCAACAGAUUCUAGCCACCACGAUGGUAGUGCGUCUAUGUCAUUAAUAGGGCAUCGCCCGUAUAAAACCACUGAGCACAGCGGCGCUUUGAAAAUAAAAACCGAAUCGUUUUCUUAACUUACGGGUGGCAUAGCGGGUAAUUUAUAGCUAAUUCGGGGGCAAUUAUUUGGACGGACGACAGAAACACUAUUUGCUUUAUUAUUACUAGCAAAAAUGCCCGUGCGUUGCAACGGGAGAUACAAAAAUAGCUCAGGUCCUUAGUUAAGGUCCCCUCCCUGCAGCAGAUCCAGGUCCUCUAUUUCAACAUGAUAUCUCAUCCAUAUCGCCGCUUAUUUUCCUUCCCUCCAUGCCGUUGGCAUGUGUAGAACACAUAGUUUAUGAUGCGAUAAACAUCUCUAGCAGACAUUUAAGUGUGUAGGUUCCAGAACGUGAGACUUUUACAAUGUCAAGAACAUAGUAAAAAUUGUUGUCUGUAGCUUGCGACACUUGCAAGUAGUAGAGAGGAGGAUGAAGAAGUGGAUGGGACAAUGGUGCGGGUGCGGCCAGCAUCGAUGAUGAUCUGGUGAUACACAAAGGAGGCAAAGGCAGCAUGGGAAGGGCAGAUGACUUAGGAGAAACACAUGGGUGGGGGUGGGAUAGGAGGCAUUUGAUAAAAAUGGCACACAUUUCCUUUCAUAGUACACUUUUCUUUGUCCUAGAUACUUUGCGAGUUGGGACAGGCAUGUUGGGGAUAGGAGGCAUUUAACUGAAGUUUAGGGUUGCAUGAGCAAUAAUAAGAACAAGCCUGACACCUUGAGGAUUCCCAUGUGUCUACAGUAAUACAUAUAAAUGAAGCACUCUAGUGUGAAAACUAAAAAAGAUAAAUUGAAUCUCAAAUUCUUUGUGUCUUGACAUCAGGAAAGGAAACUAAGCAAUGGUGAGGUCUAAUAUAAGAAUUCAAUAUAGAAAGCAUCAUUGUUGUAAGUCCGUUUAUUGUAACAAUUAGGCUAAUGCACAGGAUCAAUCAGCUAAAUCUCGCAGUCGAGGACCUACUUGACCAGCUUUCCAGCAAGCGCCGCAUCUUGGAUGCGCGGCUGGGCGAGGUAGUACUGUCACAGGUUGAGCGGUUAAUUAGAAUUUUAUGAAACAAUAAGAGAUAGAACAGUAUCUGUAUAAUUAUUCAAGGAAACUCUGUUGAGCAGUUAAUACAGACGACACAUCAAACUACAAUGCAUCCGCAGUAUAUGACAACCAAAGACAUUCGCAUAAUCUAGAAGACAGCUAUGCUAUCAUAUAGAUGAAGAAGGGAAGAAAACAGAGGAAAUUUGAACUCACAUCAUUAUACUGUUUAGGCUUUGCUUCCUUGUCUCUACCAGGUCCUUUUUUCAGCUCUUCUACAGGUUCACCUUCUUCCACUUCAACAACUUUCUCUGACAGAUAACACCACCAAUGUCAGCAACCAAGAUGAAAAUAAGCAAAACAUUGUUCAGCACCAGUGAGAGACAUAGCCAAGCUACAUUCGUGACCUGAUCAAUCUUUUCAAGUUGAAAUUCAAAAUAGAGGUGUGUCUUUGUGAGCAGAUCGUCCAACUGUUGCCUUCAGAUCAAAAGCCUCCUACCUUGCAGCUUCUCUUCCCGGCCUCCUCUUCUGCCUCUACCUUGCGCUGGGUUUGACACGAACAUAGAGAUGGGGAGAGAGGCACGAGGCGGAGCUGCAUGGCCGCCUUCGUGGGUCGGCCGCUUGGUGUGGGUGCCCGCCUCAGCCUACCCGCUUUUCCCCUACCGUCGAUGAUAUUUCUCCCGACGACCGCGGCGAAACCAUCGAUCUGCCAAGACAAACAUAAACUGAUAAUCUGAACUUUGUACCAAUUACUCACUGAUAAACUCAACGUACCAGAUGGCAAUGGCAUCCAGAAAAAGCAUUCGCCUUCAUGCACGUGCAAUGCAGUUCAUAACUGCGAUUUGACCCCCAUCAUAUGCUCCAAGGCAUAAUAUUACGAUUAGACUAAAAGGACAUGCAACUUUGUUUUCAUCAAGGAACUGAAUGAUGUCAAUUCCAGACCGCACGUUUCUUCGGUUCAAGAACAACUAACACCAAGGGAGUUCAGCAAAGAUUCUACAUAACAGGAUAGGGGGUGUCGGUGUCAAAACCGGCGGAUCUCGGAUAGGGGGUCCUGAACUGCGCGUCUAAGGCUAAUGAUAACAGGAGACUGGGGACACGAUGUUUACCCAGGUUCGGGCCCUUUUGAUGGAGGUAAUACCCUACUUCCUGCUUGAUUGAUCUUGAUGAUAUGAGUAGUACAAGAGUUGAUCUACCACGAGAUCAUAGAGGCUAAACCCUAGAAGCUAGCCUAUGGUAUGAUUGUUGUUGUCAUACGGACUAAACCCUCCGGUUUAUAUAGACACCGGAGGGGGCUAGGGUUACAUAGAGUCGGUUACAGAGAAGGAGAUCUAUCAUUCGAAUCGCCAAGCUUGCCUUCCAUGCAAAGGAGAGUCCCAUCCGGACACGGGACGAAGUCUUCAAUCUUGUAUCUUCAUAGUCCAACAGUCCGGCCAAAGUAUAUAGUCCGGCUGUCCGGAUACCCCCUAAUCCAGGAAUCCCUCAGUAGCCCCUGAACCAGGCUUCAAUGACGAUGAGUCCGGCGUGUAGAUUGUCUUCGGCAUUGCAAGGCGGGUUCCAUCUCCGAAUACUUCAAGAUAACUUCCGAACACAAGGAUCGUGUCCGGCUCUGCAAGACAAAUUUCACAUACCACCGUAGAGAGAUAAAUAUUUCACAAAUCAAAUCUGCUGACACCACGACAUCACACCAUGGCCGAGUCAUCAUUCGAGCCGUUUUCUCAUAGCCGGCCACCGCACAUAUUGCGAGGCGGUUAUCUCGGCACAUCUUGUCGAAGCAGAGAUCGUGUCCCCUUAUCACGAGAUUCUCAUUAAUAAGGGUACGGGUAACCCAUCCAUGUUUAUUUAACGUGAUGCUUGGAAAAUAAGCGAUUUUAACAGGAAAGUGGGGAGGCGCAGAGUUUUCACUGCCUCUAUAAAGGGACAAGGAUUCCCCAUUCUUACCCACACCUUCUUCCUCCUUUGCUCAUCCAUCCUCGCACUCUCGAGCUCUAGCGCCCAAGUUCUCACCUUCUCCGUAGGACCAUUCGCAGCAUGUCCGGAGCGGAAGGCAAGUGGAUGGCCUCCUCCAUCAUGGAGGAGGACAUUACCAAGCUUCGGGCGGCCGCAUACCUGGCUGCAAACAUCGCACACAAGCUACCAGGGGAGGGACAGAUCACCCCCACUCCAAAGUCUCGGGAGAGAGUUGUAUUCCUCCCCCAUUUCAUCCGCGGACUAGGAUUUCCACUCCACCCGUUCAUCCGCGGGCUCAUGUAUUACUAUGGGCUAGAUUUCCAUGAUCUAGCCCCAAAUUUCAUCCUCAACAUCUCGGUGUUCAUCGUCGUGUGCGAGGCCUUCCUCCGCAUCAGGCUCCACUUCGGCCUGUGGCUGAAAAUCUUCUGCAUGAAGCCGAAGAUCGUUAGCGGCCAGCAGGCGGAGUGCGGAGGCGCCAUGGUGGGCAGAAUGCCCAACGUUACAUGGCUUGACGGCUCCUUUGUGGAGACCGUGAAAGGGUGGCAAUCAGGGUGGUUCUACAUCACCGAGCCGCGCGACGCCAAUUGGGUGGCGGCCCCCAAAUUCCGAUCCAGAAUCCCCAUGCAGCUCACCUCUUGGGAAAAGAAGGGUCUGGCCUGGGGAAAACCUGUGGAGCUGAUCGGACUCGAGACCUGCAUCCAAAGUAUGAGGGACAAGAAGAUCAAGCUUGUCAAUGUGGUCCAGGUCAUGCUCGUCCGCCAGAUCCUCCCGUGUCAAAGACGGGCAUUCAAUAUGUGGGAGUUCGAUCUGGCCGAACACCAGAUGCUGCAUGAGCCCUUCGACAUGACGCAUAAGGACGUCUGGAAGGUGUUGUUCAAGGCCGGCGAAGUUCCUCCUCCCACUUUUGAGGACCGCAGACUCAGCGCAAAGCGCCUUGCCAAUCCGCUAAGUCCUCUGAGUAUCACAAGAUGUAUCUUUCCCAACGUGUUCGUGGGAGGACUUGAAGUCAUUAUACUGUCAAAACAGGAUUAUGUGGAGACGGCGGAGCGGAUCGACUGCCCGACUCCGCUACCCGAAGAUCCAGCAACCGCACUCCUGACGGAGAUGCUGGCUCUGGUGCCUUACAAGGUGCCGGGGAAGAAGGCCGAAAAGAAGGCCACAGGGACCAGGAAGGGUCUCCGGUGCGAGAUUGCACCGGACGCCUCACCCAAAUACGAUGAGGCGCACUCCUCCCAUGAAGGGGAGGAGAAGAAGAGGAAGAAGGCCGCCCCGUCCGGGGAGACCGAAGGGUCCAAGAAAGCGGCCGCGGGGACCAAGAAGGGUCUCCGACGCAAGGCCGUAAUAGACUCGUCGUCCGAGGACGGCGAGGCAGAUUCCUCCCAUGGAGACGGGGGGAAAUACGAAGAAAUGCCCCCUCCCCGCACUGGGGAGGAGAAGAAAAGGAAAGCCGCCCCACAGGGGGAGGCUAGGACGCCGAAGAAGGGAAAGGCAUCCCUUCCAGACCACUCCACUACGGCCGCCUACAACAAGGAGGAGUGGCUGCCCAGGGGCAAGCCCCGGGCGAAGUCGUAAGUAUCCGCACUCUAUAAUACCUUUCGUGCGACUUUAACUUCAUAGUUUGUAAUAACACCGAGUACGUGUAUGCAGUCCGGCCGGGUCUAAUCUCGGGGUAUCCUCUUGGGAUGGGUCCUUGAGUGAGUCGGAGAUGGGUUCACUCCCGACGGCCACCUCCCCACGACCUGCAGAUGACAUCGAGGUGUUGUCCCAAAGGAUACCAGAGCAGGGGGCGACGGUUCUGGAGACACCCCAAGGAAAAAUCCCGGAUGCUGUGACACUCCCAUUUUUUUUUGUGAUUUUUGUUUUCACAAAGAGCCUUGCUUGGUUUGAAGAAGGUCAUUUAAACCCUUCUUAAAAACCCUCUUCUAAGUUUGCCCUCUCAAAAAUCCUUUCUUGGAUUUAGUUUCUUUUAAAAAGAAAACCUUUUGUUUUUGAGCUUUCUUUUGAUUUUGAUCCAUUCUGGUUUACCAUGCCUCUUAUGGUAAAACUUCCCCAAAAACCCCUCCUCCCACUUGGGUACAACCCAAACAUUCUGUCCAAACUAAUAAAAUCCAUUUUUGGAUUUUAUUCCAAUUAUUUCUCUUCCCAAAAUAAUUCUGUCUUUUCUUUUGAGCCUAGGUGAUUUGCAAAGCAAGUACCCUAAUGCAUUUGAUUUUUGAACUCAACUCAACACCUCUGGAUAGUCCUUUGUACCCACAACCCAGAACCAUCUUGAUCCACUCUUCUUCUUUUCAAAUAUUUCAAAUUUCACUCUCUGCAAGUUUGGACCACAUUUGCCAAAUUUGGUGAAAUUCAUAUCUACACUUCUCCAAAAAUUCCACCAAAAUUCAGGCAACCUCUAGUUGCAAUGAGAGACCUCUCCACCAAAAAUCAGCUCAAGGAAAAAUCCCUAGAUGCCAGAAUCAUUCUGUCGAACACGUGUCAUGCACUGUUUUUGUUCAUAUUCAGUAAAUUCAGAGUUUCAGUGUCGUUUCCCCGACAGAACUUCAGUCACAUGCCCACUGUGCGUUUGGCUCGAUGCUCACAGCCCCUCCCUCUUGUCCGGAGCUCCACACGCGCGCUUGGCGCCUUCCUGGCGUCGGUGGCACCCUGGCCCGCCUGCGCCGGCGUGCUUUGCGGCGGCUGAACCACUGUAAUGGCCGACAGGGGACAACACCGUGGCAGAACGCCGUUCGGCGCCGCCCAAUCCUCCUGGUAGCUCUGCGUGGCCACCUCCUUGCCAGCGCACGCAUGCAGCACCGUCACCGUGGCCUGGCACGCGCAGAGCGCGUUCUCUGCCGCCAACGGGCCGUGCUGCCGUUCCGUCGUGGGUAGGCCGUAACCCUCCCUCCCGUGCUGAGUUGGAUCCUGAAAUGGCACCACUGCUCCACCUAGGCGAUGCUCAAGCUCCUAAGCCGACUGUCCCGCCACAGCGCCGCCGUAAUCACCCGCCGGACUUAUCCGUUCAUGGAAACCGCCUCGGGCCGGCUAUAAAUAGCACCCCCGAGCUUGCUCUCGCCCCCGCACAACUCCACCACCUCAUUAGACCCCGCCUAGCCACUGGAAGAGCCUCGAGGGGCCCUUCUUCCCCAACUCCGACCGCCUCGUUCCGCUUCGGCCUCCACCUCGAUUCACUCCGGUGAGGCCGUCUCCGGCGCCCUGACCUCGUCAGCAACCCUCUCGAGCAACUCGGAGACUAACCCCCACUCCUAUUUGAUCCCCGCAGCUCCCUCCGGUGAAAUCCACGACUGCCCGAACCGCCGUCCGCCGGAGCAAGGGCCGCCGUCGACACAGUGCUCGCCGGCGACCACCACCACCACCCACAGACGCGGAAAGGUGCACUGAUCACGAAGGUAACCCCCGAUCACCUUGCCUCGCCGUGGAUCGCCGCCGGCGACCACCGCACCUCUCGGGCACCGUCGCGCUCUUUUUCCCUCGUUUGAAAAUUAAAACUUGACAGGUGGAGCCUGCCUGUCAGUCUCUCAGCCGUUUCUUUUAAACGAAACGUUUUUCUGGUUUUUUUCUGCAGAACCCCCUGGAAACUUUCUGUUUCAUUACAGAUGGGUCCUUGGGCCAAAACUCUUAUAACUUUUAAAUAGAAAAUGAUUUUGGAUUGAUUCCUUUUCUGUCACUUUUAUUUUUCUGUCUAGUUUUUUGUCAUAUUUAUUUGAAAAAUAUUUGGAACACUUUUCUGUACACUCACGGUAUUUACAUUACGUACGUAUUUUUCUUAUACCGUAGAUACCGGAGGAGGUGACGGAGCUGCAAACUUCACACAGAUAAACUCCGACUACUCCGAACCAGGCAAGCAUGUUUGAACUCUUGAUAUGAUGAGUGGUUGUUGCAUGUUUGCAUUUUAGUAUAGUCAUGGCAUGUUUAUGAACAUUUCUUGAAUGUUAUAUUUGAUGCACAUUAGUGGAAAGUAAGUUUCGGAAAGCAUUAUGUCGUGGGAUACAUAUUUGCAUGGCCAUGUGAUGGCAUGAGGAAGGGUAAGAUGGAAGUGUUGUGACAUGCCAGUCUUACGCCGGAUUAUUUGACUUCCGUGUCAUCGUGAAUCAAAUCACAUUUCCAUUCAUUUCCUUCCGUACUAUCACAUGCUUUCCAAAAGGAAUAUGGCUUAGUAAGUUGCAAACCGUUUUCCUGGUACACACCAAAUAGAGAGGCCGGGAUGAGGGUUCCAUGGCCCUGGAUUAAAGCCCGUCAUCCGGUCAGGGGGCAUGGGUGUUUCCGAUUGGGACCGAGAGGGGGGCACCCCUUAGAGCGCGCGUAUAGAAAUUUGAUCCCAUGCUAUUCGAGGUUGUGGCCUCCCCGUCUCAAAGUUUUUCUUGGACGUUGUCCAGGGUGAUUCCUGGCAUCGUGAGGUGAAAUGGGUGUGUACUAGUUAAAUGUGUUUCUACUGAAAUACCGUAAACGGAACUAGUCCUUCGUGACUACAGAAAUCCGUUGGCUGUGGUCAGUUCAUCCAAACUCUGCAGAGUCACAAAGCUUUCAAUUAUCUUGUACUUUGUUCAAGUACUAUAUUCAUCUUAUCUUGUCAAGUAUCAACCUCAGUGACAAAUCUCUGGUGGAAUUCAUGUGUGAUAAAUCCGGUUAAAAGAUUAUUCUUAUGGAUGGACUAAUCUUGUUAUUUACUUUUGUUGUAAGCCCUGUCUGUGAUGUCGCUCAGACGUCCGACGGUGGCAUGCUUGUAUUUACAUUUAUUGUAAGCCCUGUCUGCGAUGUCGCUCAGACGUCCGACGGUGGCAUAAUUGUCUUUACUUUUAUUAAAGCCCUUUAUGUGAUGUCGCUCAGACGUCCGACUGUGGCAUUUCUUUUAAAGCCCUUUAUGUGAUGUCACUCAGACGUCUGACUGUGGCAUUUCUUUUAAAGCCCUUUUUGUGAUGUCGCUCAGACGUCUGACUGUGGCAUUUCUUUUAAAGCCCUUUAUGUGAUGUCGCUCAGACGUACGACUGUGGCAUUUCUUUUAAAAGCCCUUUAUGUGGUGUCGCUUAGACGCCUGAGUGCGGCAUGAGGUUUAUUUGUUUACCUUUCGAGGCGUCGCUCCAGACACCCGAUCUGUUUUCAUUUAUUGGUUUUCUUAUCNNNNNNNNNNNNNNNNNNNNNNNNNNNNNNNNNNNNNNNNNNNNNNNNNNNNNNNNNNNNNNNNNNNNNNNNNNNNNNNNNNNNNNNNNNNNNNNNNNNNNNNNNNNNNNNNNNNNNNNNNNNNNNNNNNNNNNNNNNNNNNNNNNNNNNNNNNNNNNNNNNNNNNNNNNNNNNNNNNNNNNNNNNNNNNNNNNNNNNNNNNNNNNNNNNNNNNNNNNNNNNNNNNNNNNNNNNNNNNNNNAUGUGAUGUCACUCAGACGUCUGACUGUGGCAUUUCUUUUAAAGCCCUUUUUGUGAUGUCGCUCAGACGUCUGACUGUGGCAUUUCUUUUAAAGCCCUUUAUGUGAUGUCGCUCAGACGUCCGACUGUGGCAUUUCUUUUAAAGCCCUUUAUGUGAUGUCGCUCAGACGUACGACUGUGGCAUUUCUUUUAAAAGCCCUUUAUGUGGUGUCGCUUAGACGCCUGAGUGCGGCAUGAGGUUUAUUUGUUUACCUUUCGAGGCGUCGCUCCAGACACCCGAUCUGUUUUCAUUUAUUGGUUUUCUUAUCAAGUUGUGCAUAAAUAUUAUUAUUGUUGAGAUGAGCAUCAUUAUUCAUAUUCAUGACGCAUUCAUGCAUUCAUUGAUUAUAUCUUUUGUCCGAACUGUCUUGCGAGUACUUUCAAAGUACUCACCUGGCUUGUUGAUUUGGCCAGAUGUUGAUGAAGGCGAUCUCAUGGAUGAAGAGUUUGAUAGCGAGUCCGACGCCUAGAGGAGUCCCAGUCAGUCCCGUGCGAUCCUGUUUGGUCAUUGUUUUAUCCGCUUCCGCAACCCUAGAAAUAAAUUCAUCGAGCCUCACCUCGAUGCUCGAUGAGCUGCCAGUUAGGAGUCAAGUUAUCCACCACUUUUUACCUCGAGCUAGUAGCAUGCCACCACACCCCUGUGUCAUAACCGCCCUUAUGUAAGAUGUUGGCGAGCUUGUAAUAAACUGUUGAGCAGCCUCAGCUCAACCCUGUAAUAUAUUUAAUGCUACUGGUCCUCUGUUCAUCAAGUAUUUGUCUACCAGUGAGGAUGACUUUUCCUAUACUGGGAUUUAAAGAUGGAUUUUCUCAAUAAUUAUUUAUUGAAAAAGUUGGUUGUGACAGACUUGGUAACCAGAGCCAGGCUGACUAUAGGAAGCCACUAGAUGCGAUCGCUAAUUUAGUUAUUAGCACGACAAAGUUUAUUCAUGUUUUUACAAAUGUAGUCAUUUUUCUGACAGUCAGCAUAAUAAUUUAUGAUCUGAUCACUCAGAAUUUUUGCCUACUUUUGUAGAUGGCCGGCAGCGACUGCGAGUCUCAAAUGUUCGCCAACGUGCCUGAGGGGUUCGUCAAACUCCUCUCCUUCAUCGUUCAGGUCGUGAUGGGGCCAUCCGUACGCCCAGUCUUCACACUUUAUCCGCACAAGAUCAACGACAGUCUGAUCGUGCACCAAGCCGCGGUGCAAUUCAAGGGAGGGCGUGUUGAGAUGCGCCGCUUCCGUUUCUUGGGGGAGAGCCAUGCCUACAGAAAGGCAUGCUAUGCAGAUGGCUGCCCGCGAGGCGAUAGCUCGUCUUCGGGAUGUCCUUCCUGCAAUGAAGACCCCUCGCUACCGCUACCUUCCAUGCCAUGUGCCUUACACCUGUCACUACUCAUUCUCUUGCCCCGGAGGAGAGCGAGACGAGGCCUUUGAGAUGCUUGUCGAGUACCUCCGAGCCCUGGAGGCAGCCUUCGAUAGCAUGGUGGACGACCUCGUAGCUGCCCGCAUGGACUCAGUUCAUGGCUGUGCUGCUAACAGGAGGGAACUCCUACACGCCGCUCCACCGCUGACUUUUAUCUCGUCCUCAGCUUCUCAUUCACCUACCAUUCUGGCUACUGCACAUCAUCUGCCUACCACUGAGGAAUUUAACCAGGCUAUUGCACCCACUCCCGUUCGCGCUGCACCACUUUUUGCACCCACUCCUGUUUGUGCUGCACCACUUUUUGCACCCACUCCCAUACGUGCUACUCCACCUAUUCCGCCCACUCUUAUUCAGGGCACUCCGCCUACGGCACCUGCUCCAUCAGCUCAGCGCAGCGUUCCUCGUCUGGAACCUAUUAGCGAGGAGGAAGUUGAUUCCCCAGCGUCACUGCGUCUCACCCUCGGCAGGCCAAGGGAGAUCCUCACCAUCUCCGACUGAGUACGCGUAGGCGCCAUGCGAUGUACCGACUUGUGUAAUAUGUUUAUAUGUACAUAGGUUGUGAGAAGUAGCCUGUUUGCGCAUCAUGUAGGAUCUGGAGAAGUGCACUAGUUUAAAUAACAUGUCAGGAUUAUGUACGCAUAUCCUGAGUGAUGUAAUGUAUAAUUAUGCUUGCGUGUAAAAUAUGUAAUAGUCCUUCUCCACGUGCAAUCAUGUAUUCUCAAAAUAUCCUGGAGUUUUAAAAUUUUCUUGGGUGUGAUUUUUUUUGACUUUUGCGACUCUCUUCCUUGUCUUACGAGUUUCACAAAAUAUAUCCCCAGAGUGAAAGAUGUCUCAUCCUUGGACGCGCUCCAUGCCAAAUCAGCCAUAAGAAAAUUAUGGCACACCGCAAAACCACAAUUUCACUCAGGGACAGACAAGUCAACAGGACAGUGAAACAGCUUUUACACAAGUGUGUCGUUUGUAUGAACAAAGUCAGCAACAACACCAGGAAAUGAUGAACCAAUUCAUCAAUAUGGGAAGUAACCGUGGUCAGUAUCAACAGCAAUCAAAAUUAUCUGAGUUACAGAAGACGCGUCCUCCAACAUUUUCUCAUACUGACAAGCCUCUUGAGGCCGACGACUGGCUUCGAGACAUGGAGAGAAAAUUAAUUAUUGCACAGUGUUCAGACCGUGAAAAAGUAUUGUAUGCACCACAUUAUCUCACAGGAGCAGCCGCUUCGUGGUGGGAAAACUUCCUGCACAUGCACCCCAACGAAAAUGAAAUAACCUGGGAGGAUUUAGAAGAAGGUUUCCAUGGGGCACACAUUCCUAAGAGUGUGAUGAAAAUCAAGAAGAGAGAAUUUGAUGACCUCAAGCAAAGGACCAUGACAGUGUCAGAAUACAACAGCCAAUUUACUUUGCUGUCUUGCUACGCCAAUGAAGAGCGCAUGACUGAGAGCAAGAAGAUGGAAAAAUUCUUGGAAGGCCUGGCACCCGCCCUUAGAUGCCAGCUGGUUGUGCAUACCUUCCCAGAUUUUAAAACACUGGUGGAUAAGGCCAUUACUCUGAAAAAUGAGCGACGUAGCCUGGAAGAUUUCCGCAAACGCAAAAGGGACCAGACUACUUUUGCUCGCAACCCCAGAAGCAAGACGGAAUCUCAGAAGGGUGGAAUACACAAAACCCCGACGGAUAAUUCACGCCCAAUCAAGAAUUUCCAUGCAAGAGAUAAGGAGUUCACCUAUCGCCCAGGCGUUACCUGUUAUGCUUGUGGAGAAGAAGGGCACUAUGCCAAGUAGUGCCCCAAGCCAAGGAACUCGACCCCGAAGCUCAAUAAUGGUGGCAAUAAUUCAGCGCCAAAGUGAAGCAAUUUCAACCCCAAUAACAACCACCGGAAAGGUCACCUGAACCACGUGACCCGAGAGGAAGCACAGAACGCCCCAGAUAUCGUACUCGGUACGUACCCCGUCAACACAAUACCUGCCAUGGUUUUGUUUGAUUCUGGAGCUUCUCACUCAUUCAUUUCGAAGAGUUUUGCCUUGCAAAAUAAUUUUUCAAUACUUCCCUUGGAAAAAUCAAUGAUCAUCAAGUCCCCUGGAAUUAAGCAAGUGACCCAGAGUUACUGUCAAGGUGUGGUUAUUGAAUUUGAAGGAUUGAAGUUUUACGCCAACCUUAUUGUAUUGGAAAGCAACGGACUGGAUGUCAUCCUAGGGAUGGAUUGGUUAACCACCAACAAAGGUUUUAUUGACUGCUUCAACAGGACCGUGAUUCUCACACACCAUCAUGGGAAGAAAAUAAAAGUUUCAGCCAAAGAGAGAUAAAUACCUCGGCAACCAAGAUUAAACAAGGUGGACGUUUCUGAGCUGAACAAGGUUCCAGUAGUAUGUGAAUUCCCAGACAUAUUUCCAGAAGAACUACCAGGCAUGCCACCGGACCGAGAGAUAGAAUUCAGCAUUGAGCUAGCACCCGGAACCGCUCCCAUUUACAAGAAACCAUACAGAAUGGCACCACCCAAAUUGAUGGAAUUAAAGAAACAAAUAAAAGAAUUAUUGGAGAAAGGAUACAUACGAGCCAGUUCCUCACCUUGGGGUUCUCCAAUUUUAUUUGCCAAGAAAAAGGAUGGAACACUGAGAUUGUGCAUUGAUUAUCGAGCUCUCAACAUGGUCACAAUCAAGAACAAAUACUCAAUGCCCCGAAUAAAUGAUUUAUUUGAUCAGCUCGCACAGGCCAAAGUCUUCUCAAAAAUUGACUUGAGAUCAGGAUACCAUCAAUUAAAGGUGCGAACAGAAGAUAUUCCCAAGACCGCCUUCACUUCCAGAUAUGGGCUGUAUGAGUUCACAGUGAUGCCAUUCGGGCUAACCAACGCCCCCGCAUAUUUUGUUCACCUGAUGAACAAAGUAUUUAUGAAGUAUAUGGACAAGUUGGUUGUGGUAUUCAUCGAUGAUAUUUUGAUAUACUCCAAAACACCAGAAGAGCACGCCGAACAUCUCAGGAUUGUACUCGGAGAACUCAGGAAACAUCAACUGUACGCCAAAUUCAGCAAAUGUGAAUUUUUGCUAAGACAGGUGGGUUUCCUAGGCCACGUGCUAACCCAAGAAGGUAUUGUAGUAGACCCGGAAAAAGUCAAGGCCGUACUUGGCUGGAAACCACCAGCUAACGUAACGGACGUACAGAGUUUCUUGGGAAUGGCAGGCUAUUAUCAGAGAUUUAUUGAAGGAUUCUCCACUAUAGCAAAGCCCAUGACACAAUUGCUCAAGAAAGGCAAGAAUUUUGAAUGGACAGAAGCAUGUGAGAAAAGCUUCCAAGAGCUAAAAAGCAAAUUAACAACGGCACCAGUACUAAUUGUGCCAGAUAUACACAAGAAUUUUGAGGUAUAUUGACACGCAUCCCGGAAAGGCCUCGGAUGCGUGUUGAUGCAAGAAGGCAAGGUAGUUGCAUAUGUCUCCAGACAACUUUGCAAGCAUGAGGAGAAUUAUCCCACUCAUGACUUGGAAUUAGCAGCGGUCAUCCAUGCACUCAAGGAAUGGAGACACUUCCUACUUGGAAAUCGUUGUGAGAUAUACACAGACCAUAAGAGUCUUAAGUAUAUUUUCACACAGCCGGAACUAAAUUUACGGCAACGACGCUGGUUAGAGUUGGUGAAGGAUUAUGAUGUUGGAAUCCAUUAUCAUCCCGGAAAAGCAAAUGUUGUGGCAGAUGCACUUAGUCAGAAUCCCAGCACGGACGACAACAGUAUACCAAAGUUGAGGCCAGAAUUUCAACAGGAAUUUUCCAGACUCAAUUUAAUAAUGGUUACCGAAGGCAGUGUGUCGAAUCUAGAAAUACAGCCUACCCUGAUGGAAAAGAUCAAGGAAGCCCAGCACAGACACCCCAGCAUUGAGGGCAUAAAAAGGAAAGUGAGUUUGGGCAAAGCCUCAUAAUUCAACAUAGAUGAGCAAGGAAUAUUGUGGUACGGAGAGAGACUAUGCGUACCAAAUAUCAAGGACCUCAAACAACAGAUUUUGGCUGAAAGUCACACAGCUCCGUAUUCAAUCCAUCCUGGAGGGACAAAAAUGUACAAAGACCUUCAGGAAAUUUUUUGGUGGCACGGUAUGAAGAGAGAUAUAGUCACGUUCAUUGCAUGCUGUGACUCUUGUCAACGUAUCAAGGCCGAACACCAGAAACCAGCCGGGCUAUUACAACCAAACAAGAUACCCGAGUGGAAGUGGGACGAGAUUGGAAUGGAUUUUAUUGUCGGACUGCCACGGUCACGACACGGAAACGAUGCCAUAUGGGUCAUAACCGACAGAUUAACCAAAGUGGCACAUUUUAUUCCGCUGAAGACAAUCCACACCACUCAGAGGCUGGCCAGACUUUAUCUUGCCCGUAUUGUCUGCCUGCAUGGAGUCCUAAAGACUAUCAUAUCUGACAGAGGCACACAGUUCGUCUCUAGAUUUUGGGAUCACCUACAACAGGCACUGGGAACCUAGCUAGCCUUCAGUACCGCAUACCAUCCCCAGACUAAUGGGCAGACUGAACGCAUAAACCAAAUCCUAGAAGACAUGCUAAGAGCCUGUGUCCUCACCUACGGGAACAGUUGGGAAGAAAGUUUGCCAUAUGCAGAGUUCACAUACAAUAACAGCUAUCAAGCCAGCUUGCAAAUGGCACCCUUUGAAGCUCUAUAUGGGAGAAGAUGUCGUACCCCGUUAAAUUGGUUAGAGACCGGGGACAGCCAUAUCUUCGGCCCAGAUAUGCUCAAGGAGGCCGAGGAGAAGGUUAAAACAAUUAGAGAUCGACUCAAAACAGCUCAGAGUCGACAGAAGAGUUAUUACGAUCGAAAGCAUCGGGAAAUCAGUUUUGAACCCGGAGAAUUGGUAUACCUAAGAGUUUCUCCUAUGAAGGGUCUGCAGCGGUUCAGGAUUAAAGGAAAGCUAGCACCAAGAUUCAUCGGACCAUUUCACAUAGUGGCCCGAAGAGGCACGGUAGCUUACCAGCUAGACCUACCCGGAGAUUUAUCCGGUAUACACAACAUGUUCCACAUCUCGCAGUUGAGAAAGUACGUGAGCAACCCAGAGAAGAAAGUGUCACAUGAAAAUAUUGAUGUACAACCAGACCUCUCCUACCGGGAGUGUCCAAUAAAAAUAUUAGAAGAGUCUGAGAGGAGGACACGACAGAAAACCAUCAAGCUUUUCAGAGUUCAGUGGAGCAAUCACACCGAGAAUGAAGCAACUUGGGAGAGCGAGGAUUUUCUCCGAACAGAACACCCACACCUGUUUAAGGAUCAGCUGAAAUCUCGGGGACGAGAUUUUUCCUAAGGGGGUAGGUGCUGUGACACUCCAAUUUUUUUUGUGAUUUUUGUUUUCAGAAAGAGCCUUGCUUGGUUUGAAGAAGGUCAUUUAAACCCUUCUUAAAAACCCUCUUCUAAGUUUGCCCUCUCAAAAAUCCUUUCUUGGAUUUAGUUUCUUUUAAAAAGAAAACCUUUUGUUUUUGAGCUUUCUUUUGAUUUUGAUCCAUUCUGGUUUACCAUGCCUCUUAUGGUAAAACUUCCCCAAAAACCCCUCCUCCCACUUGGGUACAACCCAAAUAUUCUGUCCAAACUAAUAAAAUCCAUUUUUGGAUUUUAUUCCAAUUAUUUCUCUUCCCAAAAUAAUUCUGUCUUUUCUUUUGAGCCUAGGUGAUUUGCAAAGCAAGUACCCUAAUGCAUUUGAUUUUUGACCUCAACUCAACACCUCUGGAUAGUCCUUUGUACCCACAACCUAGAACCAUCUUGAUCCACUCUUCUUCUUUUCAAAUAUUUCAAAUUUCACUCUCUGCAAGUUUGGACCAGAUUUAGCAAAUUUGGUGAAAUUCAUAUCUACACUUCUCCAAAAAUUCCACCAAAAUUCAGGCAACCUCUAGUUGCAAUGAGAGACCUCUCCACCAAAAAUCAGCUCAAGGAAAAAUCCCUAGAUGCCAGAAUCAUUCUGUCGAACACGUGGCAUGCAGUGUUUUUGUUCAUAUUCAGUAAAUUCAGAGUUUCAGUGUCGUUUCCCCGACAGAACUUCAGUCACAUGCCCACUGUGCAUUUGGCUCGAUGCUCACAGCCACUCCCUCUUGUCCGGAGCUCCACACGCGCGCUUGGCGCCUUCCUGGCGUCGGUGGCACCCUGGCCCGCCUGCGCCGGCGUGCUUUGCGGCGGCUGAACCACUGUAAUGGCCGACAGGGGACAACACCGCGGUAGAACGCCGUUCGGUGCCGCCCAAUCCUUUUGGUAGCUCCGCGUGGCCACCUCCUUGCCAGCGCACGCAUGCAGCACCGUCGCCGUGGCCUGGCACGCGCAGAGCGCGUUCUCUGCCGCCGACGGGCCGUGCUGCCGUUCCGUCGAGGGCAGGCCGUAACCCUCCCUCCCGUGCUGAGUUGGAUCCUGAAAUGGCACCACUGCUCCACCUAGGCGAUGCUCAAGCUCCUAAGCCGACUGUCCCGCCACAGCGCCGCCGUAAUCACCCGCCGGACUUAUCCGUUCACGGCAACCGCCUCGGGCCGACUAUAAAUAGCACCCCCGAGCUUGCUCUCGCCCCCGCACAACUCCACCACCUCAUUAGACCCCGCCUACCCACUGGAAGAGCCUCAAGGGGCCCUUCUUCCCCAACUCCGGCCGCCUUGUUCUGCUUCGGCCUCCACCUCGAUUCACUCCGGUGAGGCCGUCUCCGACGCCCUGACCUCGUCAGCAACCCUCUCGAGCAACUCGGAGACUAACCCCCACUCCUAUUUGAUCCCCGCAGCUCCCUCCGGCGAAAUCCACGACUUCCCGAACCGUCGUCCGCCCGAGCAAGGGCCGCCGUCGACACAGUGCUCGCCGGCGACCACCACCACCACACACAGACGCAGAAAGGUGCACUGAUCACGAAGGUAACCCCCGAUCACCUUGCCUCGCCGUGGAUCGCCGCCGGCGACCACCGCACCUCUCGGGCACCGUCGCGCUCUUUUUCCCUCGUUUGAAAAUUAAAACCUGACAGGCGGAACCCCUGGAAACUUUCUGUUUCAUUACAGAUGGGUCCUUGGGCCAAAACUCUUAUAACUUUUAAAUAGAAAAUGAUUUUGGAUUGAUUCCUUUUCCGUCACUUUUAUUUUUCUGUCUAGUUUUUUGUCAUAUUUAUUUGAAAAAAAAUUUGGAACACUUUUCUGUACACUCAUGGUAUUUACGUUACGUACGUAUUUUUCUUAUACCGUAGAUACCGGAGGAGGUGACGGAGCUGCAAACUUCACACAGAUAAACUCCGACUACUCCGAACUAGGCAAGCAUGUUUGAACUCUUGAUAUGAUGAGUGGUUGUUGCAUGUUUGCAUUUUAGUAUAGUCAUGGCAUGUUUAUGAACAUUUCUUGAAUGUUAUAUUUCAUGCACAUUAGUGGAAAGUAAGUUUCGGAAAGCAUUAUGUUGUGGGAUACAUAUUUGCAUGGCCAUGUGAUGGCAUGAGGAAGGGUAAGAUGGAAGUGUUGUGACAUGCCAGUCUUAUGCCGGAUUAUUUGACUUCCGUGUCAUCGUGAAUCAAAUCACAUUUCCAUUCAUUUCCUUUCGUACUAUCACAUGCUUUCCGAAAGGAAUAUGGCUUAGUAAGUUGCAAACCGUUUUCCUGGUACACACCAAAUAGAGAGGCCGGGAUGAGGGUUCCAUGGCCCUGGAUUAAAGCCCAUCAUCCGGUCAGGGGGCAUGGGUGUUUCCGGUUGGGACCGAGAGGGGGGCACCCCUUAGAGCGCGCGUAUAGAAAUUUGAUCCCAUGCUAUUCGAGGUUGUGGCCUCCCCGUCUCAAAGUUUUUCUUGGACAUUGUCCAGGGUGAUUCCUGGCAUCGUGAGGUGAAAUGGGUGUGUACUAGUUAAAUGUGUUUCUACUGAAAUACCGUAAACGGAACUAGUCCUUCGUGACUAUGGAAAUCCAUUGGCUGUGGUCAGUUCAUCCAAACUCUGCAGAGUCACAAAUCUUUCAAUUAUCUUGUACUUUGUUCAAGUACUAUAUUCAUGUUAUCUUGUCAAGUAUCAACCUCAGUGACAAAUCUCCGGUGGAAUUCAUGUGUGAUAAAUCCGGUUAAAAGAUUAUUCUUGUGGAUGGACUAAUCUUGUUAUUUACUUUUGUUGUAAGCCCUGUCUGUGAUGUCGCUCAGACGUCCGACGGUGGCAUGCUUGUAUUUACAUUUAUUGUAAGCCCUGUCUGCGAUGUCGCUCAGACGUCCGAUGGUGGCAUAAUUGUAUUUACUUUUAUUAAAGCCCUUUAUGUGAUGUCGCUCAGACGUCCGACUGUGNNNNNNNNNNCGAUGUCGCUCAGACGUCCGACUGUGGCAUUUCUUUUAAAGCCCUUUCUGUGAUGUCGCUCAGACGUCCGACGGUGGCAUUUCUUUUAAAGCCCUUUAUGCGAUGUCGCUCAGACGUCUGACUGUGGCAUUUCUUUUAAAGCCCUUUUUGUGAUGUCGCUCAGACGUCCGACUGUGGUAUUUCUUUUAAAGCCCUUUAUGUGGUGUCGCUCAGACGCCCGACUGUGGCAUCAUUUUUCCUUAUUUUUAUUUGUUCACCUUUCGAGGCGUCGCUUCAGACACCCGAUCGGUCUUCAUUUGUGUUAUGUUGGGAUUCCAGGCGGACUACCGCCGUUUCCCCUUUUUCUUACCCCGUUAUGCUAAUUUUAUUUUAAUGUGCAUUGAUGAAUUAAUCAUGUCGCAUCCAUGCAUGCAUUUGUUAUAUCUUACGUCCGAACUGUCUUGCGAGUACUUUCAAAGUACUCACUGGCUUGUUGAUUUGGCCAGAUGCUGACGAAGGCGAUCUCAUGGAUGAAGAGUUUGAUAGCGAGUCCGACACCUAGAGGAGUCCCAGUCAGUCUUGUGCGACCCUGGAUUUGGUCACUGUAUUAUAUCCGCUUCCGCUACCAAAUAAAUUCAUCGAGCCUCUCCUCGACGCUCGAUGAGAUGACAGACGUAGAGUCUUGUAUUUCUCUCCCCGCUGUGUUUUUCCACCACCGUCCUAUCCUCGAGUCAGUAGUAUGCCUCCACACCCCUGUGUCGUGUCCGCCAUUAUGUAUAAUUAUUGGNNNNNNNNNNUGUGAUGUCGCUCAGACGUCCGACUGUGGCAUUUCUUUUAAAGCCCUUUAUGUGAUGUCGCUCAGACGUCCGACUGUGGCAUUUCUUUUAAAAGCCCUUUAUGUGGUGUCGCUUAGACGCCCGACUGCAGCAUGAGUUUUAUUUGUUUACCUUUCGAGGCGUCGCUCCAGACACCCGAUCAGUUUUCAUUUAUUGGUUUUCUUAUCAAGUCGUGCAUAAAUAUUAUUAUUGUUGAGAUGAGCAUCAUUAUUCAUAUUCAUGACGCAUUCAUGCAUUCAUUGAUUAUAUCUUUUGUCCGAACUGUCUUGCGAGUACUUUCAAAGUACUCACCUGGCUUGUUGAUUUGGCCAGAUGUUGAUGAAGGCGAUCUCAUGGAUGAAGAGUUUGAUAGCGAGUCCGACGCCUAGAGGAGUCCCAGUUAGUCCCGUGCGAUCCUGUUUGGUCAUUGUAUUAUCCGCUUCCGCAACCCCAGAAAUAAAUUCAUCGAGCCUCACCUCGACGCUCGAUGAGCUGCCAGUUAGGAGUCAAAUUAUCCACCACUUUUUACCUCGAGCUAGUAGCAUGCCACCACACCCCUGUGUCAUAACCGACCUUAUGUAAGAUGUUGGCGAGCUUGUAAUAAACUGUUGAGCAGCCUCAGCUCAACCCUGUAAUAUAUUUAAUGCUACUGGUCCUCUGUUCAUCAAGUAUUUGUCUACCAGUGAGGAUGACUUUUCCUAUACUGGGAUUUAAAGAUCGAUUUUCUCAAUAAUUAUUUAUUGAAAAAGUUGGUCGUGACAGAUGCCGGGCACAUGGGGGGUAAGAUCCCCAUGGAUUAUGCGGACGGGAGCCACAGCAAGUCUGGCUCCCUGCCGGUUACUGUACCGGAGCCUUCACAGGUUCCGGAUUCAAGUGGGCAGCCCCUCGCUAAGGAGGGCGAGCCGGCCGUGCCGAUGACCUCCGCCCAGCCGGAGGCAUAAGAUAAUUUGCUGGAAGUGCUUCACAGCGCUUCCAUUGACGAAGAGCACCGUACUCUCAUGAGUACGGUGAUUGAGAAGGUCCGGUCCACCAAAAGCGGAUUGACUGAAGCCCGCACCAGCCUCCUAAUAUGCUUUGAGGUAAGUAAUGAAAAAGUGUGAGAAAAUAUCACCCGAUAGCCAGUAGCCCCUGAUACUAUGUUUGUUGUUCAGAAAGAAAAGCCAAAUGGAGGGUCAAUUUUUAGUCCGCAGGAGUGUGACAGUACUUGUCUAUGUUAAUGAGAAGGCGUUGCUGCUGACCGCCGCUGCACGCACAGCUGAGGUCGCCGGACUCAGGCAGGACCUGGGGCUGGCCGAAGAAGAGCUCGGCCUCGUGAAGAGGCAGCUCAAGGAGAACAAAGGUAAGUGAUACCCCGUCCGUGUGUCAUGUAGGGGAGAAAAAUUGAUGAUGCUAACAAAAAUCAUCAUUAUUUUUAAUAGGGGCUACGACCGAAGUGGCGGCCCCGAAGAAAGCGAUGUCCAAGGCCGAAGCCAAGGCGGCCAUAGAGUGCAUCGAGCGUGAAAAACAAGAUGCUCGGGUAGGGGAGGUACAACAAGAGCUCCAGGAGUUCGGCAAGAAGUUUGAGUCCUUGGAGCAUGACUUCAAGACGCAAGCGUCCGAGCUUGCCAAAGCCCUCGAGAGCGGGAAAGAUGCCAAGGCUGAAGCUCAAAAGGCCCUCCAGGAAAUCCAGGCGCCAAGAAGAUAGCGGUGGUUAAGGCAUUCAUUAUGCAAAGCAAGCAUGUGGAGGAGACAUUUCUUUUACUCACCCGCAUUCGAAGCUCUCCAGGGGCAUUCACAGAUCUGCCACGCAGCAUAUCGGAUGCCACGGAGUUCUACCGUGCCUAAGAAGGGAGCUCAACGAAGAAGCUGUUCUGGUCCCAGUAUACUGGAGCCGAACACCCAAUGCCUCUGAGUGACCAACUGAAGCAAUUGGUCGAACUCCACAGGGCGGCCGAACUGGCCAUGAAGGACCUCAUAGUCCGGAUGUGGCCUGGUGAGCCCCUGCCCGACAGCUACUUCGGCCUUAUAAAGCGGAUGGUAAGUGCUUGUCCGUGGCUUGAAGUUAUCAAGCAGUCCGUCUGCAUUGAGGGUGCCCGCCGGGCUUUUGCCCGUGCGAAGAUGCAUUGGGCCAAACUGGAUGCUGAGAAGCUGGUGAAGGAUGGGCCCCCGGAGGUAAGGAGCAUUGCUACCCCGAGAAAUAUUAUGAUGGCGUUAUGAAAGGCGCUCGCCUUGUGGCCGAUGAAUGCACCAAGAACUUAAUCUUUGAGUGAAUGUACUCAUGUCGUCUUUGUAAUAUGAGAACGAGUUUGUUUGCGCCCUAUAACGCGUUGUUGAUUUAAAAUAUUACCUUCUGUGCGGCCGUUUAUAAAUUUCUGAAAGUAGGCCAGUCAUCGACUUCCACCCCCGUGUAGCUAGUACUGGGGUGUUCGUGGAAAACCCAAACAUUCUUUAUCCAAGUUUUUGGUCCUUUAAGGAGGUGUUUGGCGCAGCGAACAAGGCAAUCGGACUAUGCGGCUUUAUAACUCAUUUGGCCAUAGAAGUCUAUAAUUUUAAAUUUCGGCGAAGCCCAUAGUAUUCGGAAGGCCGAACUGGGGCGCUAUACACGCCUAAAUCAAACAAGGCCGAUUCCUCGCUUUAAGUGGAAAAAAUCUUUAAGGUUUUAGUACCUCUCGAACAGCGACCAGCUCUCGCCGCAUCAUCACAGUCAGUUUUCGGCUUUCUGUACCGAGGUGCUCGUCCGGAAGAACCGGGACACAAUCACAGUAGUUCUCCCUGCGCCACCUUAGCCGAUAUAACGGAACGUAAGGUACCAAAACAAGGGAGCCGGCUAACCCAACUAUUGACCCAAGACAUGAUUCGGAGCUGAUGCAUAUAAUGCUAUAAGUUCGGGGUGCCGCACUGUCGAAAGUGUUCGGACUUUUAUUGCCAUGUUAUGGGGCUCAAUAAAAAGCCCCUGGCGAACUGAUCGUACCAAAGUGUACGGAUGCAACAUUAAAUAAAUAUUCAAGGGAAAAUAUGAAGAUAGUAAUAAGAAGCUGACGUUGUAUACUAUUUCCCAUUGUUAUUUUGAUAAUACGGCAAGGCGUAUGUGUACACUUAAUGCGUUAAGCAGAAACAAAUAGGACUAUUUGACAUGUCCUAUCAAAGGGCAGGCUGCAUGCGGGUAUGUAAAACAGGUAUAACGAUCAUUGACAGAGACCACCUGGGUAUUCCCUUGUGUGCGAAGCCUCUUGCCUCCUUGGUGUUCCCUCCUGUGAUGACUCCGAUAGUACGGUUCUCUGAAGGGGCUACCCAAAAGUAGGGUCCUGAAAGAAAGAAAGAAGAAGGGUGUGCGGGCCUCGUGGCCACUGAACCGCACUGUGGCCUGCAUCGUCGACUCGCCUCCACCUAUGCCCAUGGUAUUUUGAGUGCGUAGUUGUGUACGCGUGGCACAAAUGCCUCCUCAAUGGGGCUGCGGUGGAGGUCGGAUUGCUAAUCGAGCUCUUGGCAUGCCUAACCAUCCUGUUGUGGGGUGCUCCGGACUCGCUUGACGGUGUUCGGGGUUGUCAUUGCCGAAUGGGCUGUCUGUCGAAGAAGGCUGUUUUGUACUUCUGCCGCAAGGGCCGCAGUGUGCUCUUCCGUAUGGAGGGAGCGCUCUGUGUUUCCAUUGGCUGUUAUAACCCCGCGAGGUCCUGGCAUUUUGAGCUUAAGGUAUGCAUAGUGCGGUACCACAUUGAAUCGAGCGAACACGGUUUGUCCAAGUAGUGCAUGAUAGCCACUAUGGAAAGGGACGAUAUUGAAGAUUAAUUCCUCGCUUCGGAAGUUAUCCGGAGAUCCGAAGACCACUUCCAGUGUUAUUGAGCCCGUACAGCGAGCCUCUACCCUGGAAUUACACCUUUACAUGUGGUUUUGGUUGGUUUGAUCCGUGAGGGAUCGAUGCCCAUUUUGCGCACUGUGUCCUGAUAAAGCAGGUUCAGCCUACUGCCACCGUCCAUAAGGACUCGUGUUAGAUGGUAUAAGUCGAUGAUUGGGUCAAAGACCGAUGCGGCUGAGCCGCCAUGACGGAUGUUGGUAGGAUGGUCCCUACGAUCGAAAGUGAUCGGACAAGAUGACCAUGGGUUGAACUUUGGGGCGACUUGCUCCAUCACAUAGAAGUCCCUAAGUGCACACUUUCAUUCCCGUUUGGGAAUGUGGGUGUCAUAGAUCAUGUUUACCAUUUUCACCUAGGGGGAAAUUUCUUCUAUCCCCCAGUGUUCGGACGUCGGGGCUCCUCGUCAUCAUUGCUGUGCAGCCCCUUGUCCUUGUUUUCGGCAUUCAACUUGCUGGCCUGUUUGAACACGCAGCAAUCUCUGUUAGUGUGAUUAGCUAGUUUGUCGGUGGUGCCGUGAAUCUGGCACAAGCGGUCGAGUAUGCGGUCUAGACUAGACGAUCCCAGAUUGUUUCUUUUGAACGGCUUUUUCCGCUAACCGGAUUUUGAGUUGCUGAAUCCGGCAUUGACUGCCGUAUCUUCGGCAUUGUCGCCAUUGUUCCAACGCUUAUGUCUAUUGCGCCGCGGCUUUCCGUUACUGUCGCGGACAUCUGAAGUGCCAGAGUUUCUUGGCGUGGUGCUACUGCGAGCCAGCCAGCUGUCCUUGCCCGCACAAAAGUGGGUCAUGAGUGUCGUGAGGGCCACCAUGGACUUCGGUUUUUCUUGGCUGAGGUGUCGGGCGAGCCACUCGUCGCGGAUAUUAUGCUUAAAGGCCGCCAGGGCCUCGACGUCCGGAUAGUCGACAAUUUGGUUCUUUUUAGUUAGGAACCGAGUCCAGAAUUUUCUGGCUGACUCUCCAGGCUAUUGGGUAAUGUGACUUAAGUCAUCAGCAUCCGGUGGUCGAACGUAAGUGCCUUGGAAGUUGUCGAGGAAUGCGUCCUCAAGAUUUUCCCAACUGCCGAUGGAGUUCGCCGGCAGGCUAUUCAGCCAAUGUCUGGCUGGCCCUUUAAGCUUAAGGGGGAGAUACUUGAUGGCAUGUAGAUCAUCAUCGCGAGCCAUGUGAAUGUGGAGAAGGAAAUCUUCAAUCCAUAUCGCAGGGUCUGUUGUGCCAUCGUAUGACUCGAUGUUGACGGGUUUAAACCCUUCUAGGAAUUCAUGAUCCAUUACUUCAUCAGUGAAGCAGAGGGGGUGUGCGGCGUCUCUGUGCCGGGCUAUGUCAUGACGCAGUCUGGUCGGUUAUGUUCGGCCCGCCCGGACUUAUUAUUAGUGUAUCUGGCAUGAUGGUCAUCGUCAUGUGUUGUGGCGCGCCCCCGUGAUCCGUAGAUCGAUCUUGGUGGUCCUGUGUUGUUUUCCAAUAUGUCUGGCAGGUCCUGCGUAUUGCCCCGGGCCAUAGUGAACUGGCGUAGGGGUGCGGGGGCUGGUGUUCGAUCUGAUACGUCGUUUUAUCCCAACCACGAGGUGGCUGGUCAGCCUCAUCUUGUGCUGGUAGUGCAGGCUCUACGGCCUCUUCCUCUAGCUGAGGUAGCAACUUGUGCUUUGGGUAACCCUUGGUUGGGGGCUUGAGUCUGUAUUCCUCGGCUGCCAGGACCUCGGUCCAUUUGUCUACGAGCAGAUCUUGAUCAGCUUGGAGCUGCUGCUGCUUCUUUUUCAGGGUUCUUGCAGUGGCUAUAAGCCGGCGCUUAAAGUGCUCCUGCUCUAUUGGAUCUUCGGGUACGCCGAAUCAUCGUCGCCGAGGCUCACCUCGUCUCCGGAGGGAUGCAUAUAGUUGUCAUCCUCCACGUAUCCGUCCGUCGCCUAUUCCUCGGGGCUGACCUGCCCGUGUUCCUGUUUGGCCUGUUCAAAGGUAGGAUGAUCAGGAUUGUAUUCCUCUUCGGCACGAUCUGGGUUUUCUUUUCCUAUGCCGGUAUUGCUAUGGUGGGGCUUAGAGCGGCGCCGAUGACGCCCAUGCUUUGGUUUCUUCCCUAAGGGGUUAUCUUCUGUUGCCUCAUCGCCAUUGUUUUCUUUGGGGGUGUCCACCAUAUAUAUAUAUAUCAUACGAAGAGGUGGCUGUCCAGCGCCCUGUCGGCGGUGGUUCCUGUUCUUCUCCUGCAUCAUCGUCUAUACCGUUGAUGUCUUUGGAGUCGAAGUCAAGCACAUCAGUCAGAUCAUCGACAAUGGCUAUUAAGUGGGUGGUGGGUGGGUAACAAAUUUCUUCAUCGCCUGCUUCCCACUCGAGCCGAACAUAGUUCGGCCAGGAAUCUCCUGACAGAGAGAUAUGCCUUAAUGAAUUUAGCACUUCGCCAAAGGGGGGGUGCUGAAAGAUAUCCGCGGCGGUGAACUCCAUUACUGCGCCCGGGCGCGCGCGGUUCGGAACCCACAUCCGGACACAGGUCCGCGGGUCCGGUGACGCAGAUUUCUUUAACGGCGGAGUCUGUGUUCGGCUCUACCGCCGAAGAGUAUGCAGCCUCUAUGGCGGGAUCCAUCCACCUGUCCUCGGACGACGCGAUCUGCCCCCGGAUUUAGGUCCGGAGCAGCUGCAGGGGCGACAUCCUGAACACUGUCCGACUGCAGAUUCAAGUCGUGCUCGUCAUGAUUGUUCGACGCUCCUGAUAUGGGCCCGAAUCCGUCAAAGAUCAAGUCUCUGCGGAUAUCGGCCGUGUAAUUCAAGUUUAUGAAUCUGACCUGAUGGCCAGGGGCGUAGCUGUCGAUCUGCUCCAGAUGGCCAAGCGAGUUGGCCCGCAGUGCGAAGCCACCGAACACGAAGAUCUGUCCGGGGAGAAAAGUCUCGCCCUGGACUGUGUUGUUGAAGGUUGAGGGAGCCAUCGAGCCGUACAACGACGACACAGAGGAACUCUCAAUGAAAGCACCAAUGUCGGUGUCAAAACAGGCGGAUCUCGGGUAGGGGGUCCCGAACUGUGCGUCUAAGACUAAUGGUAACUAGAGACUGGGGACAUGAUGUUUACCCAGGUUUGGGCCCUCUCGAUGGAGGUAAUACCCUACUUCCUGCUUGAUUGAUCUUCAUGAUAUGAGUAUUACAAGAGUUGAUCUACCACGAGAUCGUAGAGGCAAAACCCUAGAAGCUAGCCUAUGGUAUGAUUGUUGUUGUCCUACGGACUAAACCCUCUGGUUUAUAUAGACACCGGAGGGGGCUAGGGUUACAUAGAGUCGGUUACAGAGAAGGAGAUCUAUCAUCCGAAUCACCAAGCUUGCCUUCCACGCAAAGGAGAGUCCCAUUCGGACACGGGACGAAGUCUUCAAUCUUGUAUCUUCAUAGUCCAACAGUCUGGCCAAAGUAUAUCGUCCGGCUGUCCGGAUACCCCCUAAUCCAGGAAUACCUCAGCGGGCAGGUCCUCUUCCUCAUCCUCCUCCCGCUCAUACUCCCGCUCCUCCGGGUCGCCGGCGCUCACCAAUGUCAAGGCCGAGCCCGUGGAUAUGCCGCUCGGGCGGCACGCUGAUACGUCCAUUUUGCAUCAUGCUUUUAUAUCAAUAUUUAUUGCAUUACGGGCUGUUAUUUCACAUUAUGUCACAAUACUUAUGGCCAUUCUCUCUUAUUUUACAACGUUUCCAUGAAGAGGGAGAAUGCCGACAGCUGGAAUUCUGGGCUGGAAAAGGAGCAAAUAUUGGAGGCCUAUUCUGCACAACUCCAAAAGUCCUGAAACUCCAUGGAAUAUCUUAAAAUAAAUAAAUAAAAAUCAUCGCCAAAGAUGAAGGCCAGGGGGCCCACACGUUGCUCACGAGGGUGGGGGGCGCGCCCCCCUGGGGCACGCCCCCCUACCUCGUGGGCCCCCUGGUGGCUCUCCGACGCCCAUCUUCUCCUAUAUGAAUUCUUUCGAUGAGGAAAAAAUAGAAGGCAACCUUUCGGGACGAGACUCCGCCGCCACGAGGCGGAACCUUGGCGAAACCAAUCUAGGGCUCUGGCAGAGCUGUUCUGCCGGGGACACUUCCCUCCGGGAGGGGGAAAUCAUCACCAUCGUCAUCACCAACGCUCCUCUCAUCAGGAGAGGGCAAUCUCCAUCAACAUCUUCACCAGCACCAUCUCAUCUCCAAACCCUAGUUCAUCUCUUGUAUCCAAUUCUUGUCUCCAGGUCCGGGAUUGAUGCUAGUAGGUUGCUAGUAGUGUUGAUUACUCCUUGUAGUUGAUGCUAGUUGGUUUAUUUGGUGGAAGAUCAUAUGUUCAGAUCCUUUAUGCACAUUAUUACCCCUCUGAUUAUGAACAUGAAUAUGCUUUGUGAGUAGUUACCUUUGUUCCUGAGGACAAGGGAGAAGUCUUGCUAUUAGUAGUCAUGUGAAUUUGGUAUUCGUUCGAUAUUUUGAUGAGAUGCAUGUUGUCUAGCCUCUAGUGGUGUUAUGUGAACGUCGACUACAUAACACUUCACCAUUAUUUGGGCCUAUAGGAAGGCAUUGGGAAGUAAUAAGUAGAUGAUGGGUUGCUACAGUGACAGAAGCUUAAACCCUAGUUUAUGCGUUGCUUCGUAAGGGGCUGAUUUGGAUCCAUAUGUUUCAUGCUAUUGUUAGGUUUACCUUAAUACUUUUGUUGUAGUUGCGGAUGCUUGCAAUAGAGGUUAAUCAUAAGUGGGAUGCUUGUACAAGUAAGGGCAGUACCCAAGCACCGGUCCACCCACAUAUCAAAUCAUCAAAGUACCGAACGCGAAUCAUAUGAGCAUGAUGAAAACUAGCUUGACGAUAUUCCCAUGUGUCCUCGGGAGCGCUUUUCCUAUUAUAAGAGUUUGUCCAGGCUUGUCCUUUGCUACAAAAAGGAUUGGGCCACCUUUCUGCACUUUAUUUACUUUUGUUACUUGUUGCUCGUUACAAUUUAUCUUAUCACAAAACUAUCUGUUACCACUUAUUUCAGUACUUGCAGAGAAUACCUUGCUAAAAACUGCUUAUCAUUUCCUUCUGCUCCUCGUUGGGUUCGACACUCUUACUUAUCGAAAGGACUACGAUAGAUCACCUAUACUUGUGGGUCAUCAAGACUCUUUUCUGGCGCGGUUGCUGGGUGUGAAGCGCCUUUGGUAGGUGGAAUUUGGUAAGGAAAAAUUUAUUUAGUGUGCUGAAAUUUUCUGUCACUUGUUACUAUGGAAAGUAAUUCUCUGAGGGGCUUGUUCGGGGUAUCUUCACCCCGUCCAGUAGAGCAAAGAGUUGCUCCUGAACCUACUCAACCUACUGAACCUAUUGAAAAUGAAACUCCUUUUGAGAUUCCUUCGGGUAUGAUGGAAAAACUCCUAGCUAACAGUUUUACAGGAGAUGGAACAAGGCAUCCUGAUGAACAUCUAUGCUAUGUGGAUGACGUUUGUGGACUAUUUAAGCUUGCAGGUAUACCCGAUGAUGUUGUUAAGAAGAAGGCCUUCCCUUUAUCUUUGAAGGGAGACUCAUUGACAUGGUACAUGCUAUGUGAUGAUAUGAGAUCAUGGAACUAUAAAAGAUUGAAAUUGGAAUUUCAUCAAAAGUAUUACCCUAUGCAUCUUGUUCAUCGUGAUCGCAAUUAUAUAUAUAAUUUUUGGCCUCAUGAAGGAGAAAGCAUCGCUCAAGCUUGGGGGAGGCUUAAAUCAAUGUUAUAUUCAUGCCCCAAUCAUGAGCUCUCAAGAUAAGUAAUUAUGCAAAGUUUUUAUGCUUGGCUUUCUGAUAACAAUCGCACCAUGCUCGAUACUUCUUGUGCUGGCUCUUUUAUGAUGAAGACUAUCGAAUUUAAAUGGAAUUUAUUGGAUAGAAUUAAACGCAACUCUGAAGAUUGGGACCUCGACGAAGGUAAGGAGUCGGGUAUGACACCCAAGUUUGAUUGUGUUAAAUCUUUUAUGGAUACCGAUAUUUUCUGUAAGUUUAGCACUAAAUAUGGACUUGACUCUGAGAUAGUAGCUUCUUUCUGUGAAUCCUUUGCUACUUAGGUUGAUCUCCCCAAGGAGAAGUGGUUUAAAUAUCAUCCUCCCAUAGAAGUAAAAGUAGCUGCACCUAUUAAAGUUGAAGAAAAGACUGUCACUUAUAAUGAUCCUAUUGUUCCCACUUCUUAUGUUGAGAAACCGCCUUUCCCUAUUAGAAUGAAGGAUCAUGCUAGAGCUUCAACUGUUGUUCGCAAAAGAAAUAUUAGAACUUAUACACCUCCUGAGCAAGUCAAAGUAGAACCCAAUAUUGCUAUUGUUAAAGAUCUCUUGUCUGAUAAUAUCGAUGGGCAUGUUAUUCAAUUCCAGGGUGAAACUGCUAGAAUUGCUAAACCUUGUGAUAGAAAUAAACAUAGACCUGUGGUAGGCGUGCAUGUUAUUUCUGUUAAAAUAGGAGAUCAUUGUUAUCAUGGCUUAUGUGAUAUGGGUGCUAGUGCUAGUGUAAUACCCAUUGACUUAUAUAGAGAAAUUAUGCAUGAUAUUACACCUGCUGAGUUAGAAGAAAUUGAUGUCACAAUUAAACUUGCCAAUAGAGAUACUAUUUCACUAGUGGGAAUUGUUAGAGAUGUUGAAGUCUUGUGUGGAAAAACCAAAUAUCCCGCUGAUUUUCUUGUUCUUGGUUCUCCACAAGAUAGCUUUUGUCCCAUUAUAUUUGGUAGACCCUUCUUGAAUACUGUUAAUGCUAGGAUAGACUGCAAAAAGAAUGUUGUUACUUUUGGCUUGGCUGAUAUGGUUCAUGAGUUUAAUUUCUCUAAAUUUAGUAAACAACAUCGCGAGGAAGAAUCGCCAAGUAAGGAUGAAAUUAUUGGUCUUGCUUCUAUUGCCGUACCUCCUAGUGAUCCUUUAGAACAAUAUUUGCUAGACCAUGAAAAUGAUAUGUUCAUGAAUGAAAGAAGGGAAAUAGAUGAGGUAUUCUUUAAACAGGAACCUAUUCUGCAACACAAUUUGCCUGUUGAAAUUCUAGGGGAUCCUCCUCCACCCAAGGGUGAUCCCGUGUUUGAGCUUAAACCGUUGACUGAUAAUCUUAAAUAUGCUUAUCUUGAUGAAAAGAAAAUAUAUCCUGUUAUUAUUAGUGCUAACCUUUCAGAGCAUGAAGAAGAAAGAUUAUUGGAAACUCUGAAGAAGCACCAUGCCGCUAUUGGAUAUACAGUUGAUGAUCUUAAGGGCAUUAGUCCCACUCUAUGUCAACAUAAAAUAAAUUUGGAAGCGGAUGCCAAACCAGUUUGUGAUCCUCAACGACGUUUGAAUCCUAAAAUGAAAGAAGUGGUAAGAAAAGAAAUACUCAAGCUUCUGGAGGCAGGUAUAAUUUAUCCCGUUGCUGAUAGUCAGUGGGUAAGUCCUGUCCAUUGUGUCCCCAAGAAGGGAGGUAUUACUGUUGUCCCUAAUGAUAAAGAUGAAUUGAUCCCGCAAAGAAUUAUCACAGGUUAUAGGAUGGUAAUUGAUUUCCGCAAAUUAAAUAAAGCUACUAAGAAGGAUCAUUACCCCUUACCUUUCAUUGAUCAAAUGCUAGAACGAUUAUGCAAACAUACACAUUAUUGCUUUCUAGAUGGUUAUUUUGGUUUCUCUCAAAUACCUGUGUCAGCUAAAGAUCAAUCAAAGACUACUUUUACAUGCCCUUUGGUACUUUUGCUUAUAGACGUAUGCCUUUUGGUUUAUGUAAUGCACCUGCUACCUUUCAAAGAUGCAUGAUGGAUAUAUUCUCUGACUUUUGUGAAAAAAUUUGUGAGGUUUUCAUGGACGAUUUUUCCGUCUAUGGUUCCUCUUUUGUUGAUUGGUUGAGCAAUCUUGCUCGAGUUUUACAGAGAUGUGAAAAAACGAAUCUUGUCUUGAAUUGGGAAAAGUGCCACUUUAUGGUUAAUGAAGGUAUUGUCUUGGGACACAAAGUUUCUGAAAGAGGUAUUGAAGUUGAUAAAGCCAAAGUUGAUGCUAUUGAAAAGAUGCUAUGUCCCAAGGACAUCAAAGGUAUAAGAAGUUUCCUUGGUCACACCGGAUUUUAUAGGAGGUUCAUUAAGGAUUUCUCAAAAAUUUCUCGGCCUCUGACUAAUUUAUUACAAAAAGAUGUACCAUUUGUCUUUGAUGAUGAUUGUGUAGAAGCAUUUGAAAUACUUAAGAAAGCAUUAGUCUCUGCACCUGUUGUUCAGCCACCUGAUUGGAAUUUACCCUUUGAAAUUAUGUGUGAUGCUAGUGAUUAUGCUGUAGGUGUUGUUCUAGGGCAAAGAGUUGAUAAGAAAUUAAAUGUUAUCCAUUAUGCUAGUAAGACUCUAGACAAUGCUCAAAGAAAUUAUGCUACUACUGAAAAGGAACUUUUAGAAGUUGUAUUUGCUUGUGAUAAAUUCAGAUCCUAUAUUGUUGAUUCUAAAGUAACUAUUCACACCGAUCAUGCUGCUAUUAAAUAUCUUAUGGAAAAGAAGGAUGCAAAACCUAGAUUCGUUAGAUGGGUUCUCUUGCUACAAGAAUUUGAUUUGCAUAUUGUUGAUAGAAAGGGAGCUGAGAACCCCGUUGCAGACAACUUAUCUAGGUUAGAGAAUGUUCUUGAUGACCCACUACCUAUUGAUGAUAGCUUCCCUGAUGAGCAACUAAAUGUCAUAAGCACUUCUCGUAGCACUCCAUGGUAUGCUGAUUAUGCUAAUUAUAUUGUCGCUAAAUUUAUACCACCUAGCUUCACAUACCAACAAAAUAAAAAGUUUUUCUAUGACUUGCAACAUUACUUUUGGGAUGACCCACAUCUUUAUAAAGAAGGAGUAGAUGGUGUCAUUAGACGUUGUGUACCUGAGCAUGAACAAGAACAGAUCCUACGCAAGUGUCACUCCGAAGCUUAUGGAGGACACCAUGCUGGAGAUAGAACUGCACAUAAGGUAUUGCAAUCUGGUUUUUAUUGGCCUACUCUCUUCAAGGAUGCCCGUAAGUUUGUUUUGUCUUGCGAUGAAUGUCAAAGAAUUGGUAAUAUUAGUAGACAUCAAGAAAUGCCUAUGAAUUAUUCACUUGUUAUUGAACCAUUUGAUGUUUGGGGCUUUGAUUAUAUGGGACCUUUUCCUGCCUCUAAUGGAUACACACAUAUUUUAGUUGCUGUUGAUUAUGUUACUAAGUGGGUAGAAGAUAUUCCAACUAGUAGUGCUGAUCAUAACACUUCUAUUAAAAUGCUUAAGGAAGUUAUUUUUCCGAGGUUUGGAGUCCCUAGAUAUCUUAUGACUGAUGGUGGUUCACAUUUUAUUCAUGGUGCUUUCCGUAAAAUGCUUGCUAAAUAUGAUGUUCAUCAUAGGAUUGCAUCUCCUUAUCACCCGCAGUCUAGUGGUCAAGUAGAAUUGAUCAAUAGAGAGCUCAAAUUAAUUUUGCAAAAGACUGUCAAUAGGUCUAGAAAGAAUUGGUCUAAGAAACUGGACGACGCAUUAUGGGCCUAUAGAACUGCAUAUAAGAAUCCUAUGGGUAUGUCUCCGUAUAAAAUGGUCUAUGGAAAAGCUUGUCACCUACCUGUCGAACUAGAACAUAAGGCAUAUUGGGCUAUUAAAGAGCUCAACUAUGAUUUCAAACUUGCCGGUGAGAAGAGGCUAUUUGAUAUAAGCUCCCUUGAUGAAUGGAGAACCCAAGCUUAUGAAAAUGCCAAGUUGUUUAAAGAAAAAGUUAAAAGAUGGCAUGACAAAAGAAUACAACAGCGUGAGUUUAAUGUAGGUGAUUAUGUAUUGCUAUACAACUCUCCUUUAAGAUUUUUUGUAGGAAAACUUCUCUCCAAAUGGGAAGGUCCCUACGUUAUCGAGGAGGUCCAUCAUUCCAGUGCCAUAAAAAUCAACAACUUCGAAGGCACAAAUCCGAAGGUGGUAAACGGUCAAAGGAUCAAACACUAUAUCUCAGGUAAUCCUAUAAAUGUUGAAACCAAUAUUAUUGAAACCGUAACCCCGGAGGAAUACAUAAGGGACACCUUCCAGGCCGUCCCAAACUCCAAAAAGGAAUAUGUAUGUGGUACGGUAAGUAAACCGACUCCAAAACAAUUUUAAGGCAAUAUUUCCCCGUUUUGGAAUAUUUAGAAAAAUAGAAAAAUAAGUGGCAGUCCGUGAAGGACACGAGGCCUCCAUGAGGGUGGAUGGCGCGCCCUACCCCCCUGGGCGUGCCCCCUACCUCGUGAGCACCUCGUGUGCUCUCCGGACUCUGUUUUCUUGCACGAUACGUAUUUUGGUCGGUAAAAAAUCAUUAUAUAUACUCCCGAAGGUUUUGACUCUUGUAUCACGCAAAUAUCCUCUGUUUUCAUUUCGAACUGUUUUUGUUGCAGACUUAGAGCACCAUGAUUUCUCCCACCUCCAACAAUGAAGAAAAGGAUGCUUGGCUUUUGAAGAUAGAGUUGAAAAGAGAAGAACCAGAAGAGAUCAAGAAGGCCAUUGAUGCUCAAGCUCCAGUGGUGAAAGAAGAAGACACCCCUCAACCUUUACCUAACCUUUUCACUCCAAUAGAGAUUGAAGCUUUCAAGAUGAUUGAGUUAGCCCGCAUACAGAACAAGUAUCUCACAGAGGAGAAUAUUUUGUUGAAGGAUCAUAUUGCUGGGCUCAAGGGCAUUAUCCGAAAGUUGGAGGUACUUUUACGCUCAAUGUGCGAUUAUCCACCGUCAUCAUCACCACCUCCAUCAGCUCCGAGGAUAUAAUCACAUGGGUAUGGGCACUCCCCUUGGCAACUGCCAAGCUUGGGGGAGGUGCCCUGGUAUCAUAUCACCAUCACAACUCCUAUCUUUACCAUUUUUCUUAGUUCGAUCCUAUUAGUAGUAUCUUGAUUUAGUAGAAUAAAGUCAUGGCAUGAUCUAGUUUUGAGUUUUGCUUUAUGAUCCUUCUUUGUAAUCGAGUCCGUGAGCUAUAUAAUAAAGAUUAGUGUUGAGUCAAGGGCUUGAUUAUUUUGCCUUGAUCUUGGGUGAAUAGAAGAAAAGAAUAAAAAGAAUCAAAGAGUCCAUAUUGAUCUUAUUGAAAGUAAUGACUUCACAUAGAGAGAGUAUGAUGAUUAAAAGUUGUUGGGAGUUGGCAAAUAUAGCUUUGGUCAUCGUUGCACUUAAUAGGAAGUAAUAAGGAAAGAGAGGUUUCACAUAUAGAUAUAUUAUCAUUGACAUCUUUUAUGAUUGGGAGCACUCAUUAAAAUAUGACAUGCUAAAGAGUUGAUGUUGGACAAGGAAGACAACAUAAUGAGUUAUGUUUUCUUAUAUCUGAGAUAAAGUAUGUUGUCAUGGAUCCUCUAACGUGUUGGGCUUGCCUUUCCCCCUCAUGCUAGCCAAAUUCUUAGCACCAAGUAGAAAUACUACUCGUGCUUCCAAAUACCCUUAAACCAGUUUUGCCAUGAGAGUCCACCAUAUCUACCUAUGGAUUGAGUAAGAUCCUUCAAGUAAGUUGUCAUCGGUGCAAGCAAUAAAAAUUGCUCUCUAAAUAUGCAUGACUUAUUAGUGCGGAGAAAAUAAGCUUUGUAUGAACUUGUUGUGGACGUAAUAAAAGCGACGGACUGCAUAAUAAAGGUCCACAUACAAGGGGCAAUAUAAAGUGACGUUCUUUUGCAUUAAGAUUUUGUGCAUCAACCCUAAACACGCAUGACAACCUCUGCUUCCCUCUGCGAAGGGCCUAUCUUUUAUUAUUAUCCUCUACCUUAUGCAAGAGUCACGGUGAUCUUCACCUUUCCUUUUUCAUUUUAUCCUUUGGCAAGCUCAGCAUGUUGGAAAGAGUAUGAUAUAUGUAUCUAAUUGGAUGUAGGGGAGCAUGAAUUGUUAUUGUUGACAUUACCCUUGAGGUAAAAGGUUGUGGGGCAAAACUAUAAGCCCCUAUCUUUCUCUGUGUUCGAUUAAAACUCCGUAACCACAGGUAUCACGUGAGUGUUAGCAAUUAUGAAGGACUAAGUGAUAGUUGAGUAUGCGGACUUGCUUUUAAGCUCUGACAUAGACUCUUUCCGAUAUUGUGAUAUAUUGCAAUUGCUUCAAUGACUGAGGUUAUAAUUUGUUGGUGCUCAAUAAGGUUCUGAUUCAUACUUUUUGCUUUGUGAAAAAAUCAUCACUUGAACAUAAGUAAUCAUAUGACAAAAUCUCUACAUGUUGCUGUUAUGGAAAUAAUCAUGAUGCCUUCAUGCCCGUAUUUUAUUUUUAUCGACGCCUCUACCUCUAAACAUGAGGACAUAUUUUUUGUUAUCGGCUUUUUGCUUGAGGACAAGCAAGGUCUAAGCUUGGGGGAGUUGACACGUCCAUUUUGCAUCAUGCUUUUAUAUCAAUAUUUAUUGCAUUACGGGCUGUUAUUUCACGUUAUGUCACAAUACUUAUGGCUAUUCUCUCUUAUUUUACAAGGUUUCCAUGAAGAGGGAGAAUGCCGACAGCUGGAAUUCUAGGCUGGAAAAGGAGCAAAUAUUGGAGGCCUAUUCUGUGCAACUCCAAAAGUCCUGAAACUCCACGGAAUAUCUUAAAAUAAAUAAAGAAAAAUCGUCGCCAAAGAUGAAGGCCAGGGGGCCCACACCCUACUCACGAGGGUGGGGGGCACCCCCCCUGGGGCGCGCCCCCUACCCCGUGGGCCCCUUGGUGGCUCUCCGACGCCCGUCUUUCUCCUAUAUGAAGUCUUUCGAUGAGGAAAAAAUAGAAGGCAACCUUUCAGUACGAGACUCCGCGGCCACGAGGCGGAACCUUGGCGGAACCAAUCUAGGGCUCUGGCAGAGCUGUUCUGCCGGGGAUACUUCCCUCCGGGAGGGGGAAAUCAUCACCAUCAUCAUCACCAACGCUCCUCUCAUCAGGAGAGGGCAAUCUCCAUCAACAUCUUCACCAGCACCAUCUCAUCUCCAAACCCUAGUUCAUCUCUUGUAUCCAAUUCUUGUCUCCAAGUCCGGGAUUGGUGCUAGUAGGUUGCUAGUAGUGUUGAUUACUCCUUGUAGUUGAUGCUAGUUGGUUUAUUUGGUGGAAGAUCAUAUGUUAAGAUCCUUUAUGCACAUUAUUACCCCUCUGAUUAUGAACAUGAAUAUGCUUUGUGAGUAGUUACGUUUGUUCCUGAGGACAAGGGAGAAGUCUUGCUAUUAGUAGUCAUGUGAAUUUGGUAUUCGUUCGAUAUUUUGAUGAGAUGUAUGUUGUCUAGCCUCUAGUGGUGUUAUGUGAACGUCGACUACAUAACACUUCACCAUUAUUUGGGCCUAGAGGAAGGCAUUGGGAAGUAAUAAGUAGAUGAUGGGUUGCUACAGUGACAGAAGCUUAAACCCUAGUUUAUGCGUUGCUUCGUAAGGGGCUGAUUUGGAUCCAUAUGUUUCAUGCUAUUGUUAGGUUUACCUUAAUACUUUUGUUGUAGUUGCGGAUGCUUGCAAUAGAGGUUAAUCAUAAGUGGGAUGCUUGUCCAAGGAAGGGCAGUACCCAAGCACCGGUCCACGCACAUAUCAAAUUAUCAAAGUACCGAACGCGAAUCAUAUGAGCGUGAUGAAAACUAGCUUGACGAUAUUCCCAUGUGUCCUCGGGAGCGCUUUUCCUAUUAUAAGAGUUUGUCCAGGCUUGUCCUUUGCUACAAAAAGGAUUGGGCCACCUUGCUGCACUUUAUUUACUUUUGUUACUUGUUGCUCGUUAUAAUUUAUCUUAUCACAAAACUAUCUGCUACCACUUAUUUCAGUACUUGCAGAGAAUACCUUGCUGAAAACCGCUUAUCAUUUCCUUCUGCUCCUUGUUGGGUUCGACACUCUUACUUAUCGAAAGGACUACGAUAGAUCCCCUAUACUUGUGGGUCAUCACGCACCCGCCGCGACGCCCUUGUCAUCAACGAGGGCGGCCAUGGCCCCUCUGCUCCCUCCUCCCACCUCGUCAAACUGAAGACGGAGACGAGGCUCAUCACCGUAAAGAAGGAACACAAGGACAUGGCCGCCGAUGACGAGACCGCCCUCAAGUGGGUGCGGGAGGACUACAUCCAGCUGGAGAUGGAACGCCAGCGCCUCGCCCUCGAGGAGAUCGCUGACCGGCGCCGCGGUCGUGACGAGAGUGGCGUCAUCGUCCUCGAGGACAGCAACGACGAGGCACCACCGCCAACCAAACCCAUCCGCCAAGGCGACCCAGGGCAGGGAUGUAGCAAGGACCGCGACGACAUGAAGAAGGAGGACGGCGGCGGCGGCAGCGACGGCGGCGACUACAGCGCCUUCUUCAAGCUCUUUGGCGUGUAAGCUCAAGGCAGCGUGACAGGCGGCGGCGGCGUAGUAGUAGUCAAUGUUUUUUUUUCAAAUUAUGUUUUCAAUAUGUACAAAAAUCAAUGGAACGCCUAAAUUUUGCCCAAUUUUGCGUCGUGUUUGGACAAAUUUUGGCCGAGUAUGGUUUUAAAAAACGGCGUCUGGGGCGACCUUAGGUCGGCGGCUGGAAAACCCACCGCCCCACGCCGAAUUUAUCGUCGAUUCGCCCCCAGUCGGUGCUAUUUCAAGCCCCUGGGGGCCGAACGGCUAGAGAUGAUCUUAAACUAGUAACAUGCAUAUGUUAGUAGUCUAUGUUACUACCUUCAUAGUGGGUAGUGUCAUAUGCAUGGUAACAUAGAUGUCUUCAUUUAUUAUUUUAUAGACUUAUUUUGCAUCGGGAAGCGCUAUGUGAUGGUAACAUAUUAUGUUACUCUAUUUUCCUUUCUCAUUAACUACUUGCCACCUCACAAUUUUUGUUUAUGUGACAUCUAUGUUACUCCCACUAUGACCAACCUUAGGCUAGUUAAGGUUGGUCAUAGUGAGAGUAACAUACAUGCCACAUAAGCAAAAAAGAUGAUGCGUCAUGCAAUUAAAGAGGAGAGAGACAAAUGGAGUAACAUAAUAUGUUACCAUCACAUAGUGCUUUCUAAUGCAAAAUGAGUCUACAAAGAAAUAAAUGUAUAUAUGCAUGUUACUACACCUAUGCCACUUCUCACUAUGGAGGUAGUAAUAUAGACUAGUAACAUAUGUAAGGCUGCGUUUGACAGCAAAGUUUUUUUAAAGUUUUUUGACAAUACCAUGGUUUCUGAAAAAAAAACUAUGGUUUUGAAUACUUCGAUGCAUUUGGCUUCAGCAAAAACUAAAGUUUUGUAAACCACAGUAUCCUAAAAACCAUGUUUUUUGGAGUAUCUGGAAAAGAGGCCUCUUUUUCCAAAACAGAACAGAGAGAAAACGGCAGGGCGAUUGCUGUUGACGUUGCCGUCUGCGUCGAGAUAACAAUAUCCAGCUACGAUCCCGUCCUAUUUUUCCUCUUUCUGUUAUAUGGUAAAUAACCUGUAUUAUAUCUUCAGGUUUGAUUCAGUUUGAUUUGUUUACGAGUACUAGGUCUCACGGGUCCUUCCAGCCGGCGUCACGCGCUAGUAUCCAUCUCUUCUUUUCAUGAUGAGCGAAUCAAGCUCGCCACCAAGGAAAAAAGGUAUGAGCUCGUCUACAACAACAACAACAACAACAACAACAACAACAACAACAACAACAACAACAACAACAACAACAACAACAAAGCCUUUAGUCCCAAACAAGUUGGGGUAGGCUAGAGGUGAAACCCAUAAGAUCUCGCAACCAACUCAUGGCUCUGGCACAUGGAUAACAAGCUUCCACGCACCCCUGUCCAUAGCUAGCUCUUUGGUGAUACUCCAAUCCUUCAGGUCUCUCUUAACGGACUCCUGCCAUGUCAAAUUCGGUCUACCCCGCCCUCUCUUGACAUUCUCCGCACGCUUUAGCCGUCCGCUAUGCACUAGAACUUCUAGAGGCCUGCGCUGAAUAUGCCCAAACCAUCUCAGAUGAUGUUGGACAAGCUUCUCUUCAAUUGGUGCUACCCCAACUCUAUCUCGUAUAUCAUCAUUCUAGACUCAAGCCUUCCUCGUGUGGCCACGCAUCCAUCUUAACAUACACAUCUCCGCCACACCUAGCUGUUGAACAUGUUGCCUUUUAGUCGGCCAACACUCAGUGCCAUACAACAUUGUGGGUUGAACCGCCGUCCUGUAGAACUUGCCUUUUAGCUUUUGUGGCACUCUCUUGCCACAGAGAAUGCCAGAAGCUUGGCGCCACUUCAUCCAUCCAGCUUUGAUUCGAUGGUUCACAUCUUCAUCAAUACCGCCACCCCCCUGCAACAUUGACCCCAAAUACCGAAAGGUGUCCUUCUGGGGAACCACCUGGCCAUCAAGGCUAACCUCCUCCUCCUCACACCUAGUAGUACUGAAACCGCACAUCAUGUACUCGAUUUUAUUUCUACUAAGCCUAAACCCUUUCGAUUCCAAGGUUUGUCUCAUAACUCUAACUUCCUAUUUACCCCCGUUCGACUAUCAUCAACUAGCACCACAUCAUCUGCAAAGAGCAUACACCAUGGGAUAUCUCCUUGUAUAUCCCUUGCGACCUCAUCCAUCACCAAUGCAAAAAUAUAAGGGCUCAAAGCUGACCCCUGAUGCAGUCCUAUCUUAAUCGGGAAGUCAUCAGUGUCGACAUCACUUAUUCGAACACUUGUCACAACAUUAUCGUACAUGUCCUUGAUGAGGGUAAUGUACUUUGCUGGGACUUUGUGUUUCUCCAAGGCCCACCACAUGACAUUCCGUGGUAUCUUAUCACAGGCCUUCUCCAAGUCAAUGAACACCGUAUGCAAGUCCUUCUUUUGCUCCCUAUAUCUCUCCAUAAGUUGUCGUGCCAAGAAAAUGGCUUCCAUGGUCGACCUCCUAGGCAUGAAAACAAACAGAUUUUUGGUCACGCUUGUCAUUCUUCUUAAGCGGUGCUCAAUGACUCUCUCCCUUAGCUUCAUUGUAUGGCUCAUCAUCUUAAUUACACGGUAAUUAGUACAACUCAGAACAUCCCCCUUGUUCUUGAAGAUUGGUACUAAUAUACUCCGUCUCCAUUCUUCUGGCAUCUUGUUUACCCAAAAAAUAAGGUUGAAAAGCUUGGUUAGCCAUACUGUCGCUAUGUCCCCGAGACCUUUCGACACCUCAAUGGGGAUACAAACAGGGCCCAUCGCCUUGCCUCCUUUCAUCCUUUUUAAAUCCUCCUUGACCUCAGACUCCUGGAUUCGCCGCACAAAACGCAUGCCGGUCUCAUCAAAGGAGUCGUCCAGUUCAAUGGUAGAACUCUUAUUCUCCCCAUUGAAUAGCUUGUCGAAGUACUCCCUCCAUCUAUGCUUAAUCUCCUCGUCCUUCACCAAGAGUUGGCCUACUCCGUCCUUGAUGAAUUUGACUUGGCCAAUAUCCCUCGUCCUCCUCUCUCGGAUCUUGGCCAUCUUAUAGAUGUCCCUUUCGCCUUCCCUCGUGCCUAACCGUUGGUAGAGGUCCUCAUAUGCUCGACCCCUUGCUUCACCAACAGCUCGCUUUGCAGCCUUCUUCGCCAUCUUGUACUUCUCUAUGUUUCCUGCACUCCUAUCCAGGUAUAGGCGUCUGAAGAAAUCUUUCUUCUCUUUAAUCGCCUUCUGGACAUCAUCAUUCCACCACUAGGUAUCCUUAUCUUUGCUUCUCCUUCCCCUGGACACUCCAAACUCCUCCGAGGCCACCUUACGAAUGCAAGUCGCCAUCUUCAUCCACACAUUGUCUGCAUCCCCUCCUUCCUCCCAAGGCCCUCCUUAAUGACCCUCUCCUUGAACACCUAAGCUACCCCCCCUUGAGCUUCCACCACUUCGUUCUAGCGACUUUGGCAUGCUUAUCCCGCUGGACAUGAAUCCGAAAGCGGAAGUCAGCAACCACCAGCUUAUGCUGGGGUACAACACUCUCUCGAGGUAUCACCUUAUAGUCUAGGAACGCAUGCCUAUUGAGGGAAUCCUGGAUAGGGGGUGUCCGAAUGGCCGGACUAUGACCUUUGGCCGGACUCCCGGACUAUGAAGAUACAAGAUUGAAGACUCCGUCCCGUGUCCGGAUGAAACUUUCCUUGGCGUGGAAGGCAACCUUGGCAAUACGAUAUGAAGAUCUCCUCCCAUUGUAACCGACUCUGUAUAACCCUAGCCCUCUCCAGUGUCUAUAUAAACCGAAGAGUUUUAGUCCGUAGGACGAACAACAAUCAUACCAUAGGCUAGCUUCUAGGGUUUAGCCUCUCUGAUCUCGUGGUAGAUCCACUCUUGUACUACCCAUAUCAUUAAUAUUAAUCAAGCAGGAGUAGGGUUUUACCUCCAUCGAGAGGGCCCGAACCUGGGUAAAAACAUCGUGUCCCUUGUCUCCUGUUACCAUCUGCCUAGACGCACAGUUCGGGACCCCCUACCCGAGAUCCGUCGGUUUUGACACCGACAUUGGUGCUUUCAUUGAGAGUUCCUCUAUGUCGUCACCUUUAGGCCCAAUGGCUUCUUCGAUCAUCAACCACGACGCAGUCCAGGGUGAGACUUUUCUCCCCGGACAGAUCUUCAUAUUCGGUGGCUUCGCACUGCGGGCCAACUCGCUUGGCCAUCUGGAGCAGAUCGAAAGCUACGCCCCUGGCCAUCAGGUCAGGUUUGGAGGCUUAAAUUACACGGCCGACAUCCACGGGGACUUGAUCUUCGAUGGAUUCAAGCCACGGCCGAGUGUGCCGCUCUGUCCCGAUGGGCAUGAUCUAACUCUGCCGCCAGACAGCGCCCAGAGUGCCGCUCAGGUGUCCGCUCCGAUCAUUAGCUCGGAGCCGACUGUGCUAGUCGGGGAUGGACGGUUGGACGCCACCCCGAGAGCCGCAAUCUCUACGGCGAUAGAGCCGAAUACCAGCCUAGUCCUUUGCAGGGCCCGUGACUCCAAGGUACCGGACUCCGCUCCGGACUCUGUAUAUUCCGCACCUCUUCCGAUCGAACCCGAUUGGGCUCCGAUCAUGGAGUUCACUGCCACGGACAUCUUUCAGCACUCGCUCUUGGGCGAUAUCCUGAAUUCACUAAAGUCUCUCUCUUUGUUAGGAGAGCCCUGGCCGGAUUAUGGUCAGCAUGGUUGGGAUGCGGACGACGAAGAAAUUCGAAGCCCACCCACCACCCACUUCGUAGCCACUGUCGACGAUUUAACCGACAUUCUCGACUUUGACUCCGAAGACAUCGACGGUAUGGAUGCCGAUGAAGGAGACGACCAAGAACCAGCACCUAUAGGGAACUAGAAAGCCACCUCGUCAUAUGACAUAUACAUGGUGGACACCCCCAAAGUAGGGGAUGGCGAUGAAAAAACGGAGGACGACCCCUCCAAGAAGCAACCCAAGCACCGACGUCAGCAGCGCCGCCCUAAAUCCCGCCAAAGCAAAAACGGCGAUUCCGGCACCGGAGAUAACAACACGCCGGACAAUGCCGAAGACAACCCCCUCCAGCAGGAUUCAGUGCAGGAGGACGAAGGAGCCAGCCCUCAUGAGAGAGCGGCCGACAAAGAGGUCGAGGACGACAAUUAUAUGCCUCCCUCCGAAGACGAGGCAAGCCUCGACGACGACGAAUUCGUCGUGCCAGAGGAUCUCGUCGAACAAGAGCGUUUCAAACGCAGGCUUAUGGCCACGGCAAGCAGCCUCAAGAAAAAACAGCAGCAACUUAGAGCUGACCAAGACUUGCUAGCCGACAGAUGGACCGAAGUCCUGGCGGCCGAAGAGUAUAAACUCGAACGCCCCUCCAAGAGCUACCCAAAGCGCAGGCUGCUACCCCAACUUGAGGAGGAAGCAACUAAACCUACAUCACUAGUGUACGAUGCGCCCGAUCGGCCACCCCGUGGCCGUGACAGAGAGGCCUUUAGGCCCUCGACCCAAGCCGCACCCCGGCACCGCUCAAAACAUACCAGAGUGCGGGGAGACGCAACAGACCUGCGAGACAUAUUGGAGAAUAAGGCAAGGCAAACAAGAUCGAUCUACAGAUCGCGUGGGUGCCCCGCUUCACGUGACGAUAGCCGUCACGCCGGACAUGAUAAAUACGGCCAGGCCGAAUACAAUAGACCAAGCUCAUCUGAGCUACGUCGUGAUAUAGCCCAGUACAGGGGCGCCGCACACCCACUAUGCUUCACAGACGAAGUAAUGGAUCAUCAAAUCCCCGAGGGCUUUAAACCCAUAAACAUCGAAUCAUACGAUGGCACAACAGAUCCUGCGGUAUGGAUCGAGGAUUAUCUCCUUCAUAUCCACAUGUCCCGUGGUGAUGAUCUACACGCCAUCAAAUACCUCCCUCUCAAGCUUAAAGGACCAGCUCGACAUUGGCUUAACAGCCUGCCAGCAGAGUUAAUUAGUUGCUGGGAGGACCUAGAAUCCGCAUUCCUUGACAACUUCCAGGGCACUUAUGUGCGACCACCAGAUGCCGAUGACCUAAGCCACAUAAUCCAGCAGCCAGAGGAAUCGGCCAGACAAUUCUGGACACGGUUCCUAACCAAGAAAAAUCAAAUAGUCGACUGUUCGGACGCCGAGGCCCUUGCAGCCUUCAGGCACAACAUCCGAGAUGAAUGGCUUGCCCGGCACCUAGGACAGGAAAAGCCGAAAUCUAUGGCAGCCCUCACGACACUCAUGACCCGCUUUUGUGCGGGAGAAGACAACUGGCUAGCUCGUAGCAAUAACAUAACCAAGAGCCCUGGCAAUUCGGAUACCAAGGACAACAAUGGCAAGUCACGUCGCAACAAGCACAAGCGCCACAUUAACAGCGACAAUACUGAAGAUACGGCAGUCAAUGCCGGAUUCAGAGGCUCUAAACCCGGUCAGCGGAAGAAGCCAUUCAAAAGAAACCCUCCGGGCCCAUCCAGCUUAGACCGGAUACUCGAUCGCUCUUGCUAGAUACACGACACCCCCGAACAGCCAGCCAACCACACCAACUGGGAUUGUUGGGUGUUCAAGCAGGCAGGCAAGUUAAGUGCCGAAACCAGAGAUAAGGGGCUGCAUAGCGAUGACGUGGAGGAGCCCCGGCCGCCGAACAAUAGAGGACAGAAGGGAUUCCCCCCGCAAGUGCGGACGGUGAACAUGAUAUACGCAACCCACAUCCCCAAAAGGGAGCGGAAGCAUGCUCUCAAGGACGUCUAUGUGUUGGAGCCAGUCGCCCCAAAGUUCAACCCAUGGUCCUCCUGCCCGAUCACUUUUGAUCGAAGGUACCACCCCACUAGCAUCCAUCACGGCGGAUUUGCCACAUUGGUCCUAGACCCAAUUAUCGACGGAUUUCACCUCACCAGAGUCCUAAUGGACGGCGGCAGCAGCCUGAACCUGCUUUAUCAAGAUACAGUGCGAAAAAUGGGUAUCGAUCCCUCAACGAUUAAACCCACAAAGACAAUCUUUAAAGGCGUCAUACCAGGUGUAGAAGCCAGCUGUACAGGCUCGGUUACACUCGAAGUGGUCUUCGGAUCCCCGGAUAAUUUCCAAAGCGAAGAGUUAAUCUUCGACAUAGUCCCAUUCCGCAGUGGCUAUCACGCCCUGCUCGGACGAACCGCAUUUGCAAAAUUCAAUGCGGUGCCGCACUACGCAUAUCUCAAGCUCAAGAUGCCAGGACCUCGCGGAGUCAUCACGGUAAAUGGAAACACCGAACGCUCUCUCCAAACGGAGGAGCACACGGCGGCCCUGGCAGUGUAAGUACAGAGUAGCCUCUCAAGGCAAUUCUCCAAUCCAGGUGUUAAACGUCCGGACAACGUCAAGCGAGCCCGAAGUAACAUACAACAAAUCCGGCUGGCACGUUCCGAGCAAGCAUAGCAGUCCGACCCCAACCCCAGCCCUCGCCAGAUGGUGAUAUCGGUACCACGCGUACAUAAUUACGCCUUAGAGAUACCAUGGGCAUAAGGGGAGGGGCACAACUACGGCACGCCCAGAAUGCGGCUGAACCGCACUAAGGAGCUCCCUAUUCCGCCGUUUCCUUUUUAUACACUUUCAGGACCCAACUAUUCGGAAGACCUGUCCGACAAUACACUCGCCGAACACACGAUGCAACAGCCAGGGAGAGAACAAGCCGCGUCAAAUGUCCAGGUGGUCUCUAUAACGAGCUUAAUACCUGUUUUACUUAAAGUCCCGCAGCUUGCCUCUGGAGGGGAACAUGUCAAAUAAUCCCAUCUCUUGCUUAUCGCACUACUUGUAUCGUUCUGCUUUCAUAGCAGCCCUUUUUAAUAAACAAUACAGAGCUCUUAUCUAUUAUUGUACUCAUCUAUUUUUUAUACAAAUAUGUUCAGUCAUGACAUUAUGCAACCGUACACUUUAGUACGGCCAAUACACCAGGGGCUUAAGCACCCCAUAACAUGGUGUGAGAAGAUCGAACACUCUCAUGAGUGCGGCACCCCGAACUUAUAACACUAUAUGCAUCGGCUCCGAAUCAUGUCUUUGGUCAAUAGUUGGGUUUGCACGGCUCCCAUGUUUUGGUACCUUACGUUCCGCAAUGUUGGCUAAGGUAGCACUGGGAGAACUACUACGAUUGUGCCCCAGUUGAGCUGGGUUAACACCUCAGUAGAGAAAGCUAAAACUGACCGUCAUGAUAGUGCGAGAGACCGGUCGCUGUUCGUGAGGUUUUUUGAGUCCUUAAAGACUUAUGCUGCUUAGAGCGAGGAGCCGGACUUAUCCGGCCUAGGCGUGGAUAGCGCCCCGAACUCGGCCUUCCGAAUACUAGGGGCUUCCCCAAAUUUAAAAUUAUAGAAUUCUAUGGCUAAGUGAGAGUGAUAAAGCAUUAUAAGUCCGAUGGCCUGGUUCGCUGUGCUGAGCGCCUCCCCAGAUGGACCCAAGAAUGGGAACAAGAGCGCUCAGGUUUAUCCCGAACACCCCAGCACUCGUGGCAUGGGGGUAGAAGCCGACGACUUGCAUCUCUCGGAAUUGAUAAACGGCCGCACAGAAGGUAAUAUUUUAAAUUAACAAAGCGUUGCUUAACGCAUAUGAACAAAGUUUUCAGCGUACAGGAUAACAGAUGUGAGUCUACUCAAAAAUUACAUCUUUGGAGCAUUCGUCCGCUAUAAGGCGGGCACCCUUCAGGACGCCCUUAUAAUACAUCUCGGGCGUGCGAUAUUCCUUGCCCGGCGGUGGCGCGUCCGUCAAAAGCUUCUCAGCGUCCAGCUUGCCCCAGUGCACUUUAGCACGGGCAAGGGCCCGACGGCCACCUUCGAUACAGACGGAGCGCUUGAUGACUUCAAUCCAUGGACACGCGUCCACCAGCCGCCGCACCAGACCGAAGUAACUCCCAGGCAUGGCUUCUCUAGGCCACAGCCGAACUAUGAGGCCCUUCAUGGCCUGUUCGGCCACCUUGUGGAGUUCGACCAGCUGCUUCAGCUGGUCGCUCAGAGGCACCGGAUGUCCGGCCUCAGCAUAUUGAGACCAGAACACCUUUUCCGUCGAGCUCCCCUCUUCGGCUCGGUAGAAUGUGGCAGCAUCAGACACACUACGGGGCAGAUCGGCGAACGCUCCUGGAGAGCUCCGGAUUCGGGUAAGUAACAGAUAAUUUACUUUUAUAUUCUUGCUUUGCAUAAAGAAUGCCUUACCCUCCGCUAUAUUCUUCAUCGCCUCGAUCUCCUGAAGGGCCUUCUGGGCUUCGGCCUUAGCGGUCUUGGCACUCUCAAGAGCCAUGGCGAGCUCGGACUCUCGAGUCUUCGAGUCACGCUCCAAACUCUCGUAUUUUUCCAUGAGAGCCUGGAGCUCUUGCCGCACCUCCGCCACCCGCGCCUCCUGCUUCUCUCGCUCGGUGCACUCCAAGGCCGCACUAUUUUCGGCCUUGGAGACCGCCUCCUUCAGGGUCGCCACCUCGGCCGUGGCCCCUGCAACAUUUACGUUGGUCCUGUCAUUAUUUGCAACCAAGUAUUUCUAUAUACAUUUACAUGCGGUAUUACAUACCCUCCUUGUCCUCGAGCUGCUUCUUGGCACGGCCGAGCUCGUUCUCGGACCGCUCGAGGUUCUCCUUCAAUGCAUUGACCUCCGCAGUCAGUGCGGCAGAGGUCAGCAGCGCAGCCUGCAUUCCCAUAUUGACAUAUUUUUUAGACUCCUGCGUAUAUCUUUUUAGAUCCUCAGCUCGGCUUUUCUUUCCGAACACUGAACUGAGCAUCAGGGGCUACUGUCUAUGCGGUAACAUUUUUAUAUGUUUUUCAACACAUACCUCAAAGCCUGUUAACAGACUUGUACAGGCUUCUGUCAGCCCGCUCUUGGCAGACUGAACCUUUUGAAUCACCGCACUCAUAACAGUGCGGUGUUCCUCGUCGAUGGAGGCGCCAUUAAGCACCUCCAGCAAAUUGUCCGGCGCCUCCGGAUGGACAGAGGUCGCCGGCGUCGUAGGCUUGCCCUUCUUAUGAAGGCGCCGCCUAUUGGACUCUGGAACCAUUGAUGGUUCCGGAGCAGUGUCUGGCCUGGGGCCGGACUUGUAUCCCUCCGGGGCUUUACCCCCUUUGGGCCUGGAGUCCGGGAGGUCGCCUUGCGGCACCUCCAGGACCACCUCCUCCUGGUUUAGUCCCUUUCGGGACUCCACCUCGGCGUCGUCCGUAGGGAGAGGGGAGGAGGCCGUCGAAAGUGAAGCGCUAUUCACAUCCGAUGAAUCCAAGGAGCCGCUCGUCGAAUCGUCGAGCUAAGCCUUGGGCGGACUGCAUGAUCAAAUUCGGCGUCAAAAAAUGCAAAAUAAUGGAGGGGCGUUAUAAGUUAUUCGGAUGACCGGAUGCUUACGAUUUUGCCAAGGGCUUGACCCUGGAUGGCCAUUCCUUCCCGCCGUCUUCGGCGUCGGAGGUGUAGUCCGGAAGGAGGGUUCUCCCCUUCUUGGACCCUCUGGCCUCCCCAGUUGGGGCGGAUUUCCUUUUCUUUCCUUCCCCCGUUGGAGGGGGAGAGGCUUCUUCUUCUUCCUCCUCCUCAUCCUCAUAGGCGGAGGGUGCUUCGGGGUUGUCGGGCGAUGAAUCCGACACCACCAGGCGCCGGGAACUCUUUUGAGUCCCCGUGGCCUUCUUCUUGGCCUUCUUCUCCGGCACCACGUGAGGUGCCGGAACCAGCAGCUUCAUCAAGCGAGCGUCCGCUGGGUCUUCGGGCAAGGGAGCCGGACAGUUGAUCUGUCCGACCUUCUUCUGCUAGUCCUGUUAAAGAGAUGGGGGUUUAGAUCCCGCAUAGAAUCAAAUCUAUGAAAAACAAAUACCCCGUAAAGGGAAAAUUAAGCUCACCGCACUGGCUUGGCGCUUGGCGCAGAAUCCGCGAUCCUCGGUGACGGGAGGGGAGACCUCAGAGCUCUUGAAUAGCACCUUCCAGGCAUCCUCAUGCUUUGUGUCGAAGAGCCGGGACAGAGUCUGGUGCUGGGUCGGGUCAAACUCCCACAAGCUGAAAGCCCGUCGUUGACACGGGAGAAUCCGGCGGAAGAGCAUGACCUGGACUACGUUGACGAGUUUAACCUUCCUACCGAUCAGGUCUUUGAUGCAGGUUUGAAGUCCGGUCACUUCCGCCGAAUUACCCCACAACAGGCCCGUCUCUUUCCAAGAUGUGAGCCGUGUGGGGAUACCAGAUCGGAAUUCGGGGGCCGCUGCCCAUUCAGGGUCACGCGGCUCGGUGAUAUAGAACCACCCCGAUUGCCACCCUUUGAUGGUCUCUACGAAGGCGCCCUCGAGCCAUGUAACGUUGGCUAUCUUGCCCACCAUGCCACCUCCGCACUCCGCUUGGCGGCCACCCACGACCUUCGGCUUGACGCUGAAGAUCUUCAGCCAUAGGCCAAAGUGAGGCUGGAUGCGGAGGAAGGCCUCGCACACGACGAUAAACGCCGAGAUGUUGAGGAUGAAGUUCGAGGCCAGAUCGUGGAAGUCCAGGCCGUAGUAGAACAUGAGCCCCCGGACGAAUGGGUGAAGAGGAAAACCCAGUCCGAGGAGGAAAUGGGGGAGAAAUACAACCCUCUCAUGGGGCCUAGGGGUGGGGUUGAGUUGCCCCUCAUCUAGAAGCCGGUGCGUGAUGUCGUCAGACAAGUAUCCGGCCUUCCUCAGCUUUUUGAUUUGCCCCUCCGUGACGGAGGAGGCCAUCCAUCUACCUCCUGCUCCGGACAUGAUUGGAGAAGGUUGAGGUGGGAAGUGCGGGCUUGGGCGUUGGAGCUCGAGCGCGCAGGGACGAAUAAGCAAAGGAAGAAGAAGGCGUAAAUGGAAAGGGUAGAUUCUUAUCCCCUUAUAUGGGCGGCCGAAACUACGAACCCCCACCGGCCUAAUAAAACUCGCUUAUCUCCCAAGCGCCGCGGUUAAUGGCGCGGUUGGGUUACCCAUGCCCGUAUUGAUGAGAAUCCCGGAAUAAGGGGACACGAUCUCUGCUUUGACAAGACGUGCCAAGGAAACCGCCUCGCUAAACGUGCUGAGGUGGAACAGUAAAAUGAUUCGAAUGAAAGCCUGGUCGUGGCGUGAUGUCACGCUGCGGAAUACGUCAGCAGAUUAGAUUGGUGCAAAUAUUAUUCUCUCUAUGGUGGCAUGUGAAACUUAUUUUGCAGAGCCGGACACUAUCCUUGUGUUCAACAUCUUCUAUGAAGUAUUCGGAGGAGGAACCCGCCUUGCAAUGCCGAAGACAACUUGCGUGCCGGACUCGUCAUCAUUGAAGCCUGGUUCAGGGGCUACUGAGAGAGUCCUGGAUUAGGGGGUGUUCGGAUGGCCGGACUAUGACCUUUGGCCGGACUCCCGGACUAUGAAGAUACAAGAUUGAAGACUCCGUCCCGUGUCCAGAUGAAACUUUCCUUGGCGUGGAAGGCAAGCUUGGCGAUACGAUAUGAAGAUCUUCUCCCAUUGUAACCGACUCUGUGUAACCCUAGCCCUCUCCGGUGUCUAUAUAAACUGGAGAGUUUUAGUCCGUAGGACGAAUAACAAUCAUACCAUAGGCUAGCUUCUAGGGUUUAGCCUCUCUGAUCUCGUGGUAGAUCUACUCUUGUACUACCCAUAUCAUCAAUAUUAAUCAAGCAGGAGUAGGGUUUUACCUCCAUUGAGAGGGCCCGAACCUGGGUAAAAACAUCGUGUCCCUUGUCUCCUGUUACCAUCCACCUAGAUGCACAGUUCGGCACCUCCUACCCGAGAUCCGCUGGUUUUGACACCGACACCUAUCUUCUCUUCUUGAGAGGAUGAAAUCAAUCUGGCUAGAGUGUUGUCCACUACUAAAAGUCACCAGAUGUGAUUCUCUCUUUCUAAAGAGGGUGCCAGCUACAAUCAUGUUGUAGGCUAGAGCAAAGCUUAAGACAUCUUCUCCUCCUUGAUUCCUGAUGCAAUAGCCAAAGCUCCCAUGCGCCUCUUCAAAACCUGUGUUAGAUGUACCCACGUGGCCAUUGAGGUCUCCUCCUAUGAAGAGCUUCUCACCAAUCCGUACACUCCUAACCAUGUCUUCCAGGCCUUCCCAAAACCCCCUCUUGGUGUUCUCAUUGUGGCCUACUUGCGGGGCAUACGCGCUGAUAACAUUGAGAACCAAGUCCUCAAUUACCAGCUUGACCAGGAUAAUCCAGUCCCCAUGUCUCUUGACGUCUAUCACUCCAUACUUGAGGCUCUUGUUGAUCAAGAUGCCUACGCCAUUUCUGUUUGCAGCCGUCCCCGUGUACCACAACUUGAAGCCGGUAUCCUCCACCUCCUUCGCCUUCUGUCCUAUCCAUUUGGUUUCUUGGACGCAAAGGAUAUCAACACCUCUCCUCACUGCUGCAUCAACUAGCUCUCGAAGCUUCCCUGUCAGAGACCCUAUGCUCCAGCUACCUAAGCAAAUCCUCCUAGGCUCGGCUAGUUUCCUUACCCUCCGCACUCGUCGAGUCAAAUGCGAAGACCCUUGCUCAUUUUCCACUACAUUUAGGCGCCGAUGUAGCAUGCCACUAAGGAUGCGACGACCUGAUCCUCACUCAAUUGUCAUCCUAUCCGGAUCAAGAUACGACGCGCCACCUGGGGGGUGACGGCCCGACCCUUGCCCAUUUUCCACCACACCCAGGUUCCGAUGUGGCGCAUCGCUGAGAGGGUUACACCCCAACGAAAAUCUUUUGGGUUUCAUCUCCAUAAGAGUGGCUGAGUUUUUACGUUGGCUCGCCAAGCCUAUCACAACCCUCCUCCUUUACCCAGGCUUGGGACCGACUAUGUUGAGACACCAUAGGUGGAGAUAGGUAUGAGCUCAUCUAUGCCCUACAAUAUUUCGCUCGGUAAUUAUCUAUCCAGUCUGAUUGGAACAAUGCUGCAAAGAGGUCGCAUAUAUAUAGGUGGAUUAGUUGAGGCCUUCAAUGCCAGCAGCCCAUGCAAAGGCCAUGCGUGAACGAAGGAUGGGCAUAUUCUAGAUCAGGUGACGCGUAUGUAGGUGCAUCAGCGAUAGUCAUAUUCUACAGAUCCUAGUAUCUAGCUAGAUCGAGUCGGACGUGUGCAUGGCGGCUGUAUGCAGUCGGUGGCAAAAUUUCGUGUUUUGCCCCUUUUUGCUAAAAAAUUCAGGAUCUGACCCCCGUUUGAAAAUAUUUCAGGAUCUGACCCUUUUGCCUACCGCCAGGGGUGUUGGCGGUUGGUUUGCAUGCCCUACCGCCAUAAGCUCUGGAGGUAGGCCCUUUGAUGGCGACUGAUGGCCGUCGACGCGUGCUGACGUGGAAAAGGUCCUACCGCCAUGGGCUCUGGCGGUAGGGUACCGAAGCCUACUGCCAGCUCCUCUGGCUGUAGGGUCCUCGGUGGUGGAUAAGGUGGGGAGGGGCUGGUUUGUGGGCCCCACCACCACUCUUCUUCCCCACUCACCUUCUUCCCCAUGCUCAGCCACUCUCCCCCUCUCCCCCCUCACAAACCCCCCUAGAUCCCCUCCAUUUGCUUGAGAUUUCACCGGUGGAUCCGGAGCAUUUUCAUCACCCAAGGUACUUCCCCUCAUGUUGAUUGGUUGAGAUCUUUGUUUUGUGUUGAUUUGGUCAAUUUAUUGCAAACCCUAGGUGUUGAUCUUGUUGUGUGCAUUUAUGACACAUUUAUGAUGCAUUUAUGACUAGGGUUAUGGUUAUGUUAGGGGUUAGUGUUAGGGUUAGGGUUAGGGUUAUGGUGGUUAUGUUGGGGGUUAGGGUUAUAGUGGUUAUGUUGGGGGUUAUGGUUAGGGUUAGAGUUAAUGGUUAGGUUAACUUGAGUAUGAAUAGUAGUUACUUGUCCAAUUUGUGCAAAAUUUAGUUUAUUUGUCCAUUUGAGUUGGUUGGAUGACAUAUAUGGAUUGAUUAUAUUAUUUCCAAUUUCUUAGAUGCAUAAGCUCAUAAGUGUUCAUUAUUUGGACAAGACGACAUUUAUGCUUGGAAAUGACGAUGAAGGGGAAGAGCCUAUGUUUUUUGACACAAGUCCAAGCUUUGAUGAUCUUGUAGUUAAAGUGAGAAGUGUGUUACAUUGGAAUGACCCAAAUGCCGAGGUAAAGCUUAUUGGGAGGUAUGAGGUUGGAUUGGGAGUAAAGUCCCGAGUAAAGAGUAUGCCCAUCACCUCCCAAUUGCAUUGGAAUGUGUACAAGGAAAAAGUAGACGCAUCACAAGACAAGUCUCUUGAGAUCAUUGCCACAAAGGUUGAUCCUCCUCCUCCCUUGCAAAUUGAUCUCAACCGCAAUGCAUCCUCCCCAAUACAUGAUAAUAGUGCCGAGGUGUAUAUCCCCAAUUGUUCUAGCCAACCACCAAGUAGCCAACCCAAUGAAGAUCAUAUCAAUGCUAGCGCCAUAGUACUCCGUCAUGAUGCUAUUCCUCAUGUUGAAGAAGCUGCUAGUGGUCAUGUUGAUGAUGAUGCUAUUGUUGCUCAAGAGGAUGCUUACGUGGAGAAUGAAGAGAUCCAUUACAAUCCAAUUGGUAACUUGGAUGUCAUUGUGCGGCAACAAGACAUGGACCAUACCCUGUGGGUAUAACUCGGAUGAUGAGGGUCCGAAGGAAGAAUUGGAUGAGGAUGGGUUGACUGUGCAAGAAAAUGAAAUCUACAAGAAGGUGACCGGAAAGGAGAGAGGCCCGCCAUUGUUUAGGGAUGUGAGUCUUGCGGACAAUGCCAUUGUUGACGGUGGGCUGAGAUUCGGGUUGUCUGAGCCAACACCAUGCCCCAAAUUCAGUGAUCCUCGACCACAAAAUAAGGAUGAGAAUGCACAUUUGAAGAAAGGCAUCAAGUUUGGUUCUUUGGUAGAGUUCAAAAUAUGGUUGUGUGACUAUGACAUUAGGAACCAUAGGCCGUUUGUUGUUGGUCAUUCAAAUCAAAAGGUUCGGUACAUAGUCAAAUAUGACCAAGAAGGUUGCAAAUGGAUGGUUCACGGUAGAAAAAUCAAAGAAAUCGAGCAAUGGGUGUUGAAGAGUCAUGUUGGCACUCACACGUGCGUACCCCCCGGACAAGGCGUACCGAAGCAAAGGACACCAUCAACUCACGUCUGAGUAUCUAGGAUACAAAUUGUUGAAUCAAAUAGCACAUGAUCCAACCAUGAAGGUCAAGUUUCUCAUGUCUUUGAUUGAGGAACUAUUCGGAUACCCGGUCAAGUAUGGUAAGGCAUGGAUGGCGAAGGCAAAUGCUAUUAGGAUGUUGCAUGGUGAUUAUGAGGCCACAUAUAACAUUCUUCCCAAGAUGUUGGCAGCCGUUGCUCAUCGAAACCCGGGAAUGCGCCAUCGGGUGGAGUCAACUGACGCUGUGUUUCGUCGUGCCUUCUGGAGCUUUGGACAAUGCAUUGAGGCAUUCACCUAUUGUCGCCCGGUCUUGUCUAUAGAUGGUACAUUCUUGACUGGCAAAUACAAGGGCACAUUGAUGGUGGCGAUGGCCCACUCUUCAAAUGAUAACGUGUUGUCGGUGGCAUUUGCCUUGGUGCCUUCGGAGCACGAUGAUAAUUGGGAGUGGUUCAUGGGGCAUGUGAGAACCAAGGUUAUAGGCAAGCGAGAGGUAUGCAUUAUAUCGGAUCACCAUCAUGGGAUUCUCAAAGCAAUAGACGUUGAUAUUCUCGGUCUUCCAAAGCUUCAACACCGUUGGUGCAUGAGACACUUUGUUGCAAACUUUUAUCGAGCAUGCAAGAGCAAGGAGUUUUGCAAAUACCUUACCCUUGUUUGCGUUGCAUUCAACACUGUCACAUUCAAAAGCCGAUAUGAUAAACUCCUCAAGGCUUUGGAGAAGAACAAAGGGGGGGGGAGAAUUCUUGCUUAGGCACAAGCCGGAUAAAGAAAAGUGGUCACGCGCUUACGAUGAAGGAGGUAUGCGAUAUGGGGACAUGACAAGCAACAUGGUGGAAUGCUUCAACAAUGUGUUGAAGGGUGUCCAUUCCUUGCCGGUGACCGUAAUACUCAAGUACACUUUCAUCAAUCUCAACGAGUACUUCCUAAAGCAUUCUGAAAGCACGGCCAAGUGGAUUGGCGAAAAGAUGGACUAUCCAUUCAAGGUUCAGGAUUGGUUGUUGCAUCAAGCGCGCAAGUCUUCCAAACAACAAGUGAUCAAAUAUAAUGAAAACGAAAUGAUCUAUCAAAUUGAUGAGCCGGGUGGGACAACAAGGGACGGUAGGUCUUAUGGUGGAGUUGCUUACGAGGUGCACCUCAAAAACCAUUGGUGCUAGUGUGAGAAGCCACACAAGUAUCAUUGGCCUUGCUCGCAUUUGAUGAUCGCAACACGGGCAAGAAACUUGCCCGUGUCCGAUGGCACAACGGUGCGGUUGCACGAGUUCACAUUGGAACGAACAAGGUUGACGUGGGCGCCUCGGUUUAAUCCUUUCCUUGAUGCCUCAUAGUGGCCUGAGUAUGUUGGGCCAAACAUUGUGCCAGAUCCCGCACUCAUGGUGCCUAUGAGGGGAAGAAGAAGAAAGAAGAGAUUCCGGAGUGACAUGGAUGAUCUAGCUGGAUACACCGGAAUGAAGCAAUUUGGUAGUGGUCAUUUCAUGGAGGCACCAGAGAACAACAAUUGUGGAGAAUGCAACGACACAGGACACAAUGUUAAGACAUGCAAGAAACCUAGAACCAACACGGGCACUAGUCAAACACAUGGACGGAGGACUAGCCUUGGAGGUGGCAGUGGACGUGGAGGAAGGACUAGCCUUGGAGGGGGGCGCAGCCGUGGAGGAAGGACUAGCCGUGGAGGAAGGACUAACCUAGAACCAACAAUAUGAAGAUUGUCUUAGGCGCCAGCGGCUGUUCGAAGAAAGGUUUCAAAGAGGCUUGGAGGAAGAGCGUCGUCAGAAAGAGAGGAUGGAGCGGAAGCAAUGCGAGGAGGAGAGGGCACGCCAAGCGAAGCUUGCUCGUGAGGAGGAGAUGGCAAGAAAGCUUGCAAAAGCUCGCAAGGCACAAGAGGAGGAUGAGGCACGUGACAAGAAGGGGAAAUGGCCCCGUAUGACUCAGUAAAGCCUUCGCUUCGGUGGACUCGUCAUGUAACUGGAUGAAGCCAUGCCAAAUUUAUCAUGAACUAUGUAGUACUAAGGCAAGAAGCCAUGUGUCGUGAACUUGUCGUGAAUGAAUUUGCCAUUUGUAUUGAAUUUGGUGUGGAGAUGUUUGCACAGUGUCGUGAGAACUUUAGUUUGUCAGCAUACUGUGUGAUUUGUCAUGAUUUUUAUUUAAAACUGUUGUGCUGAGAAGAUGGAUAGAAAAACUGUUGCGCUGAGAAGAUGGAUAAAAUAGAGGAUCCCUCUGUUUUCAACCCUACCGCCACAGGUCCUGGCGGUAGGUUGCUGGACCCUACCGCCAGAGCCCAUGGCGGUAGGGCGGGCAAAGUUUCUAUGACAAAGAAAAUGGACCACUUGGCGGUAGGAUCAAACCCUACCGCCAGUACCUGUGGCGGUAGGUUGAUGACCCUACCGCCAGAGCCCAUGGCGGUAGGGUGGGGCAAAGUUUCUGUGACGAGAAAAACCGCCACCUUGGCAGUAGGGUCAACCCUACCGCCAGAGCCUAUGGUAGUAGGGUCCAACCCUACCACCAAGGUGGUGGUUUUUCUCAUCACAGAAAACUUUGCCGCCCCCUACCGCCAUGGCCUAUUGCGGUAAGGUCUAGCAACCUACCGCCAGGGCCUGUGGCGGUAGGGUUAAAAAUAGAGGAAUCCUAUGUUCUGCCACUUCUGUCGAAUUUUAGAAUGAUAUGCCCACUUCUAUCCACUUCUAUCAAAUAUUAGAAUGAUCAUCUCGCAAGGACAUACAUAACUCAACUCAACAUAGUUAAUUACAUCCACAAAUAACACAAUGUUCAAACUAAUUAAAACAUGACCUGGUUCGGAUGACAUCGGUUGAAACUAAUAGCUCAAGCUCAACGACACAUUUUCUAAAUAGGUAACAUAUUUCUCAUACUUAUCAGACGUUCAAUUUGUUCAACACGCGCUUGAUUACACUUCAGUUGAAAGUCGGUGGAUCCUGCCCAAUGACCCAACACACCAUUCGUUUCACGGAACCAGGCCCAUGCAGCACGGCGGGCCAGAUUCUCUGACACACCUUGUUUGAUUGCCCAUCCUAUAACCUGGCCGGGUUUCCUCAAGUCCAUCUCACAGAAUUCUUCUUUGCUUGCAGUGAACGCAAUCUCAAUUGCCAAAGCAUGUCUGCAAGCAUAUUCCCGGUCCUGCAGCUCAUCAAGCAUCCUCUCUUUCUUGUUCACAAGCUUUCGGAAAGCUUUUUUCUCCUUAGCAUCAGAAGGUUCCUCGAUAACGUGAUACUUGCUGAAAUCCUUCAUGGCCGCAUUUGCCUCAUCACAACUUUUCAACCAUGCUUCACAUUCCCUCUUCAAGCAACGGUGUCGCUCCGACAUGACGUUCUCACACGCUAUGUUCAUAGUCAUGGAUCGAAUGUCCAUCCUACAUGAAUAUACGGGUUUAAGAUGACAUAGACCAAAACAUAAAAUAAAUUCAGUAGAGUACAACACUUGGUUACUUGAUAUGACAUACAACACCAAGUUCUUAAUGAGUUCAAAUGUUAAGGGUACAAGUCAUAGUAGUUCAAAUGACGACCAAGCAAAGGGUACAUGCCAUUACAGUCCAAAUGACAAAGAUUACAUAGCCUCAUGCAAUUCUAUGUGGCGUACAGUCCCGGGUUGCAACAAAUAACAUCAUUUCUUUCUUUGACCCAUGCCCAAUGAGAAGCCUGCUUCUCGUCCGACGAGAAUGGUUGGCGAACUAACCGAUCAAUGACCUGACCAUGAUUUCCCAUGUCCAUCUCAGCAUAUUCUCCCCUUGUCACACACAAUGCAAUUUGCAUUUCAAGAUCACGCCUACAAUUUUUUCCGCCGUCUUGAGCUUGUUCAUCUGCCUCUCCUUUUUUUGAUAAAAUUUUCGGAACGGUCAUUAUUGAAAUAAUAAUGCGAAAAGGCCCUACACUCCGCAUUCAACACAUCAAUGGCUUCCAUCCACAAGUUCAUCUUUUCCUCAAUCAAUUCGCGUUCAUGGUUCGCUGCCACCUCAACAGAAGCUUCAAAGAAAACGAACGGUGCCAUCCUACAUUUCGAGCAGUUGCUAUUAAAGUAACUUAGGUUAAUUGCUUUAUUAAGCCUAACCCAACCCCAAUUAUGUACACUAAGACUAGCACUAGAUCUAGGUACACAAACUAUUCUACAAGCAGUUCUAAGCACAUCAUACAUAAGGAAAUCACAAACAUAAACCUAAAUGGAUCAUAUGAAUUGAUUUGACCACAUGAGCUAGGGUUUGCAACCAAAUGAGCAAAUGCAAACUAAACAAAGAUAUCAACCAAUCAACAUGAGGGGAAAUGGGAGAGCUACCUUGGGUGAUGAAAAUGCUCUGGAUCCACCGGUGAAAUCUGAAGCAAAUGGAGAGGAUCUAGGAGGGGUUUGUGAGGGGAAGAGAGGGGGGAGAGGGGCUGAGCACGGGGAAGAAGGUGAGUGGGGAAUAAGAGUGGUGGCGGGGCCCACAAACCAGCCCCUCCCCACCUUAUCCACCACCCAGGACCCUACCGCCAGAGGAGCUGGCGGUAGGCUUCGAUACCCCACCGCCAGAGCCCAUGGCGGUAGGACCUUUUCCACGUCAGCACGCGCCGACGACCGUCAGUCGCCGUCAAAGGGCCUACCGACAGAGCUGAUGGCGGUAGGGCAUGCAAACCUACCGCCAACACCCCUGGUGGUAGGCAAAGGGGUCAGAUCCCGAAAUAUUUUCAAACGGGGGUUAGAUCCUGAAUUUGUUAGCAAAAAGGGUCAAAACACAAAAUUUUGCCGCAGUCGACCGCCGUUAACAGCCGCUAAUUACCCAGUCAUCCACUCCAAAUAAUUGGGUCAAAACUUUGAUAAGACAGCACCAACCAAACACAUGUAAAACAGAGAAAAAUAUUGUUUUUGAUAAACUAUGGUAUUCCUCGACCACCCAUGCUAAUACUGUGGUUUUCAAUUACCACAGUUUUCUAAAAACUUCCGUGCCAAACUAAGAAAAGUUACUCCCCACUAUGACUAGCCUUAGUGCGCUGCUUUUUGUGUCUAUGUGGUGGCCUGCGUUGGCCUGAGCCUAGCAAUAAAUCGCCUCAGGACUUGGCUGGUGGCUUCAUCAUCUAAGACUAAAACCACAUCAUGCAAUUCGGAAAAUUUCAAAAAAUACAUUAAACAGAAACAAUUUCCCCCACAGUGAAUUGGUUUAGAUUUGCAAUGUUCAAACAGUGCAGUACUAACUGCAACAAAAUCUACUUACAACAUUGUGUGUGUGUGUGUGUUGGGGGGGGGGGCACAUACAAGACAAGUCAUUCACAAAACUAGAGCAACAAGCAAACAUGAAUCUGAAGCACAAAAAUAUACACCAACCAACUCGCAUGAACUAUCCCUGUAGUGAGCAUCCUAACCCAAAACACUCGUACAUCAUCUCAACACCACAGCAGCUCCAACUGCCUUCAAAUCCUAUAUCCACGACACGAGUAGCCAAUCCCCUGCGCACCGAAUUCCCAAAUGUCGCCAACCAUAACUAGUCGAUUUGAACACGGGGAAAAGCACAAAAUCGAGACCAGAUGUUCCCUUCCGAUGACCACCGCUCCCACCCUACGGGCCACAAGCCGACCAGGUGCCACCUGCACGCGACGCAGAAAGACACCACGGCACCUGAUGUCCACGAUUAACAUCCGAAGGCACAGACGCGUGUGCGCGCGAGGACACAAACGAGCACAGCAAAACUUUUUAGGAUUUGGGAAAAUCUAAAAUGCAAGACCACUAUGAAUGGAAGACAAUAAACUUGAGGCCACAUGGUGAUCAGCGGACAACUAGUAAAAAAAUUUGUGAAAAAGCAAGAAGUUUAGUGAUUAUAACCCUAAAACUCACAACACGUAGUACCAUGUGCAUAAAUCAAUUCAUCACGUCUUCCAAGACAAACGCUCAAGUGACAGCACAGGAUGUACACUAAAUCAUACAAAUACAUUUUUUUGUGUUACAUUUUUUUGCGGGGAAUAAGUUUAUCCAUAACCGGCAUCACCAAGGCCACAAAGGCCACUACAUCAUUUUUCAGACUACUACUACUCGACACUCACAUCUAGGUCACAGUCAGCUACCAGCAUCCGGGCGGUCUCCCUCACUUCCUCAGGCUGCUCAGUGGGAAUAACAUAAGUAUUAACAUACAUUUCACAUAGGCAAAAAAUAUGAUGUGCCAAGUACUUAAUGAGAAGAGAUGCAAAUGGAGUAACAUAAGCAGAUAGGAGCAGCUACCUCUUUAGUUGCUUCUGGCUCAUAAUGUUCCUCUGGAGCCUUGUCUUUCCUUUCCCUUUGGCCUUCACCUUUGGUUUCUUCAUCGGCUUAGCUUCUUCAAACAACUUUUCAUCAAGGAAAUCAUCAGCGCUAUCUUUGUUGCUAUAGUCAUCAUCAUCCUUUGGCCACCUCUUUCUACCUUUCUGCUUCUCCUUCAUUUUUCCUUGGUGCAUUUCCCAUAUAGUCUUCGUCUCAAUACCCUUUCUCUCAAGGAUACAUCUGCUGAAGUCCUUGAGCUCCAUGUUGAAUGUUACCUCCAUGUCUUGGUCAUGUCUUUGUUCCACAUCAGAUUUAUUUCCUUCUAGUAAAAGAGCCAACCUGUCCUUAUUUGUUAACUUCCAUAUCGAUACACCAUUUGGCCGAGACCGGUAACCUGAAUCAUCUACAUCUUCUGAUGCACUCUCAUCACUUUCAAUAUAUUUAUAAAUGUCAUCAAACUGCCACAAAAAAAUACAAGACAUCAAAGAUGGAUAAACAAAGUGCAGGACAAGAAACAAAGACCAACAGGUCAAAAAAAUUCACGAGACAAAGAGUAGAAACAUGCAAUGCAUCAUUUAUCAAGUUUUGUGAUUUUGUAACAACAAGUGACUUUGAUGAUACUGUAUUUAUUCCUUUAUUAUUCACUAGUUCUACCUGAAAGCCUAUCUUGACAUUUGACACUGGGUUUACUCCCUUUGACAGUUAUAAAUUCAAAGAGAUACUCAGUUUUUAGUUUUUAGUUUUACGUUAACAAAUACUCCCUCCGUCCCAAAAUUCUUGUCUUAUAUUUGUCUAAAUACGGAUGUAUCAAGUCAUAUUUUAGUAUUAGAUACAUCCGUAUCAAGACAAAUCUAAGACAAGAAUUUUGGGACGGGGGGAGUAUAAAACAACAUAAUUAAAAUAAUAGAGCUGACCUUAUGUUCGAACGUUUCCCUCAAGAUCUUACAAUCUGGUUCAUCAUCAUCCCAGGUGGGCUUAACUUUGGUAUGCUGCGAAGGACAAGUCUCAAAAUCAGGAUCCUUGUAACUCAAAGGUGCCUGCACAAAAGUUAAACAAGUUACAAACUGAAAAGACCUCUUCUACUAUAACUGAAAGGCAGGUUCUUUCUACAUAGAACCAUAAAUUUGACAAGCAAUUACUCCCUCCGUUCCUAAAUAUAAGUUUUUUUUAGAGAUUUCAAUAUGGACUACAUACGGAUGAAUAUAGACGUAUUUUAUAGUGUAGAUUCACUCAUUUUGCUCCGUAUGGAGUCCAUAUUAUAUAGAAUCUCUAAAAAGACUUAUAUUUAGGAACGGAGGGAGUAGACUCAAAGAGGGGACGGGAUCUGGCAAAUCAAUAAACUCUGUGGAGCUCAGAUCAGGGACGAUUUGGUUUUUUCAAGUCUCUGGUUGUUUUUCAUGGUGCAGACUCAAGGAGACGGGAUCUGGCAAAAGCUUUGUCAAUAAGCUCGGUGGAGCUCAGAUCUGGGGCGAUUUAGCCUUUUUUUGAAGUCAUGGUAGCGGAAGGGUCGUCCGGAUCUGAAGCUUCUCAUGGAAAGGAAGCGAAGCUGCGCAUGCAUUUCAGAGUGCUUAGCCCAGUGCUUCCAGAUCGAGAUGGAGACUGUUCGGCUUCAACACGGCGUCCACCGCCCUGCUCUCUCCCAAGUGGUGAUGUCCCCGGCAAGGGUGCAGGUGUCCAUGCUCCAAACUUCAACAAAAUCUCGGUGGAGAAGGACCAAAUCAUGAUUUUCUGAUUUGUUGUAUGUUCCUUUCUGUAAAACUGGAGCUGAUAGCUCUUUACAAGGUCCUCGGUAUAAUUUAUUAUCGCAACAACCAGUUUGAAUGCAGUUUCUGGGUCCUUUGGGAACCUUCCCUUGUUCAAAAAAAUAUGGAUGCAAAUACAAUAUAUUCAAGUAAUAUACCUCUGUAGCUACAUCAUGAGCAGGGUAUUUGAACUCCAUAGAGUCAUAAAUAAACUGCAAAUCAAACACAUUUGCCGUUUUCAAGAACUCGGUACCAUCAAGAGUUGUGUAUAUGUGAUCCGCAGUUGCACUAGAAUCACACACCACAACUGCAUAGUAGUACCUGCAGCAAGAUCAAUAUAAUCAUCAGAGAACGGAACAACAAACCCUUGAAAGUAGUAACAUUUUCAUAUGGCAAAUAUCAAAUAUGGAUAGACAAGGCCAUGGACAUAUGAACACAAUCCCAAACAUGUGAAGGAGAAGCUGCCAUAGUUACAUUUACACAGGAUCUGAACAUUUUUAUAUAUUUUAAUUAGCAAGAGAAUAUUAUGGAGUAUAUUGUUAAAAUAAUGAUUCAAACUCUUUGCAGUAAGUCCCAGACAAACAGAAAAGUACACAAGGUGAUAAUCAGCAAAAGUAUCUCGAUGCUUUGUUACUAACCUCAGUUUGUUUAGCCCAUAAGUACGGAGCUUGUUGUUCUCAGUCUCAGAGUCAAGUUCAUCUUCUUCGCCAUCACCAUAUCCAUCAUCACUGUCAUCAUCUUUCCCACCAUCAUCACCACCAUAACCAUCAGCACCAAAAAGAGCAGAAGGGCCUUCAGUUGUCUCAAUGUUCAUGCACUUCAGUCCAAAUUCUGUUGGAUAUAUCGAGACUGAUAGAACUCGCCCACCUUCCGGAAUACAAGAUGUCAUGACCAUAUACAAGUCCACCGCCUGUUGAAAGGGCAAAACAAAGGAACAACAUCAUUGAGCCCAAGCAGCCAAAGAGAAGUUUCUAUGAGCAACACAAACUAUAAAUGCAAGGGGUAUGUUCCGUUGUUUUGAUUUUCAGUUUUGCAAAACACAGUAUUUCUUUAAUUAAAUAUUGACUAUUAUCAAAAUAUUUUGUUGGGGUGCUGCAAAAAUCAUAGGAAGUGCUUGAAUACCUCACCAAACAAACAAUAUACACACUUCAAUGCAAAAAACAAACAUUAAGUUUGAUUAAUGGGCAUUUCUUUGGAUACUUUUGGGAUUCAGUUCAAAUUUAGAUUCCUUAUUAUCAAAGCGAGGCCUUAUGGGUAAGGUUGCACAGAUGUUGUGAGAUAUUGGCAAUUAGCACCUAAGACACGGAGACAAUGAUGGCUGACGUAAUUUGGGUAUAGAUAAAUAUGGGCAUCAUUGUGUGAGGAUGUCUGGACCAAAGAACCCAGUAAUUUGACAUCACUUCAGAAUUUUUACUAAUCCUGAAUAUCAACAUUUGGUGCACCUAUAUCUCAACUAAAAACAGGCGAAUUUUAGUGAUAGAGAUUUCACCUGUUCUCAACAACACAAAAAGAUGAGAAAUGAGAACAUCUAAGCCAAACAACAUGAAUCUACGCAUCGUACUUCAACCUAACCAACCUAACAAACUACCAAAACAACAUAGUAUUUUUAGAACUCCUUUUAGUGUUUUAUAGCAUGUAGUUAAUAAAAUACCAUCUAAACAACCCUUAAAGGUUUUAUACAAGUCUGCAAUUAACACACAAAUGCAAGAACAAAGAAAUGCACAUUUACCUCACAGAAAAGAAAUAAGUUGGACUAAAAAGACAUUAAUUCAAGGUAAUUCUCAUGCAACUCACAGAAUAAAACUGCCUUUUGAACAUGGCUGAGAUUGUUCAGGCAGACGGAUUACUUCUCUAGAUAAACAGAAAUUUGAAUUGGCACACACCUUAAUAUGAUCCCAGUCCAUGUUCACAACAGCAAGCCUGUGAGUUUCCUUGUCAAUCACAUGUGUAUCAUCAUGCCUAGACAUCAAGUGAUGAGCAACGUCGCAGCCCACAAAGUACUGCAAAAUAAAUAAAUAAAUAAGUCAAUGAAUUAGAAAUAAUGCAAGGAAAAUGUCUGUCUUUGAAGACAAGAAAAAUACAACUAGCAAUGUCACUCAUGAAGAUAAUUUAGGAAGAUAUGGAGAUCCAACAUAUAAGAACACACAUAACAUAAGAUGCAUAUAAUUGCAAUAAAACUAACUAUGCAGCGAGUUGAAGAAAAUCGUCAGAACGUAAGAUCAAGAGUUAGUUAAAAGUUGUUAUAAUAGUUAAGAUAUGGAAUUGCACAGCUAGCAAGCAUCGCUCAAUAAGGUUCAUGCUCUACAAUAGAAAAUAACACUAACACUAAGCAAGCACAAACAUAAACCAAAAGUUGAAAAUAACCAUAACUGCAGCCUGCAUAAUCUUAAUCUCUUCUAUCCACAUGUAAGAUCAAACUUUUUUUCGAGGAAUGAAAAUGACAGAUUUGGAAGGGAAACAUCACCUGGUCAUGGCCGUCCUCCUCGUCAUCGCUACUAGGACUCUCUUGUUCCAGCGCAUGAUCCUCCUCUUCACAAAUCAGCUCCUCUUGCUCCGUCUUAUCCUUGUCCUUUUCGUCCCCCGCCUCUUCGUUGAGAUAGUAAUGCAGGAUGGGGUUCUCCCCGGCGCUCUUCUUGCGGCGUCUGCCUCGCUUGUCCACUAACGAAGAAUCGAACAUGGGGUCCGUGAGCAUGGGGGUGAACCUCGAGUCGAUGGCCACCUUGGCCUCCUUACGCCGCAUCUGUCGGAACCUCGGGUCUGUCCGCGCCGCCGUGAACCGCUCGUCCUCCAUUGCCCGCUUCAUCUUCGAGCCGAGGGCCACCUUGGCCUCCUUACGCCGCAUCGGUCGGGACGUCGGGUCGGUCCGCGCUGCCGCGCACCGCUCGUCCUCCAUCAACCGCUUGGGGGAACCCUAGCAACGUUGUACGUGAUGUGAUACGGGCUGGCACGACGGCACGUGAUGCAGGAGCUCCUAUUUGGCGCGUUCGGCGCCGUGGAACCGAACGGGCGCCUACAGGCUACAGGCAACACUAGUGGGCCGGCCCAUGGACGAAAUAACGAAAGAGAAACGUCUCGCGACAAAAAACGCAAAAAUACGGGAGAAACACGACUCGAACCUGCGCCCCAAAAUUAAAGGAUUGCUCAGCUAACCACAAACGGGAAGACUACUGAUUUAUUGCAAAUGCGAAUGCAUUAAGUACCAUAUGAGCCACGCUAGUUAUUACACAUUUUUGAACUAUUCGUUUUUAAGUCAAUUUUUAAGGAAAAUAAGUUCAUAAAUUUUGAAAAAAUUCAUCAAAUUUGAAACAAAAGUUCAUCGAUUACAAGAAAAUGUUCAUCAAAUUUGAAAGUAGUUCAUUGAUAUCAAAAAAAAUUCAUCGAUUUUGAAAAAAGUUCAUAGAUUUUGAAAAAGUUUAUCGAUUUACCGAAAUAGUUCAUUGAAUUUGGAAAAAGAGUUCAUUGAAACUGAAAAAAAAUUCACCAAUUUUGGAAAAAAGUUCAUCGAUUUUGAAAAAGUUCAUCAAAACUAAAAGAAGUUCAUCAAAAUUGAAAAAAGUUCAUCGAAUUUACAACAAAAUUCAUUGAAUUUGUAAAACAAAGUUCAUCACUUUUUUUAAAGUAAUCUAAUUAAAAUUUUGCAUCAAUUUAGAAAAAACAGGUUCACGAAAUGUGAGAAAAAAUCACGCAUUAAAGAAAACAAAAAAGAAACUGAAGAGCUAAAUAAAAGAGGGAAGGGAAGAAGAUUUACAUGAGCGGGACAGUGGCCUGCAGCGCCAAAUAGGAUUUGCCCGUGAUGCACACCUGCCCGAUAGGCGCCGGCGCAAUUUGGGUCGGUCGACCGUGCACCGUUCGAUUUAACCAAUUCCAACCGCCUGAUCCCGUGAUAGGCUGUCUUCUUCCUCCCACGUCUUAGAUCUGCGGAUAGCAGGUCGUCUUCCUCUCCCCCGCCUCACACCACACUAGCCGCCGGUCGCCGCCCUCGCCAUAGUCGUCUCGUCUCUUUCUCGUCGGAACCACGCAUGCAACAACUUUUGCAUGCGUUUGCAGCUCCCUCACUGGUGGUGGUAGCUCCGGUAGGACGCUGAGAACUCCGGUAGCGCCGGUCGCAGCACCCCCACGACGAGCUCAUGAAAAAUGCUCUCCUUCGGGUUUGCGGGUGGCAACAAAAAUGUCUGUCGGUAGUAGCAAAAAAUUGUGCUGGUUCCAGCAAAAAUAGCUCGUCAGUGCCGCCAUCCCGUCGUAAUUGAAGCAAAAUCGACCACCGGUUGUAGCUUUUGUGAUUGCCGAUUGCAGCAAAAACAACUUCUUGUCCAGCUCACAGCUUCUCUGGUAGUAGGCAAAAAUCUACAAUAGUUGUAGCGAAAUACAUAAUUACAGGGUCUCGACAACCUCAUCAAAAAGGAUGUAACAAACUACAAUGCUAGCAGUAGCAAAACCCAAAAACGUAUAGCAAAAAGUAGUACAAAAUUUUCCAGCAAAAAAACAUGGCAGCAAAAUUUGGUUAGUUCCAGCAAAAAAUAUGAAGACGUUAGUAACAAAUUAGUAUACUGGUUCCAGCAAAAACAAACAUGGGAGCAGAAUCUGGGUUGGUUCCAACAAAAACCAAAAACACUAGUAGCAAAAUUUAGAGCUGGUUCCAGCAAAAAGAAAAAAGAAACUCGAGUCGUGCCAUGGUUAGAGACCUACGACCCUCCCAUGGUCAGACAUAUGCGGCGGCCACCGUCAGGCCGCGCCUACUACUAGGGAAAACCUUAUAAUCUUACGAGCAGCGUGGUUUAAAAUAAGGCGCUACUGCUAAUUAGCAGUAGCGCGUGACAACAAAGCUCGCUACUGAUAUCCGCAUAGCAGUAGCGCGCCAGGAUGAAAGAGUGCUACUAAUACAAUUGCCACGAUGUUGCCGCCAGACUAGGUAUAGUAGUAGCGCCGUUUUCGUAUACUUAGCAGUAGCGUUUUUCACCAACCCUCGCUGCUGCUAAGUUUAGUCCCCUCCUUGCAACUAAGUUUAGUCACACCUUGCUCCGCGAACAGGGUGUUUACCCCCUUAAACUAGAUCACUGAUGACGCGCGUUGCUGCGCCCAUCUCUUGGUAGUACUUUCCACAAAAUAUAUGAAGGUAAUAUCUUUCUAUUAUUUUAAAAAUAACAAUAAAUAGCUAUUCAUUUUAUUUUAAAGGAAGAAUACACAUAUUUGGGAGACAUAGAUGGUCCGUGUGAAAUUGAUAAACAUGGUACAAAUUUCUUAAUCCAAUACUUGAUGCAUCAUAAUGGUUAGUGUGCUAGCCGGCAUCAGGUGGAACGCACCGAAUCUUCAAAAACAACGAAAUCCGAAGGAAAUCAUUUAAUAAACAAACUAUAAUUGUUUGGUGCAAGCUAUAUCAUAAAACAAAAACACAAAUUAUAAAGCAACUUGACAAUGAAUUAGCAUAGGUCCUCCUAAAACUUUGUGGAUUCAUAAAACUAAGCAGCCUCACGUCAUUCUUCUGCUGGCUACAUGUUCCACUGUAGACACUAUCACCACCUUAAUCGUACAUUAACGUCAAUGCACUCUGAAACAACCAGAAUACACCAUCUCUGUUGUAUGCAUGAAAGGUAGCUUCCAAGCAAGUUGACACCUACCAAGUUAUUGAAGGGUAAGUCUUGUUUCUCUGUUACAAACAUUCUAGUUAUAAAUCUGUAGGGGUGACAUUUUGGCUGGAAACAUUAUUUACUUACAAAUAUGAAGAGACAAUGAAUUGUAGUAGAUCCAAGGCCAUGCUAAAAAUUAAAUAGGCAUUGGUAAUGGGAAUGAGAUCCUCUAGUGGAAACGGAAAAUAUAACACAGGAAGUAAAACCAAAUUCCAACUUGAUCGAGGCCUCAACACCCUUCCAGUAUCGGUGAAGCAAAGACGCAAACAAUAUUUCUAUCGAAGUACCAAGGAGCACUACUAUACAAAACAUGGGGGACAACUGAAAAAGUAGUAUACACACAAGUUAAAUUGAAUAAAGAUUUCCAAAAAUCUCUUCAAUCUAUGGAAAUAAGACUGCUAGGUGUAGAGCCUCCUUUGUGAUGGACUUGUUUCAAAUUACCAUAUAUUUACUCUUUUUAUUUCACGGAAAUAUAUAUCCUUGUAAAGCUUAGAAUGGACAUCAACUAUUCUGAAAAAUGCCAGAAUGGUUGCUUUGUGAUGUCUAUGAUUCUAAGAAGCCAAGUGGUUGUGUUGUGUUAUAUAUAACCGCUGACAAAAAAAAAAUAGUUACCAUUCAUACACACGUCUAGUGGACACCUCAAGAACGAUUACAUUGUAAAUCAACUCCACUACUUCUCAAAUGAACAAAGGAGCUCACGUGUUCAGAUUUUAAAAAAAAUGUACUGAUAUUCUUCUGUCCUUGAAUUUUAC